rnacentral:lncRNA from 1 species
UUUUUUUUUUGUUGCAAUUAAUCAUAAGGAGAGAACCAUUACCAAGAAUUUACAUUAAGCAAUGUGAUUAGUGAGAUGUUUCAUUUACUUUUGGUACCUUUUUAUUAAAUGUACAAAAAUGGUUUGGCAAGCUUAGAAAUUGAUGCAUAGUCAAACUCUAUCAAGCGCUUGGACCCAACCACCAUCAUAUAUCAUCAAAGCUUUGUUAUUAUUUGGGCUAUGCCAUAACGGAUUUUAAUCUAGAAUAUUUUAAAAGAUAUUAUGAUUGUAAUAUAUAUUCAAGGUUUAAAAAAAAUAUCUUUGUUACUAUAAAUUUAUUGAUGUUUACCACUACAAAAUAAUAUGCUUGAUAAGACAUGAUUUCUAGUAUCAUAAGGAUUUUCUCAUAAGAACGUCCACAAAUUUAAUUAAAUACCUUUUAAGUUUUGUAAGCAGGCAUAUAUAUUGACCUAAAGCAGAUAUUUGAUAGAACUUUUACAUAAAUUUGUGAUGCCACAAUUUGGAUAUUGUAGCAUAUUACGAACUCUAUCUGUUUCUAGAUAUUCGAACUGAAAUCAUCCCACAAAAAUACACGAAAGACCCACCCAAAGUUCCAACCUAGUGGUUGGUUCUCCAAGUGUUAGUUAUUGCUAUCUUUAUCUUUGUUUUCAUCUUGUAUACAUUAUCCCAUUAUCAUGCUUCGGCUCAUAAACUUCCAAUUCAUUGACAUAUGAAGCAGUUACUAGAUUAACUAAUAAAACCACGAUUUGUUCAACUGCCAGUGUAUGAAUAAUCUGCUUUCCGUACUUUUUUUUUUAACAGGACGCUGCUGGUAAUCCAUUCUACCUGAGCUGAGUCUAAUUAAGAGUCAAAGUUUUAGUUGAUUUUAUCAUCUCUGCGUAAAUUUUUAAACAACAGAUUGAAAUCUACCGACAACUAACAAAAUCUUAAGUUUGACUUAAGCGACUAAUGAGAUAAAAAUGACUAUUAAUUAAUAUCUUUAGUCAAUUAAUGGCAAUGGAGGCCAUUAAAAUGCAUAAAAACAGCAUCCACCAAUGGAUUCAAAGCUAUUGAUCACAGACGUUAAAUCUCAAAAAAAGGAUGACUUCGCUGCUUUGGUCGGAAAACCGCGGUUGCUUAGAAGCAUCACCAAAAUAUAACGAAAACAGACAAAGAGAAUCCUUGUUGGCGACUUCAUUAAUUACAUGAUUAUUGUUUAAUUGGUAAUUAUCAAAUGAAAAGAUCGAAAGAAUCAGCUUUAAGUCACUGCUUGAUUUGAUUAUUGUACAUGCGUGCUAAGUUAAUUAUUAAUGAUAAAGGACGAUGCUUAAUUGGGCAAGUCAUUGACAAUUUGGCUUCUGGGUGCUCUUCAAAUUGUCAACCAAAGUUAUUACAUAUCAUGCAAUUUCUAGAGUUUAAUACAUAUGCUGUAAAUUUGAUCCAUCUAAAUGUUGGAUUGCAUGUGAUAUUUCAAAAUGGCAUUGAUUUUUUUUUUUUUUUUUUUUCCCCCGUUCAGAUGCAUGUUUGCUAUAGCUAGCUAGCACGUGAUGUUGCUGGUUCUGGAUUUGGUAUGUUGUUUCAAAAAUUUUAAUGUAUCUAAUGCAAAAUUCAUUAAGAAUGGGGAAAACGUAGAAAACCUCUCUCUUACUAUUUCGCUCGUGUUUAAAGUCCAUCAUCAGAGUCCACUUAAUGUUAAUAAUAAUGUUCCAAUAAUAGUAAAUCAUUUUCAUUCGUUAGAUUUGUUUAUUCUGAGAAGACCAAAUCACCCUUUAUAAAAAAUAUCAAACUAUUUAACAACAUGAUUGUGAGAAAAAUUACCAAACAAGAAAGAGUUUUUGGUCAUUUCCCUGAAUUAAUUUUUUUUUUUUUAGUUUUAUAUAGUCAUGGAUGCUACUAGGGGUGGGCAAAAUCAGGUUCGGAUCAACCCGAUCGGGUUUCGGGUUGAUCGGGUUAUGAAAAUUCAUCCGAACUCAACCCGAACUUAAAACUCGAUCCGAUCCGAUCUGAAUUAUAUUCGGAUCGGAUCGGGUUAUAAAUUCGGGUUGAGUUUGGAUCGGAUCAGAUGCGGUUCGAGUUAGAUUUGAAUCAAUUUGAAUUAUUCAGGUCUAUUCGGGUCGGGUACAAUUCAACAAUACAUAAUUACCUAUUAUUAACAACCACCAAAUACCAAUUAAACAUUAAUUUUCACACAUACAUUAUAUAUAAUAUACAUCUAUAGCAUCACUGUCAAAGGCUCAAAUGGGUGUUACAGCAUCACUUCCAAAACCCAAAAUCAACAGCCAAAAUUCAGGUUGUAGCUUACUGGGUUCGAAUGGGUGUUGCCGGAUUCGAAUAGACAUUGAAUCGGAUUGGGUGAUGGUGGAGGAUUAGAGACAUGGAGGUGGCGCAACAGAUCCGGUACUUCGUAGCAAUAGAUCGGCUUCGGUUGGCGUCGAAUCUUGCGUUUGGCGUUGGAUCUCGGCUUCGGUUGGCGUCAGCUUCGGUUGGCGUCAGCUUCGGUUGUGUGUGUGUUUGUGUUUAUUUGGGGGAGGCUGGGGGUUGGCUGUCGGCAGUGGGUUGCGAGCGAGGGAGGCUGUGGGUGGUGGGUGAGUGGCCGUGUACGUGGGUUGGCUGUCGGCAGUGGGCUGUUGAUGUCGCCGUGCUGCGUGUGUUGUUGUUAAUGUGUUAUUUGUGUGUGUUUUUGUAAUCGUUUGUGUGUGUGUGUGCCCUUUGUGUGUAGUUCAGUAGUUACAAUCGUUUGUGUGUGUGUGCCCGAUUUGUGUUUGACUUGUGUUUGUGUGUAUUGUGAAAUGUGAAUAUAUUGUUUGUGUGUGGUGUGUGUGUUUAGAUUUAGGUUUUUUUUUUUAAAGCAACCCGAUCGGGUUUUCGGAUCGGAUCGGAUCGGAUUUGACCCGAUCCAAUCACAACCCGAUCGGGUUUCACCAUCUUCAUCCGAUCGGGUUUCCUUUAUAACCCGAUCCGAUCCGAACCCGAAAUUUUUCGGAUCAGAUCGGGUCGGGUCGGAUAUUUUGCCCACCCCUAGAUGCUAGGAGAUUUGUUGCUUCAUCAUGUUAUUAUAUAUUAAUGGUCUCCAAUGGCCAUAAAUUGAUUAAACGAUAUACUAAAUAUCAAUUCAAAAUUAGUAGGCGUUCGAUAGCUUUCAAAGUUUUAUAUUUCAUAUAUAUAUAUAUAUUUCAUGAUUGAUCAAUCGACUGCUUCUUUUGUAUGUAUGAUGUGGAGAUUAGACAAAAGUGUCUAUUGUACUUUUUAGCCGGCCAUGGCCUACGUGAUUGAAUUUGCAUGGGACCUUGCUGGCCGACACUUGAAUGAAAAGAACUAAACAAACAUAUUAAGCCAGUCUGCUAGUGUGUGUAUAUCCAUUUAUGUAUUGAGGCAAGCAAUCUGCAAUCACUUCGAUCGACUAGUCCUUCGCUAAUGAAAUUACAAAUCAAUUCAUAUAUUUUAGAAACCCUAUGUAGAUGUAAUAGCCACAUUUUGCAUGGCAACUUAAUUAUUAGCAGUUGAUCGAGUGUGUUACAAUUUUUCUUUUUUUCAAAGUUUUAAUUAUUGGCUUACAUAUAUUUCGUGUGAGGGAUCUCAUUAGUUUUCAUGUUUUCCUCAUUAAUAAAGAUAAUAUCAACUAAUAUAAGAAACCCUACCAUUAUCCUUUCUAUUUAAGGAUUUGCUCAAUAGUCAAUGCCAUAUUGCCAUAGCCAACCUACCCUACUUUUGUUUAAAAUACAUGUAUUAAUGAGAGCCUAUUGUCCGCUCUCACGCUAUAUGUAUAAAAAUAUGAAAAUUAUAUAAAGUAGUGGGUUAUUAUCAUCUACAACCUUUAUUACUAUUAUUUUCUUUUUCGAGUUUAUAUUUAUAGUCAGUAUAGAGAAAAUCUUAAGCUGACAAUGACGGGAUACGAGAGAGCCUAGAAAGUAUUUCUAUAAAUUAUUUGAAAUGAUAAGGUUAAGAAGAAAAAUAUUUACACAAUAUUGGAAAUUAAAUAUUCCCAUUAAAUGAUUCCUUGAUUUGAGCUGUUUAAGAAUAUUAUUUUGCAAAUUGUGUAUUAUAUAAGUUACCAAUACAAUAAAAUAAUUAAAAAAGAGAAAAAGAACAAUAGAAAAUUGUAUAUCACCCGAUGAUACAUGAUCCUUAUUAUUAAGCUCCUUGUGUCAAAUUUGCACUUGUGUUUUGGAUAACAAUGCCCUAAAUUUUCAAUCCUUAAAAGGCCUAAUACACAUGUUGUAUAUAAAAUGAAAUAUAUCCAAAUCUCAAUUAAUUGUACGGUUCUUAACACAUUAUCGGGGCUCCCAUCAUCAUAAUAAAACAAACCAUAUAGGUCAAGCAUAGAUUUUGCUCUUAAUUCACGCCAUGCUUACCAGAUAAAAUUAAUCAUCCCCACCACUAAAUAUGUGACGUAUCAUCUGAUGUUGAGCCCUAGCCAAGAUUAAUUAGGUAUUCGUUUCGUUCGACUUUGCCCACCUAAAAUGUAGCUUUCACGGUAUCCUUUAUCAAGAUUUUUUGAAAACUACUGCAAUUGUAAUAAUUAUAAAUUGUAAUGACCCAUCUGAAUCCAAUAAUAUAUAUCAACAUCAUGCAUCCUGAAAAUUACAUCCUCAUAAAAGCGUAUUUGACGUGCUUGAAGGUGAAAGAUUAAUUGGUGUUUUAAAAUCAAACUCAUGGUCAUAUGACACCAUUAUAAAGAGCUCGUCAACACCUGGAAGUUGUGGCCUCCGGGCAUUGGCUUGAAAGACAAACCAUCAGGAAUUUUGCCCUCAACACACUAACAAUGGAUCACCACUCCUGGCAUUGCUUAUCGGUUGAGACUAGAGCGUGCCUCUAACUUUGAAAAGAUAUGGUUCCAUUAUCAUUGACUAAUGGGGGUCGAUCGUUUGUGCCUCCUUAUCAAUUGUUACAAUUCCAUGUUAUAAAAGAUGGCAUGUUGUCAUAAAAUGAUGUGUGGACGUAUACUUUUUACUACAUGUCAUCUCUUAAAAAAAAAAAAAACGUGUUUUUGCUUUUUUUUAUAUUAAAGUUUAAAUUGAAUUUGUUGGAAAAUAAUCUAAUAAACUCAUAAGCCGAGUAAUUAUAUUAUUAUCGUAUGAAUUAUAUUAUAUUUUAUAUUUUCCUCAAAUGUUAAUGUUUCUUUCUCUACUGAUUAAUGUUUGUUUAAGAUGCAAAAUCCCAUCUGAUUUAGAGGUGCAGCUUAGGGCUCCAUUAGGUCGUUAAAAAAAUAAAUCAAAACAAAGUCCUAAAUUAUACCUUUAUUAAAAACAAUAUUGGCCCGGUCUAGAGAAAGAAAUAAUGUACCUCUCUGUUUUAAUUUUAAGAUAAGUGAUUUAUCUAAUUAACUUCAUUAAUUAUUUAUAAACAUUAAUAAUAUCUAACUCUUGGAUCCUUUCUAUAUUACAGCAACACAAAACUUAUUCACUUUAAGUAACCUAUAAAAGAGGUUUAUUUAAUUUAAUUUAAUUUAAUUUUUUUUAAUAAGUAAUGAUAGACAUCUGAAAUUUUUUACCUCAAAUUUCAUCCCAAAUGACUUGUUAUUCAUUAAGUAGUUAAUAAUUCUUUACAAAAUCUAAGUAAAUUAAUUGUAAUAUCUUACCAACCAAUUGAUAAUUGCUACAUUAUUUGAGAAAUUUUUUUGGGAUAAAAAAUUUCAUAUGUAUAGAGCUACUCUUUUUUGACAAGAUAGAAGGGUUAAUUAAUAACAAAAAGAUUGAAAAUUGUAGGAAAAACAAAUGACCAUUUUCAAAGAGCUUUAGUGUAAGAUAUGUACUUAAUAGAAUCGAAUAACAUUGAAUUGAAUAACUGACGCGUUUACAUUAAUUAACUCCUGAGAAAAAUUAAUGCGCACUUCUUUUUCUUUUUCCUUUUUUCCUCUUUUGACAGAAAGAAGAAAAAAAGAUUAUGCACAGCUGGCAUGCUUGCAUGUAUACAAAGAGAGCUGCAAAGAAUUACAUUUUAGCUCUUAACUUUUAACUUCUUAUUUCUUGGUUCUGCCUGAGAGAAAGAGAUGAAAUGGAGAAUAAUGAACUAAUUAGGGCUAAAAUUAUUGAUAUGGAAAAGCAAAAAAGGAUGAGUUUUGGCAAUGAUAAUUUACUAAUUUUGAAAAUAUUUAAUUCCAAUAUGAACAAUGUAAUUUAUUACUUAUGCAUAAAUAUAUUUCUUAGACAAAAAAAAAAAAUUCUUCAACAUAAUUGGGAAGGAUAAAAGUAUGCAUACAUCCUAAAAAUUUACAUGCUAAUUAAAGCAUAUUUGACGUGCUUAUUGGAGGUGAAAGAUUUAUGCAAUAAUAUAUUGCGUAAAAGAGUAAUGAUCUGUUUAUACAUUCAAUUUUUACAUAUAUAAAUGAUCAAAAUUUUGUACUAAUGGCAGGCCAUCAUAUGUAUUUGCGAUAAGUUAUAAGAAGAAUUAAAGAAAUUAAAAAAAGAAACUUGGGAAAAUUGAUUGCUCAUGACUGGUCGUGCAUGCAUGUGCUUCUGUCUAAUAAUCAUGCGCUUGUUCUCUAAAGUUCUCAUUCAAAUUAAUGCCCUAACUAGGGUGGUGCAGAGGAGAGAAAGAGAGAGUCAAGUGAGGAUAUUAGUGAGUUGAGAAGGAUAUUGAAGAAGAAAGAGAAGGCAUGCCGUACAUAUAUAAUUAUAAUAACUGUAUAUUAUUUGCUUUUAUAAUUUCUUUAGCUUAAUGUCUUGCUCGCAAAUUCGCAAUUGACAAUCAUUUGGUUGUCGGCCUUUGAAGUCCAAAGGAGGAGAGGAGUGCCCUACCGACAAUUCGGAACUGCCUCUGACAUUAAGGCCAAGUUGAAUUGAGAUCGAAAAUAGGAUUAUAUAUGAUUAUCCCUUCAUUUUUUUUUUUUAAUUUAAAGUCCCUUUCUGCCGCUUUAGGGUUUGGAAUUCAUGAUUCACGAUAUAAUUUAUGAACAAAGAAACUAAAACAUUCAUUCUACUAAAGGAAAGCGUCAUUGAUCUAAUCUCCUGCCUUUGAAAGGAAUAAUUAUUGCCCAAAUAAUACAAAUGCUAGCUGAAAAUGAGCUCGGACCUGCUGUACGGCCAAGGCGGAUGUACGGUACAGCAGACAAAACACACCUUUGAUUUUCAAUUGUAUGCAUAUAAAAAUAACACACACUCACACAUGAUCAAAGAAGCAAAGCAAACACGAACCCUUAACCCUAAUUAUGUCAGUUUGUACAAGAGUUUGUGGCUGUAUCAUUACUCUAACAGUUAAUUCUAAUAAAUCUCCUUGAGCUUUCCUUUUUUUUCUCUAUCCAUGUGAAAUAUGAGUGAUGGACAUAUAAACUUUGUAUAUUAAAUGAUGUCAUACAAAAUCAAUACUACCAUAUGUUAGAUAAUUAUUAUUUUAAAUAUUAUUGUUAACGAUAAUAAUACUUCGAGUCCCACAUCAGUGGUGAAGUUAGCAUCAUUAAUUUUUUGGGGUGUGCUGAUUUUUUUUUUUUUUUUGAUAAAAAACUAAUGCUUUUGUAUUGUAUGAAAAAAACUUUAUUAAUAAGAAAUUAAAUACUCACCUAAUAGGGAAUAUAAUGAGUUUUGCCCCCCUCAAGACAUUUAUUCUUAUAGAUAAAAUUAUUGAAAUAUGACACCUAAAUAAAAAAAAAAGUGCAAUAUAAACAAAAAGAAACAUUAUCGAAAUUUUAUCCCGUGAAUCUUUACAAAACAAAAAUCGUCUAUUAUCGAAUUUAUGUCGAUACUAUUAGUAAUUUCUCUUUCAAUAUAAAUAAUCAUGAAUUCUGACAAGGAUUUGACGACAAUUGAAAAGGUGAUAUAAUUAACUAAUAUAAGAUUCUAUAGAAAAAAAAAAACUAAAAUUAAUUUUUCAACCCCUACCUCCGUGACCAGAAUUUGAGCUAGGGUGAUUAAAAAAAAAAAAAAAUUGAAUACCACCAAGUCAAACCCCUAGGACCUAAAGGAAUCGUAGUUCCUGUAUUGCUGCAUAAUCUUUGCACUAAAAUAUCUCUAUUAAUAGAAUAUUUUUAGGAGAUGCUUGUCAUAAUUUCUCUUAUAUAUUAUCUAUAUUGUUGCUGAUUGAAAACUUCUUUUUUAAAGGACGAUCAAAAUCUCUCUCUCUCUCUCUCUCUCAUAGUUUGCCUGAUGGAACUUUGAGUGACACUGUCGCAUAAUUAAAAUGGCCGUGGCCUACUUUUUUUCAAUUGUGUCGCUUAAGUUUCAGUAUUUUCAAAGAUUAUGACUUUUGCCGAGCAUUUUCUCACAUAUAAAUUGACGAAGCAAAAGCAAAUUAAUGGGAAAUACAUCAUCAAAAUUGACUGCCACCAACUCGUUAACACUGAAAUGAAUGUGGAUUCCACGGUGAUAUGUCCUCGUGCUCUGCAAAAUAUAAAGACUUUGAGGAUUCGAACGCAUGGGUGAUUUUAUAUGAAAUCUUUAAAAGCUCAGGGCAGUUCUGAUAGAAAAAGAGAGAUACAAAGCCUAACUGGAAAUCUUAGUGGAAUGGGCCUAAGAUGGCCUUAUUUUUUGGUUCUUGAAAUUAGGCCUUUUGAUUUUAUUGGGCCUAGGAAGGCCCAGAAAAGAAUAAAAAAUAGGAAGUAGGGAAAGAAAAUGAUUCGACCAGGCGUCCAGCGAUCGACUGUUGCUGGACCUCAGAAAAAUAAAAAUUCAGAAAAAAAAAGAUACGAAUUUGGAUUGCGUUUGAUGUUCAAUUGAUCGGUUGCUGGAAAAAGAGAAGACUUCGAAGAUCAGACGAGAAAAAUUAGAAAAAAAUAAUAGAGAUAAAAAAAGCUAAGGAAAUGGAAAAAGUUAUGAACAUGAUAAAGCCAAAGCCUAAUCCGCAACAGCUGUUGAGGGAUUGGCAACGUAAGCUUCGCCAAGAGUGCCGGAACAUUGAGCGCCAAAUUCGAGGUAAUUAUUCUCUACAUUUGACCCUUGUUUCAUUUUUUUUUUUUUUUGGUGGAAGAAAAGGAAUCAAAUUUAAUAUUUUUAUAUUUUAUUUUUUUAAGGUGAUUGCUUUCAUUGAUCGAGAAUUUGGCUUAGUGGGUUUGAUUAACGUAGUGUUAUGAUUAAUGGGUAUUUUUUUUUUUUAAUUCUGUGUGUUUGUUCUGUUUAGAUAUACAGAGAGAAGAGAAAAAUGUGCAGAAAGCAAUUAAAGAUGCUGCCAAGAGAAACGACAUGAGCUCUGCCAAGGUAUUAUCCUUUUUUUUUUCGAAUUUUAAUUUGUUAUGCUUUGCCAUUGUAUUCUUACGGAAAAUUGAUUAAUAAGCAUCAAACAGGAAAUGCUGAAGUGUUAGAAAAAGUUCAAGUUAAUUGCCAAAGUAAUGUGACCUUUGGAUUGAAGUGGAGUUAUUAUUAUUAUUAUUAUUAUUUUUUAUAUAUCUAUAUAUAUAUAUGUAUGUAUAAUAGCUUUUUUUUUCCUAUGUAGGAAACUUAAUAUUUAAGAGUUUACAACUUUGCAAAUUAAGUUUCACAGUAUAGGCUACUGUGAGCUUGGACAUUACAUUUCACUUUCACUUUCAAGAUGAACUUUGCUGCUGCAUUAUGGUGUAAAUCUUUCAUUGCUUACACACACACACACAUGUAAUUUUUGUUUUUUGUAGAAAAUACUUCAGUUUUGUGAAACUAGGUUUGUUUGGUUUCAUGGAAGUUGAAAAUCAUUAACUGCCAUACUUAUUCAAUCGAGAGUAGCUGGACCAAAUCAUAUACUUUACACUAUAAUUUGUCACCUAUAAGAUUUGUUAUGAUAAAUCUCAUGAUCUGGAAAGAAAUGGGUGUAUUUCUUGUAUAUUUGCAAUCUUGUAAGUGUUAUGAGCUUAACGGGUACUGACUGACGGUCAACUCUAGUGUAGGUUGGACAUAAGAUCUUUCUUGUUACUGUUUAUUAGAAAAAUGUUCCUAUCAAAAGUAUUAUAUUGUCACUUAUAAUUAGAAAAAAAUUAUGAUUAAGAUUUCUUGUUUCUAAUAAUUUCAGUUUCUUCCUCAUAUUCUCUGUUUCAGUCUCUGGCUCAGGAACUCGUCAGAUCUAGAAAGACAGUUAACCGUCUCUAUGAAAAUAAGGCACAAAUGAACUCAAUAUCGAUGCACCUAGGAGAAAGUGUAGGUAUGGUACUUCACUUGUUGGAAUGCUUUACCCAUGAAAUAGGGAAGGUGGUUUCUUCUGUCUAAUAUCUUCUUUAUAAAUAUAUGAGAGUGUAGUAGCCUAUAUUUCUUUGCUAGAAGGGACUCUAUAGAUAGAAUUUUAGUCCGAUUUUUAUUUUGAUGGUGAAUUUGUUUGUCUUAGCCAUUUUCAAAAGUUGCUACGCGUGGAAUGAAUGAUGUAGGGAGGUGCUCUAGAGGGAUGUAUUAGUUUUAUCACAUGUUGUCUGUACUUAAAAGCAAGUGUGAGGUCCUUGUUUAAUUUUGGAAUAUGUGCAUGGUAUAGUUCUAGGUUAGUUAUGGUUUCUGCACUUCUCAUCUGCAACUUUCAUUGGCCACAAUAGCUUAGACUGAACAAUUGCAUUGUCAAAGUGAGUCAUAAGCUCUGCAAUUUAUUGAUUUUGCCUCGGUCUGUUGUCAUGAUGCAUAUUGAGUAAAUAAUGGAUUUACUUUCUGUGCAAUCUAUUAUACUGAUUUCCUGUGUGUUGUUUAAUUUAUUGAUCAAUGAUUUGUUCCCUGACCCUCGUCUCCUUCCCUCGGAGUGAUUUUUGUUGGUUUCUAGGUUCUUACUUUGGCUACUAUUGCAGCGAUUGCUCGUACUGUGGGGCAUUUGAACAAGAGUGCUGAGGUUAUGAAACUUGUCAACAAUCUCAUGAAGGCACCAGAAGUAGCUGCUACAAUGCAAGAGUUCAGCAAAGAAAUGACCAAGGUAUUUUUCUGAUUUAUGUUUAAUAUUAGCAGACAAGGGAAAAAAAAAGUUACUGAUUAACUGUUGCUUGAGUAGAAAAUAUGAAACUCUUGUGUUGCGCUACUUUGGAGUGAUGUACUUGCAUUACAUAUCAUUUAUUCUCUAUUUUUUCCUUUUUUUUUUUUUUUUGGCUUUUAAUUUAUCAAAGCUACAAAUGUGAAUAACUCGUUACUUGUCAUAUAUAGUUACAGCAGCCCUUACUUUAGCCCUUCUGUAAUUGUAUUUACAGAGCUUAUGUUCCUAUUAGCGACACUAGAAUCAAAGUAAUAGUGCUUAGUCUAUCAUUCUCUUAUUUUCUCACUAGAACGGAAAUUAAUUCUUUCCAACCUGUAGACCACUGUACAACAAUAGUGCCAGGUCCCAGGGUCCUCUUCUGGAAUAAUCAAAAUGGGCCACUGUCAUUUGAACACCAUCUAACUGGAAACCAAAAUAUUGAUGAAAAUAUUAUCCAGGGCUUAAUAUAAUUAUGUGAAUGUAUAUACUAAGGAUGGUCAACAUCUCCCUCAUAUAAUUAUACUUUUGUCUGUAAUUUGCAGGCUGGAGUAAUUGAGGAGUUUGUGAAUGAUGCUGUUGAUACAGCACUGGACUCGGAGGAUAUUGAAGAGGAGAUAGAAGAAGAAGUUGAUAAGGUCUUGACUGCAAUUGCUGGUGAGACUGCAGCACAGCUGCCUGAAGCAGUUAGAAAGGAAAGGGUGAAGCAAUCUGCUCAGACAUCUAGAGCAGCACAGGAGGUAACGUGACACAACAGCCACAUUAUGAGCUGCUAAUUUGUUUUUCUUUCCGGUUGAAUGAACCUCAUGUCUGUUGAGUUUUUGUUUUACCAUAGGAGGAUGCUAUUGCUGAGGGUAUCGAUGAUGAGAAAGAACUUGAAGAAAUAAGAGCCCGGCUUGCCAAAGUUAGGUCAUAACUUAAGCCUUUUAUCUUCGCCUCCCACUCUCAUCAUAUUAAAGGAAAGGUGCGUAUAUUAGUGUGCAUAUGGGUUCUUGAUGGAAGUGACAGAAAGUUCCAGUUUAACAAUAAGAAUAGAGCAUGAGAGGAAAAAUCUGUAUAUUCGAAGCAGCAAUUUUAUAGACUACCUUGCCGCAAGCUGCUAGUUGUACAAUAGUAAUGUGCCGCAACAAUGUCAUUGGCGCCCCAGUAUAAUCUAAUUGUUCCUCUGGACUGCUUGUGUUUGUGUUUAUCUCUAUGUCAGUGUGUAGUGGCCAAGACCAGAUGUAGAUUAAACUUUUACUGGUUACAUGAUUUCAUGACCAAUGGCCAUGUCCUGUUAUCAUGUGGAGUUGUCAAGCAAGUUUGUUCAGGUAGGCCCAAUGGGUAACCCAUUAUGGGUUUGAUUAGUGGCUCAUGCCCUUUAGCCAAGGGCUAGUUGAGUAUGGGCAAUGUGCUGAUCCUUGCUAAUGCAAUAGCUAAGAUUCUGUGUUUUAUAUAAAUAUCUCAUAUCUUACUUGAUUUUGAUUGAGCUUGAACAUAUUAAAGUUAGGACAAAGUUUUUGUCGGAAAUCUUAAUUGGAAUGCUAUUCUAUAAUGCUUUGUCAUCAGUUUGUAUAAGAAAUUUGCUAUGCUCAUAAGUUGCUUUGAACUGUGAAACCUUGUCGUCAUCAUUGACUACAAAGAGAAAUGAAUGAGCAGAAAUUGUGCAUAAAGUAACAGCUUUCUUGCAAAAAUAGAUUAAAAAAACCCCACUACUUUCUUCACGUCUUGUGCUCACCAAGAAACAUUUUCAUAUUGCAGUUUGCUUCUGUGUUAUCUCUUUCACCUUAUGAUUAUGUCGACCUUUUUUUCCCCCCUCUUUUUCCUCUUUAUCCAUGCAAAUUAAAGCCAUAAAAAUUUCUCCCUGAUUAAAAAGAUUUGAUUGCAAGUUAAAUUAUCAAACUAGUCCCUAUAGCUUCUAGAAGUAACAAAGGAGUUCACAGGCCUACCAGUGAACCAAAAUUACUGAAUAGCAUAAUACAUUUACAGAAUUUAUCCUUGAACACUGUUUAUUUUUUGCUGACGAACUUGGACGACAGUCGGUGGGUGACAAGUGAAGUUGUAAAACGUAUGGACCUAUUUGCAACUUUCACAAAACCACAUGGAACAUUCGUAAUAAUUAACAAUCUCACACACAACCUUUUGACUUCAAUUUAUGUCGAGAUAAUUACAGGUGCAGAGUACAAAAGACAUGAAGCACCGGCUCAUGAAUGAGGUGAUUACAAGUCUCACGUUGUUGCAGCCGGCGCACGAGUCCGAGUCCGAGUCCGAGUCCAUGUUCUCGAAAACUGAAAGUGCUUAUUCGGUUUUGUAGGGUCCACUUGCAUUUCCUCAAUCUCGGUUGCUUUUUAGCUUUAUUUAUUUUAUGCUUUUAAGCUAUUCAUAUCUUGCACGCCAAACAGUCUCUCCAAAAUCAUGAGGUAGGCGUCGUCGAGUGCUCAUAUGAUAAGACAAGAGCAUUCAUAUUUUCUAAAUAUGCUAUAAUUACAUACAAAUCUUGAUUGUAACAUAUUUAUUUUAUUUCUUUUGAAAUUGAAAAGUAGAGGGAAAAAUUAUAUUUAAUAGUAAGAAACAUUUGACCAAUUGGGUGACAUUUGUCUUUGUUAUUAUUUUUUUUAAAAAAAAAAGUGGGAUGAAAUGAUGGUUUCUUAUACUCAAAAGUUCAUGCAAACUGAGGAAUGAAAUGGCUUCAAAGUAAAUCUAAUUUAAAUUUAAUUUCAUUAAAGACAAUCGUUAACUUUCUUUUAUAAAAUCAAUACGUAAGAAUAUAAUUAAUUAGUGUUCCAUUGGAGCCUUCCCUUUAAAGGCAAGUUACGUCUACGUACACUUAAAUUGUAUGAACUGUUGUCCGUUUGGUACAAAACUCUCACCNNNNNNNNNNNNNNNNNNNNNNNNNNNNNNNNNNNNNNNNNNNNNNNNNNNNNNNNNNNNNNNNNNNNNNNNNNNNNNNNNNNNNNNNNNNNNNNNNNNNNNNNNNNNNNNNNNNNNNNNNNNNNNNNNNNNNNNNNNNNNNNNNNNNNNNNNNNNNNNNNNNNNNNNNNNNNNNNNNNNNNNNNNNNNNNNNNNNNNNNNNNNNNNNNNNNNNNNNNNNNNNNNNNNNNNNNNNNNNNNNNNNNNNNNNNNNNNNNNNNNNNNNNNNNNNNNNNNNNNNNNNNNNNNNNNNNNNNNNNNNNNNNNNNNNNNNNNNNNNNNNNNNNNNNNNNNNNNNNNNNNNNNNNNNNNNNNNNNNNNNNNNNNNNNNNNNNNNNNNNNNNNNNNNNNNNNNNNNNNNNNNNNNNNNNNNNNNNNNNNNNNNNNNNNNNNNNNNNNNNNNNNNNNNNNNNNNNNNNNNNNNNNNNNACAGCAGGCCCCACCCAAAUAAUAAUAAUAAUAAUAAUAAUAAUAUAAAGCCAUUACGUUAAGUAAUAAUUAAAAAAAGAAUAGGCCAAUUGCGUGAAAUUUUUCUACAGAUAGAGUUCAAGAUGGAAACUGACAUUACAAUUCACAAGUUGGUGUAUGGGAAAUCAGCACAAAUGAAAGUGAAAUUAAAACAGAAAAAUUGAAAUGAAAAAUACUUUUACUCCUUGCUAAUUGUUUUAAAUUUUUAACAAGUUGUCUAAACAAAGUCAGAUUUUGGCCGAUCUUCAUAACCAAUGCAAUAUUUGGUAAAUCUUUCAAAUCUUAUCUUACGAGUUAGUGGGAAGAGGUGGUUACAAUCAUGGUAGAAAAUAUCUUAAUUAGUUUUCUUUUUAUUUAAAAAAAAAAAAGAUGGCUAAUAAUUAAUUCCUAGCAACAGGUUUUAUGAAGAUUUUCUUGAUAAAUCCAUGAUUAAAAAUUAUUAUGAAACAUAUGCUUUGUUAGUUGUUGGGGGUAAAAGCAUUCUUGCACAUAACAUCAUGACUUAAAAAGACUAAUUAAAGGCUGCAAUGAGCCCAUGAGAAAUGAGAAAAGUUGAAAAGGAAAGAAAACUAACCAUAUAAUGCACAAUAAAAAUUAUUCAUAAGGAGAUAAUUAACGAAAAAAACAAAAUCAGAGGAUGACAGUUAACUCUUUGCUUUUAUCAACUAUAAAUUCUUGUUGAACCUACACUUAUUUUCACUCACAAAGAAACCUGCAACAAAUGGCUUCAUCAACUUUGCUUCAUAUUCUUUCAUCUCUUUUCAUCUUUUGCCUUGCUUCAUCAUUUUCAUAUGCAGCAUAUCCAAAUAACAACCAAGUGAGCCUGACUUCAACUGCAUAUUUGCCAAAGCGGCAAGCAGAAAAGCUCAUAAGAGGGCUCAACUUGUUUCCAAAAAGUUCCGUCAACACAGCUGCUGCUGGUGAUCAUGCUUCAGUUUCGGCUCCGAAACUUGUUGAGAAGCAAUUGAGUUUAAAUCCUCUUGGUGAUCCAGGGCCUUCUGUUCAAGAAUUUGGUCACCAUGCUGGUUACUACACGCUUCCUCAUUCUCAAUCUGCAAGGUACCAUUUGUAACUUCACAUUAAAAUUUUGCUUUAUUUCCAUGUUUUUGACAUAAAGGACUAAUAAUCAUGAUUGAAGGAACGAGAUGCUUUAGAUAUUUUUCUUGUGGGUUGUUUUGUUUUGUCUAAAGUGAAGUAAAGAACAAACAAAACCAGGCUGCAAAAGGUUAAACAAUGUUACAAAACUUCUUGGCUUUAUGUGUCAAUGAAUCUGGAUUACCUCAAAUUGGUUGAAUAAUUUGAUGGAAUGAGCACAAUUCUGAUGCUUCCACACUGUAAAUUCUUUGAAGCAAUGAAUAUGCACCAUUAUGAUUGCAUAUCUGUUUGUGAAGUCAAGUAUGAUUUGGAUUGUCAUGCAAUUUUUGCUUUCAUAUAAUCAAUGCUGCUUCAACUUGAAAUCAUGUGUUGUUCGUUUAUAUGCUGUCUAUACACGAGCAUAAUUGACACAUUUGUUAUUUUUAUUUUAUAAAUAAUUUGCAGGAUGUUCUACUUUUUCUUUGAAUCAAGAAACAACAAGAGUGAUCCAGUUGUUAUAUGGCUGACUGGAGGGCCAGGAUGCAGCAGUGAACUGGCAUUGUUCUAUGAAAAUGGCCCUUUCCACAUUGCUAACAACUUGUCUCUUGUCUGGAAUGACUAUGGCUGGGACAAGGUAUCUGGUCUUUCUGUUGUCUAUCAGCCUUAUUGAUAUGUGUAUGCUUUAAUCUCUUGAUUAUAGCUAACUCCCGUUUUUUGCCAGGCAUCGAACCUUCUAUUUGUCGAUCAGCCAACUGGAACCGGUUUCAGCUAUACCUCAGACAAGGACGACAUUAGACAUGAUGAAGAAGGCGUUAGCAAUGACCUUUAUGACUUCUUGCAGGUUCAUUUGUUCUCCCACUUGCUAAUUCAAUGAGAGUCAGGAUUUGCGAAUACGUAAAUAUAAACUUAGUACCAACCUUGAACUUAUUCUUUGAUCUUAGGCUUUUUUUGCAGAGCAUCCUCAAUAUGCUAAAAAUGACUUUUACAUCACUGGAGAAUCGUACGCUGGGCAUUACAUUCCUGCUUUUGCUUCCCGGGUUCACAAAGGAAACAAAGCAAAACAAGGAAUUCAUAUCAACCUUAAGGUAUCUACCAAACUUAACAUGAUUUUGCUUCAUCUUCAUGUUUGGAAGUGGGAUCUGAUUCUAAUUGGUUGAACAGGGUUUUGCUAUUGGUAAUGGCUUAACUGAUCCAGCAAUACAGUACAAAGAAUACACCGAAUAUGCUUUGAACAUGAGAUUAAUCAAACAAUCUGACUAUGAGAGUAUCAACAAGUUGAUACCAACGUGCGAACAUGCAAUAAAAACUUGUGGUAAUAAUUCUUGCAUCUAAAAGUUCCAGCUCCGUUUUCCUUUCCAUACUCGUAAUAUUUUCUCUCAUUAGUAAAUCAUUUGAACUGCUGUGCCAGAGUCUGAUGGUGGAGAUGCUUGUUCAUCUUCAUAUGCUGUUUGCAACAGCAUAUUUAACAAGAUCUUGGGGAUUGCUGGUGAUGUAAAUGUAAGCAAAGAACAAAAUCUAAAAGCCAAGUUUUUUACUUAGAGCCCUACCUUAUGGAAAAAGCACAAACAUUUCAAACUUUAAUGAGAUCUUUAAUAUCAUUGACGCAGUAUUACGAUAUCAGAAAGAAAUGUGAGGGGGACUUGUGCUACGACUUCUCAAACAUGGAGAGAUUCUUGAAUGAGAAAUCAGUACGGGAAGCUCUAGGGGUUGGAGACAUCGACUUUGUAUCAUGCAGUAGUACAGUAUAUGAGGCAAUGCUGAUGGACUGGAUGAGGAAUUUUGAAGUUGGAAUCCCAACUCUUCUUGAGGAUGGAAUCAGGGUGCUCAUAUACGCUGGGGAGUAUGACCUCAUAUGCAACUGGCUUGGUGAGCCUAGAUCUCUAGAUCUAGUGAAACCCCUAGGUUCACUAAUAUUUAUUUUUUGCCUCAAUAAUCGUAGUGUACUUUAAUAUUGCAGGAAAUUCUAAGUGGGUUCAUGCUAUGGAAUGGUCUGGCCAAAAAGAUUUUGGAGCAGCUGCCACUGUUCCCUUUAAAGUUGAUGGUGCUGAAACAGGGCAAAUAAAAAGCCAUGGACCUCUCACUUUCCUCAAGGUCUCUUUCUGUCUCUUCCUUGAGUAUGUGUGUUUGUCUGUACAUGCUAUGCUUUCCAACUUUGAGAUAUUUUCUGCAUUUUUCAAAACUAACUUUGAGAUAUUUUUUGCAUUUUUCAAAACAAGCAGGUUCAUGAUGCUGGUCAUAUGGUUCCCAUGGAUCAGCCUAAAGCUUCGCUACAAAUGCUCCAGAGCUGGAUGCAAGGGAAACUUGCCAUGACAUGGACAGAUGAAAAGAUUUAUCCCAAGUGAUGAUAUAUACUACUCAACUCAGCAGAUCCUUCUGCAUCCAAGCUAUUACCAACAUGGUUUCAGAUGCCCAAAUUUGGUCAAGAAUUCUUCGGUAGCCAUCUACUGAUGUAAUCAUGUUUGCUUUCAAACAUUCUAAAAUUCAUGGCUGGAAUGGAUUUCUGAAGAGUUAUUUAUCCUGAUCAUUCAUACAUGUCAAUGCUUCAUGUGCCUUUCGUGAGUUCAAUUUAAAGUAAAUUUCCAGACUUAUAAAGUACAUAGGCCCACAGACUGCAAAAUUGACCCGUAAUAAUGUUGUUUGGAUAAUAUAUCAACUAUUACCAUUAAUAAACGAACAGAAUAUUUUACUGAGUACUUCUAUAGUCCAGGGAUGUUAUUCAUAUCUGAAGGCAACAGUCAAGAACCAACUCUUACCCCAUACUUCUCUCUCAAGGUCUCAAUCACUGGCCUGAAGACUGAACUCAAAGGAAAAACUGUCGCUACACGCAAAUGUUGUGCAUUACCAUUCUUUGGUUUGUUAAGUGUCAUUUUGAACAUCUCCCCCUGCAGUACUUUACUGGCUGUCAUGGCUGCAUAAGAAAUUUCCGGUUCAAAGAAAAAAGAGGGGUCAAAACUGGAGAAGCCCAACUGGGCAAAUUCAAAUUCUCUCAUAUGGCAACACUCAAAAUUGUAGAGAUCAGAUAGCAAGCAUUACAUUGGAAAAUAACAGCAAUGUAGCACUCCCGAUAAAAAAAAAAAAAAUGAUGGAAAUUGAGAAAAAAAAAAAGAAAGAAAGAAAGAAAAGAAACUACCAGCAAAAGGGUGAACCUUGGCAAAGUCAAAGAACUCAUCAGCAGAGCAACCAAACAAAACCCUAGCAGCCCUAUCAAAACAUAUCACAACCUUCACUUUUGUAUCUGUUGCAAUGGAAAUCUGCAAAUAUAAUCAAAACCCAAUAUUAGUUCAUCUCCACAUCCUUGGAAGGGCACCAAAAAGGAGGGAGAGUGUUUACGAGGAGGCGAAAGAGGCGUUUGGAAGAAGAGGAAACAGAAACAGAAGCGUUGUCGCUGUUGGAGUUAAAGUUGCAGAAUUUGCAAAGAGAAGAUGGGUCGUCAGGGAGAGUCCUUUCACAGAUUGAGCACACUCUGUAACAGAAAUUGGAAUGGUCCAUGCCCACAAUUGUGCACAUUACUGUCGUUGGCUUGUCAACUUCCAUCUAUGCUGUACCGAGAGUAACGUUCUCUCUGUCUGUUGAGAUUUUGCUUUCUACGUUUAAGUUUCGUCUGUUUCAUUCUUUUACCUAUAACCUUCUAGUUUUUACUGGUGGUUAUUUUGUUUUCAUUUACUUUAACCCUUUUCUUAGCAACUUUCACAAACACACACACAGAGCAAAUUUUUUUACGGUAUUUGUAAAUUUCAUGCGGACAUCCGCACAUAUAUAUAAAAGACUAUCUUAAUAAAACCUCCGUAAAACAUCAUACCAAAGGGAGGACAAUUCCUGAUGGUGAUUAUGUUUUUAUCAGUCACCGCUCUCAGACAAAUCUUAUAAACGUUUCCUUCUCUACUAAAAGGAUGAUAGCAAUGAAGUAAAGAGAUAAAGCAAACAAAACAAAAUUGGCGAAAGAAAAGCAUCAAGCAUAAGGGGAAUUAAGUCUCUAAGCUUCGGUGGGUUUGAGAAGCUUGACAGUUUCCCAUGUGAAAUCCGGGUCAUCACGACCAAAAUGCCCACAUGCAGCUGUCUUCUGAUACCGGAAGUUGCCACCUCUCUUAAGAUCAAGAUUGAUUGCUAUCAUCCCAGGCCUGAAGUCAAAGUUCUCCUUAAUUAGAGCCAGUAUAUCCUUAUCUGAAAUCUUUCCUGUACCAUAAGUGUCCACAAACACAGACAGCGGUUCUGGCACACCAAUGGCAUAAGAGACCUGGACAAGACAGCGACGGGCAAGCCCAGAAGCCACCACACUCUUUGCAGCCUGCCUGACAAUAUAUGCAGCACUUCGAUCGACCUUUGUAGAAUCCUUGCCAGAGAAGGCACCGCCACCAUGAGCACCCCAACCACCAUAAGUAUCAAUGAUGAUCUUCCUACCGGUAAGCCCUGCAUCCCCAUGUGGCCCGCCAAUGACAAAACGACCAGAGGGGUUGAGGUGGAAGAUUGUCUUUUCAUCAAGGAAAUGUGCUGGAAUGACUGGUUUAAUCACAUGCUCCUUCAGGUCCUCAGAAAUCUGCUCCUUGGUGACAGUUUCAUCGUGCUGGGUUGAAAUGAGAACAGUGUGGACCCUCUGUGGGACCAUGGCUCCACCUUCGUUCCGGUACUCAACAGUCACCUGGGUUUUUCCAUCCGGCCUCAGCCAGGGGCAUGUCUUAUUCUUUCUCACCUCGGUAAGUCUGGCUCCAAGCUUGGUGGCAAGAACGAGAGUCAGCGGCAUUAGCUCAGGUGUUUCAUCAGUUGCAUAUCCGAACAUGUGACCUUGGUCACCAGCACCAAUUUCCUCAGGCCUCUUGCUCAAGUUGCCAUGAACACUUUGAGCAAUUUCAGGGCUCUGCUCUUCAAUAUUGACGAGGACCUUGCACUUAUCGGCAUCAAGUCCAACAUCAGCUGAGACAAAUCCAAUGCCUCUGCAAGUGUCACGAACAACCUUUUCAUAAUCCACUUUGGCCUUGGUUGUUAUCUCACCAAAGACCAUAACCAUAUUUGUCUUAGCACAGGUCUCACAAGCAACUUUACUCUCCGGGUCUUGUUCCAGACAAGCAUCCAAAAUGGCAUCAGAAAUUUGAUCACAGAGCUUGUCAGGAUGGCCUUCAUUGACAGAUUCAGAGGUGAAGAGAAAAGUAUCCAUCAUUGGCUAGAAAUAGAAAAUUUUAGACAUGUCAGUUAUUUUCACCACCGUACACAAAACUAAAAUUUGAAGGAACAAAGAACAGCAAAACUUGGUACUAAAGCACUACUCUACAGUUCUGAUACAUCUGAACUCCGUGAAACUUGAGCGAAGCAAAAAAAUCUAUCAAGUAGUUCACAUAGAACUAAAACAAAUCCAUGCUCUGCACGUCACAACUUUCUUUUAAAUUUCUUACGAAACUUUUGAUCAUAAGAACAAUCCCCAACUGCCUCCCCUGCCCCUAUUUAGCAAUCUAAACUGUUUUUGAUGAAGAAAGAGAUCAUCAUAUCAUAUGUGUCGCUGAUAUUACAUUAUCCACUCAUCAUUCCGAAUAUUACUGAGACUCACUCACAAGCUUAUGAAUAAACAGAUUCUGCUUGUGUCAGAAACCGUUAACAAAGGUGAAGAAAAAUAACUUAAAAGAUCACGGAGAAUCUAUUUACUAGUUCAUUUUUUUCUUUGAUCCGUUAAACUCGAAAAGCAAACUUGUAUUCGAAUACAUUGCCCACGGCGCUCCAAGCCAAGUAACAAUAAGUGUUCGGGACCCAUAAACAUGCAGAGAACCUAAUACGACUGGAUUUUCUUCAGAAGAAUGAAUUUCCAGGCUAACAGAUUCUAAUAGGGUUAGUAUUGCCAAAUACUUUUCUUUUUUGUGAUCAUAUACAAUAUUCUCAAUAAUUUCUCCCUGACAUAGAAACCACAAAUUAAUUUUUAUUUUUUCCGGUAUUAGAACACAAUUUUAGAUGAAGAAAAGCCAAGAAAAUUAGAAUCCACAAGUAUCAAAGAUGAUUGAGCAACGUAAACAUGCGUGUCAUGUGAUUUUCUAGAUGAAUAAGUUUAAAAAGAAAUUUGAGUAUCGCUAGUGCUUACCAGUUUUGAAAGAGUGUGACCAGAGAAACUGAGAGAGUUAUUGGAAGAUAUGAAGAAGAAGAAAAAUUUUAAAGAAAAAAUGAAGGGAAAAAUAAUUUAUAGGAUCUGAAAAUGAUGGUGGGUUAGCUGCGGUUCGGUGAAUGUUAGCGCGAAAUUGGCAACUCAUUAACUGCGCGAUCCGAUUUCGUCGCAUAUAGUUUCGGGUCGGGUUGAAAGACCGGAAUCCUGACUUUUCCCAGCAUAAUUUAAAGAAUACAUAAAAAAGCUAGGGGUAAAAUGGGCAUUUGGCACAUUGUAUUAUAAUAUUAAAAUAUACAGGGUAAAAAUGCGAUGAUACUGGUUUGUACGUAGCCGGUUGCAAUUUUGGUUGCAGCCCUCGACUCUAAACAGCUGAAAUUCUUCAAGAUCAGCAGUGGCCUUUCUUUCACUGUCAAAUGGAAGCCGAUAGGUAUUAUUAUUUUUAUUAUUAUUAUUAUUAUUAUUAUUAUUAUUAUUAUUAUUAUUAUUAUGACUCUUGAGCUUCUAAGGAUAACAAUAAUUUAUUUAUUCAGUGUGUCAUGUGUGUGUGUGUGAGCAAUCACUCAUUCUUUGUGUUUGUAAAUUUUUGUCUGAUAGGUUAAACUCUCCAAGCACUUCUGUAAUUAAUCUUGAAGUUCUGGGCCAUCAACUUCAGUUCUCUCAGGUUUACUGCUUUUUCUUCUUCUUCUUGGAAUGUUAAUAAAAAUCUUGAAAGCUAAGUACUUUUUUUAAUAAAGUGCUUUUGGAUUGCAAUCGAUGCUAUGAAGGGAUGUUGUUGCAUGACUUUGUCAGAUAGGAACUGAGACAGUUUCGUAAUCUGCCUACUUUUCAUUUUUUUUUUCCACCAAGCCUCAGCCUCGUGAUGCAGUAUUUUUUUAUUGGUUUGUGUUAAUGAUCUUGCAUAUCUCUUAAUUUCUUCGCUGACAGUGGCCAUUUUGUCGUCAAUGUGUUAGGAUCCCAAUUCAAAGCAUUUAGGAACUACUGUUUGGGAUGCAUCAGUGGUGCUUGUCAAAUAUCUGGUAAUAAUUGUAUUUUCUCUUCUUUUUUUUUAUACCGUAUGUUGUUUAUUAAUGGUGUUUGCAUGGUUUUCCUUUCACAUCUUGACAACCCUAACUCAUAAAUAGGGCAUUGUCAAGUUGAGUGUUAUGUGGGUAAUUUUAUUUACCUAGGAUGUGGUAAGUGGAGUUUCCCAAGGAGUGCUAAAUAGUGAGAGUGGAAAGGCAUGAUCACAUCCACCAUUCCUUCUUAACAUCCACCAUUAUUUUUGUGUGUGUCUUGUCUAGAGCAUUAAGCUCUUGGAAUUUUUUUCCUAUACUAUGAUCUGUAUAUUUCCUUUUUGUUAUUUUUAUUGGCCCCUUCUUUUGGUUCCUUCAGAACUUAGACUUUUUUUCUAUGGAAUCUUUGAGAACUUCUGUGUUUUUCCCUUUUCUCAUUUAAGAGAAUAAAACUUCUUUCUUCUUUUAAGUGUUAAAUAAUUAGUCAUGCAUUCCAAAAAAAAAAAAAAAUUACAUAUCUGUUUGUUCCAAGUUUGUGAGGCUCUCUUUAUUUGGCCAUUCAGGAAAAAAAUUGCCGAAAGGGAAGGUUUUGCCCAUCUAAACUUAAAGGAAAACGUGUCAUUGAACUUGGUGCAGGUUGUGGAGUAGCUGGGUUUGGUGAGUUUCUAUUUUGCUAGAUAGGGUGCUUCCUACAUUCCUUGUAUGUAUCUGUUCAUAAAUACCCUUAAAUUACACAAUCAGGUAUGGUUCUUUUAGCUGACGUGAACUACUCCUUUCAGGGAUGGCAUUGCUUGGAUGUAAUGUAAUUACAACAGACCAAAUAGAGGUUUUACCAUUACUAAAGAGAAAUGUUGAAUGGAAUACAUCAAGAAUCAGCCAGAUGAACCCUGGUUCAGGUAGUGCUAGAAAAAUUCUGUGUUGCAUGGCCCAUUUCUAUGGCUUAACUUUUAAUCUAUUUUUGAAUUACACAUUUUCUCUUCUCUUCCUCUUUACAUUUUCCUCUUGUUCUGGGCUAGUAAUGCUGCUAUACUUCAUAGACAGUGAGUAUGGAUACUAGUUAUAAAUGGUAGUGGAAUCGUUAGCUGCCUGAUAGUCAGCUACGCCUGGAUCUACUGGUUCAUUGUUUUACUAUUAUCUCAAUCGGAAGUUUUGUGCUUUGUAGAUUUGCUUGGCUCAAUCCAGGCUGUGGAGUUGGACUGGGGAAACGAGGAUCAUAUAAAAGCUGUCGCCCCGCCUUUUGACUAUAUCAUUGGCACUGAUGUUGUAAGUUCUCCUGGAUGUUUACAUUUCUCCCAAUCACCUUAGUUUUUUCAUGAUGUGCAUCUGUCUUCAUGUUAAUCUCUUGAAAGAAUUCUAGAUGACCAAUUGUCAUUGUUUGGUUGUGGCAUGUCCAUGUAAGGAUGAUGUGGAAUUUAUGUUAGUAUUGUUAGGUACCAAUUAUUUCUUAAGAAUGCUUCUAUCUGUUUGCUUUAGAUCCUUAUAAUCUGUAAAAGGGAAUUGGUGCAUGCUUUUUCUUGAAAAAGGUUUGGUGGUGUGUGCUGUACUGUUUCGUGGACUAUAUUGUUAAUGUAACCAUGCCAUUUGGUUUAAUCAUGCAUGAGUUCUAUUUAGGAAAUAUAUGCUUUAUAACUUAAAAUUUCAGCAUUUUGCUUCCUCACACAUCCCCUGAAAGCUUCAGAGGUCUCUAUCGAGGAAUUCUGAAAAUUAAUUUAUUCACAAUGGUAUGCAUUCAAAGCAUGCAAUGUGAGAUCCCCAAAUGAUAUACAGAUUCUGUGGUUUGUAUGCCUGAUUUCUGGAAUUAGAUAUUUGAUUUUAAAAUUAACUUUGUGCUUUUAGGCCACUUUUCUGGAAUCAUUUCUCUAUGUGACCUUGAUAAGCAAACCUAUCUGCUAAUUUGAAAUUUUACCCUCUAUGGAUGGCAAGGCCAAGAAUUGUUGGCCUCACUUAUUAAUUGUUUCCAUUAUCAGCUGUAUAAUAAUUCGGCAGUAAAUGAAUUUUGUGUGAUUCAAGCCUCUGGCUAUAAACUAUUAUUAGAUGUAACACUGAACUUAACACAAUUUCAAUCAAGCUAGUAAUUUCCAGUUUCUUUGAUUAAGGUUUAUGCAGAGCAUCUCUUGGAACCACUUUUACAAACAAUAUUUGCAUUAUCAGGGCCCAAAACUACAAUUCUGGUAAUGUUUUCAUUGUCUAUGUUUUCUUUAACGUUUUUUUGUUGGACUAGAAUUACUGCUGAUAAUACAAUAAUUCUCUUGUAGUUGGGCUAUGAGAUCCGCUCUACAAGUGUCCAUGAGCAAAUGCUUCAAAUGUGGAAAAGCAAUUUCAAUGUGAAACUUGUUCCAAAGGCCAAGGUACUUACCCUUUUUUAACUUCUCUCUGGUACUCUUCUCUCUCACUAUAGGCCUCUGUAUUAUAUAUCUUGUGCAUUUAGUUUUCAAGUAAUGCUGAGAGCCAACAGAUAUUGGAUAUUCUAGUACUUUUCAGAAGAGUAUGUCAGAUGGAUAUAAUCUGUUUCUGCAUUAAUUUGUGAAAUAUAUUUAUUGUCAAUGUUAGGAAUCAACUAUGUGGGGCAACCCUCUAGGCCUCUAUUGAUGCAAUGAAGCAUGUUUCUAGUUUUUGUGGUUCGAAACCAAGAUUUGAGCCAAGAUAAGAACUAUCUAUGAAUGUUUUCAUUUAAAAUGAUACUUAUCAUUCUUUGGCUUUGGGCUAAUCACUUAUCACCAUGCAGAUGGACAGCAAGUACCAACAUCCAAGUAUUCAGCUUUUCAUUAUGGGAGUGAAUUCUUCAGUUGGGAACACCGAAAGAGCAGCUGAGAGAAUUGAUCAGCAAAAUGAAGAUGGAACAAAAGAAACAAAGCAGGAGAAGGACGAGAAUGAUGACAAUAGUUAUCCGGCGGAUAAGGUUGGUGAUUUUAGUGGUCAAAUCAUGGAUGAGGAUUCUUUGCUAGCAACAAGACUCCCAAAUGGGAAGCUUAGUGAGUGGGAAACAAGAAGAUAUGGUUCAAUGGCUGCUCGGCUUCUUCGAGAUGUCAAGAUAACUUAAUUUUCUGGCUGGUAUUUUUUUUAUUUAUCUUUCUUCUACUAUAUGUAUCUUUUAUACAUCAAUCAGGGAAGAAUAAAUGGUGCAAUUCAUCUAGCAUUAAGUUAGGCACCAAAUGAAAGCUUAAUUCUUUAAUCUGCGGUAGAGGACACAAUUCUGCUAGCCAAUGCAUACCUUUUUGGUCUCUCAUCAUUCCUUUUCUCUUCUGCUUGUCUGCUCAGAAUUAAAAAAUAUGCUGCUUGCAUAUAUAGAGCAAGUUGAAUCUGAUGAACAAGGAGGGACACUUGUUGCCGGAUAUUUGAUUGCAUAAAUUUUUAAAUUCUUCUACCUGUGUGUUAAUUCGUCAGCUGUCAUGCUUCAGUUUUUAUAUUAUGGACAUUUAGGCCUUCUUUUUACCUAAAUGUCAAAUUGGUUUCUCUUUUUUGGUUUUUACUUUUACUUGAUGUUUGGAAGUCUGUGAAGCACUCAUAGCUUGUUACACAACAGUAGUCAACUUCCAUAAGAAGAGAUUCUGGUUCUGUAGAUAUUGCUUCUGUCAUACAUUGUUGGUUUGCUGAUGGACUUGGAGGAAAGUAGUAUUUAGGGAUUAGACCUGUGAAAGAGUUGACAUUGUCCUCUGCACUUAUUUUCUGAAAAAAGAAAAAGGGUCUGCAUCUCUAAAAUGCUCAGCUGUGGCUUGCUUAUGCAAACAAAGCUUGGUGUUUCUUUUCAGGGCUGCCAUAUUCUGAGAGCUGACUGUAUAUGCAACUCACCAUGUGUCUCAUAAUGUAAAUGCAUCGAAGAUAUGGCAAACCGCUGUACUGGCAUUACACCACCAAGUGGGAGUGACCCUAUCGUUGAUUGGGUUCACCUAGAAUGAUGCUCAAGGAGGAUGGGAAAAAAUAUACUACAUUGAUGUAGUGAUUGCACAACAAGGGCUGAAAGAAAUGAGAUCAGCAAGGUAUUAUCAUAAGAAAUCACUUGGCAGAAGUAAAAUCAAAGCUGCUUUAUCCACCACACAAUUGCCUUAGGAUUAGGAUUCUUUUAGCCUCUAUUGUCCAUUUGUAGAGAAAGGCAAGUAACCUUGCCUUGAAUUUCAUUAGAUGAUAGUUACUGAAAUUCUUGAAAUAUUUGGUUCACCUUGGAUGCCUGGAGUGAACAUUGUGUUCUACAUGUGAGUACUUAGAAGAGUACUUGUAUUUUGAUUUUGAAGUUUGUAGUUUCGUGAAACUCAGACAUCAUACAUGGCCAUCGAUCAAAUUUCAAAUUUGUAUUUUUCCCCCCUUUUUCAGCUAAUCAGGUUUCUUACCAGUUUCUUCUUCGAAAUAACUCAUUCUUUGCCUUAUGUGAAAAUUAUCUAUAAUUCUUCCCCGCCUAGAAGUAUAAAAGUGUAUUUUGAAAGAGCCAAAUCUGCUAAGGCUUACAAUUUUCAAAGGUUUCCCCAUAUGAUCAGCACGAGGUUGGAGAAGUUUAAAAAAUGAAAUUGAAAACUUUUAUUAUUUACACAAGUAAUGCACACAGAAUUUCUGAAGAUCUUAACAAUUUUGUGGGCAACAAUGUAAUCUGAAAUUAACUGAUGCUAUAUUGCGGCUAUUUCAGAAUGAUUGGACAUGCUUUUCUGAAGAAUAUGGCUACCAUUUAAGGAUGUUUGUGAGGUUGAAUCAGACAUGCUGCUCACCGUAGAAAAUUUAUCCAUGUAAAUUCCCAAAUGAGAAAUAAGUGGUUCUGCCCGAGACUUAUCAAUGACAAACCUUAACUGCUGUGAUUUAACAGUAGGAAAUUGCAAGAGUCUCUGAUAUCCCACUGUCGUGCCAUUAAUCACCUUUUUCCAUUUCCUCUCUUCAUUCAAGAUAUCAAGAUGAAACCUGCUAAUACGCUGUCCCAUAUGAAUCGGCUCCUGAACUUGCAAAACAUUAAAAGAAACUGGUUCCUGAAGGUUUAUCAACAAUGUCCAGUCCGAAUGAUUCUCUUCAGGUGCCCAAUAGGUGUAAAUAUCUUCUUUCAUGACAUUAUGAGGGUCAAACUGAGAGUUGCUAAUGCCUCCUCUUGUACUGCUGGCACUAACAAGUGCAUUCUCUGCCAGAUUGUAAGAGAAUAUGGACUUUCGGAGCUCACUGAACUCUUGAAGUACUUGUAUAUCUUCAGCUGAUAUGAGACCCAAAGAAUUUGGGGGCACAUUUAGUAAUAAAAGACAGUUUCUGCCAACUGAUUUGUAGUAUAAAUCAAGAAGCUCCACCGCAGACUUUGGAGCUUCUGAUGCAUGCCAAAACCAACCAGGUCUGAUGGAGACAUCACAUUCGGCAGGUACCCAGUCAUGACCAUGAGGGUCGCCUCCCUGAGAGUAUCUGUUAGUUAUGUCGAACAAAAAUUCAGUGAGCCUCUUACACUUUGUACAAUUCCAGAAGAAAUCCAAAUAAAGUUUCAAACUCUCAUUCUACAACAGAAUCUGUGGAUGAUUUUUACGUUCGAAUGAGCAAACUGAACUCACCGAGGGUCAGUACCACCAAUUUUUGCAUCACUUCGAUUGAAAAGAGACCAGCAAGUAGAGUCAGCAACACCAGCCUCAUCUCCAAUCCACCUGGUGUCAGGACCAACAUCGGAAAAGAUGACAGCCCGAGGCUGGAGCUGAUGAAUGAGACUAAACCAAGAAUCAAAAAAAUACUCCAUGUCCUUUUCCCCUUCACCUUUUGCACCAUCCAACCAUACCUCCUUGAUCUCUCCAUACCUGUUAAAUUUCAAGAAAGGAACAACCAGAAAACAAUCACUUAUUAUCACUCAAUUCAUCAAUUUGAUGAAUUCUUCGCAUAUUACACAACCUAAUGAAUCAAGGUAGCAAAUGAUUGAUACAAACAGCAUGUUACCGAAGCACAAUCUCAAAAAUGCAGUAACUAGAGAAUUUCUUUAUAGAAGCAAAGCUUUCAAACUGCUCAAACACCUAACACUCGAAUCAAUUCUAAAUCUUCAAUGGAGAACAUGAAUUGAAUUCCCCGGAGGCACAGUCAUUCACUGCUAGCAAUCAAUCUUAAAACUCAAUCAAACACAUACCAAUGAACAACAAAACAAACAAAACAUCAAAAGCAAAGAAAACACCUCCACAUAAUGAAAGAGUCACCUAGUUAACAACUCAGCCAUUUGGGCCAUAUAGAACUCAUUAUACUCCAAGGUCUUGCCAUAAGAGGGCUCAUGCCGAUCCCAUGGCGAAAGGUACAGCCCGAGGUCAACACCGGCCUCUUUGGCAGCCAAUGCCAGCUCAGCAACAACAUCACCAGUCCCAUUUUUCCACUCACUGGACUUCACUGAGUAAUCCGUAUACUCGCUCGGCCACAAACAGAACCCAUCAUGGUGUUUAGCAGUGAGUAUCACGCGGUUAAAGCCGGCGCUUUUAGCAGCGUGGACCCACUGAGAGGCGUUUAAUCGGGUCGGGUUGAAGACUCUCGGAUCGGCCCUCCCCGUGCCCCACUCGGAAUCCGUGAAGGUGUUAGGUCCGAAAUGGAGGAAGAGUGCCAUUGAAGAGAGCUGCCAUUCGAGCUGGGGUGACGAGGGCAGGGGCAAAAUAGGAAGAGGGGGUGGCUUUUUGAGGGGAGAAUUGGAAAUGGGGAUGAAAUAUAGUGCGAGCAGAGUUAGGAUGAGGUUUUGUGAGAUGGGUUUUGUGCAGUUGUUCUUGUUCUUCUUCAUAGUAUGCGGGCGUGGACCUUCUUGUUGAUUCUGCUCAAGAGAAGAGGCUUUAAAGUUCAGUUUUGACCCGUAAGUGAAGAAAGAAAAAGGUUGUUACGUCGUUGUUUUACGAGUGGGGUGAUUACAUGAGGUCCAGUGCAGGGAGGUUCAUUGCUUUGACCGACUUUGAGGAAUUAUCAAUGGAAGUUUGAAGAGAAGGAAAUAGCGAAUUGGGCUUGUUUGGUUUCAAGCUUUUCAACUUAGAUGGGCGUAAGCAUGUGUCUGAUUGAUUUACUCAUUUUCAUCGGUCGCUGAUAAUUUCAUGCCUUCCUGAGGAGAAGCACUUUCUUUCAAGCAUUGUUUUCUUAGAGGGAGUUGUACAGCAUCCGCAAGUUAUUCGAUUAUGAAGUAAAUUUUACUUUCCUUCUGAAUGUGCUUCAACACAAGAACUACCCUCGUGUGGAUUUUUUAGUUUCUUGCAUCAUCUUUGAAGUGGGGGUUCAAUCUUCGCAAUUUGUUUGUGAGAAUUUAUUUCUUCAAGUACUUCACCUCUCAUUAUUUGAGGGUGGCUGUCCAUAUUGGACUUUUUAAUUGGGCUUUGGUUUAGAGAGCAGAGGCUGCAUAUGAGGUAAGGCAAGAAACGAAAUAUUGGCUAGGGAUUUACUGUCUAUCUACAAAUAUUAUCUUCUGUUUAUGCGGUUAUUUUCAUGAUUUGUCUCGACUAGUUGGUGUUUGCCAGGUUGCAUUUAGAUUUUGUGGUUUUCAUUUCCUGUUGUGUGCAUGUGCCUUCGCCUUUGCAAAUAGUUGGGCUUAAUUUCUGUGGCUUCUGUUUUAGGCCUGAGCAACACCGACCAGCUGGAAGCUUUGACUUUACCCAGUCCUUGUAGUAGAUUUUUCAAGGGAGACAUUUUGUCAUAAUCUGGAACAGCCUUUGGGCCUGCCCACUGCCUUUGUGAUAUGACCCUUUUUUUCCCUAGAAGGUAGACAGUGGACAAAUCGAAAUAAAUUUUUUAACUUCUAUAUUUUUCUCAUAUUUAAAUUCAAAUAGUUAAUAAAAUAAAAUUGCUUGAACUCUAACUUGGAACGGGCUCCUAAGAGUCAUUUUAAUUAUAUCUUACGAGUCAAAUUUUCUUUCUUGCAAUUAGGGAUGGGCAAAUUCAGGUUCGAAUCAACCUGGUUGGAUUUUGGUUAAUCAGAUAGGGAAGAAAAAUAAACGAAUUCAACAUGAACUUGUAACCCAAUUCGGUCCGGUCGAAUAUGAUUCGGAUCAGAUUGAAUAUUUGUAUUUUUAUGUGCAUUGUGAUCCGGAUUGAAUCGAAUUUGACUUGAACCGAUAUGAUCGAUUGGUCAAAUCCAACCCGAUCAGAUUGAAUUUUUAUUCACAUCUGAUCUAAGCCUAAUUUUUUUGGAUCUAAUUGAGUCGAGUCAGGUUAUUUGCUCACCCCUACUUACAAUUGAACCCAAUUACCAAAGAGAUUGACUUAAGAAGCAUGUGCUUGGUUACAUGGGUGAACUCUCAUAGAAAGAUGCAUUGCUGACGUACUAAAUAUGACUUCUACUAACUACUAACACAGCACGUUCAUAAAUCACAAACAACUAUGAAGUAGCUUAGUAGAAUGUGCUAGCCGGAAGCAAUGUAUUGAAUCGCUUGAUUUAUCAUAAUAUAUAGUUCAACUCCUAGGUCUCAAAUCCAUCAACUUAAUUUAUUGAACUAUCUCAAGCUGUUAGACUACUUCUCCUUCAUCUAUGUAACUCCUUCAGUGUUGAUUGCUUAUCUAUAAGUAUGAAUAUUAAAAAUAAAAUUUUAUUUUUGAAGGAAAAUUAAAGCAUAAUUAUUGAUAAAAAUUUUCCUGAUUAAGAUUUAAGUGAUAGUGAUACCUCAAAAAUACAAUUUAGUCAAUCCCACACUAGAGACUUGCUUAAUUUAAUAAUGUUUUGUAGGUUUGAACCAAUACUUACCAACCAGAUCAAGUAGCUAUACAGAUAGCUUGCUUAUAUAGUACACCAGAUAUAUAUAAAAACCAAAAGGCUUGCAAUUGCAUGAGAUGAGUGAUUGAUUGGCUCUCGUCUGAUCUCACCCAACAAACCCCAUCUCAUCAUCCUGCCUGGUUGUACACACACACUCAACCAAAAUGUAGCACUUGUGAUACCAUCACCACUCGCACAAGCAAAUACCAAAAACUUACUCCUUUAAUGCCAAGUUGAUUUGUAUAAAUAAACUAUAGAUUGUAAAUUUAUUAACAAUUUUGUCAAAUUUGUGAAAAGCAUCUCAAAUCACAUCAAAUUCAUCAAUUUUUUUUUUGGUUUAAAGGAAUGCAUUUGUUUAAAGACUAAUAAUGGUCAAUAAUAAAAUUUUAUGAAGGCAUAAAUACAAGAUCAUAUUCAACUUAAGUAUAAUAUAUAGAAUAAAACCUAAGAUUCAAUCCUAAAAUAAUACAACUUCUAUUAACUAAACACAAAUAUAUCUAUAAACACUACAAAUUUUUAAUAAUUGAUAGGAAAUAAAAAUUUCACUCAUUGGAACUACUUAAGCACUAGAGAAAUUUUAUAGGACAUGUCUAGCCCACCUUAACUCGCCUCAACUAAUGCAAGUGAGACUCUUUCCCAUUGAUAAAAGAAAAUCGAUAUAAUCGAUAAUCCAAGACAAACAACACAACACAAUUUUAAAAACCAAAUACAAAACUGCCAACAAAACUACAAGAACUUGAUAACAAAACUGUCUAUCUUAUAAUAAUCUAGCCUCUAGAUGAACUCUCACCCAAGCCAAUAUUUACUCGCCCUACCCCAUCAAAAUCUCAAUGCACUAACUCUUAGAGUUCUUCAAUAACUCCAAUACAACUAUGUCAUCCUUAUACGAAUAUUAACACGAUCCUAACAAAUAAACUGAAACAACACUAUAUUCAGCACGGAAAAAAUUUCAAGAGAGGUAGAUAUGCAAUAUUCAAACACAAAAAUACAAACAAAUCCAAUAAAUGAAAAAUCUAAUAAAUUUAUAAAGAAAAUAGAAAAUAAAGGGCAAAACAUAAAAUAGAAGAAAAAAUGAAAAGACAUAAAUUCAUGAAAAUGUUUAAAACCUUGACGAAAGCUUCUUUAUUAUUAUUAUUUUUUUUUCAAGAAGAGAAUGAGAGCACGCGCGAGUGAAGCCAAUCAAGCUUGGGGACGAGGACAAAUUGGUGGAAGAAUCAAAAUCAGUCGUGAAAAUCGAGGAUCGGGUGCCACGUAUGGGUUUCGUAGAGUUAGAGACAAGUCUUUUGAAAAUGAUUUUUUUGGCGCUCUUUUAAUCUUUAAUUUUUCAUUUUUUUAACUCCCAUCACAAGUCGCAACAUCGAACACGAGUGUUCGAGUGUUACGCAACAUAUGACGUCAUUUAAGACAGCGAGGCACUUUGUCUUUUGUCCGAGCGAAUCCCAGUUCGGACUUGUUUGACUUUUGUGUUUUCAAUAUUUGCAUCAAUAAGUCCCUGCUUGUUUCACUAAUUGUGUCUUAUUCCGAAACUCAUAACGGUUCAAACUUGACAAAAUUUGACUUUCGGGUAGUGUGAAUAUCACUCCACUUUAGUCCAUCUCAAUUGAAUUGAUAUUUAUUUAUUAGGUGAUGUGAAAAAAAAGAUUUAUUUAAUCCUUAUAAUUUAAAUUACUUAUUUAAUUAGUUCAUAUAUUUAUAUAAAAAAAUUAAAAGGCCUCUGUUAUAUUCGUUUAAGUUAAAAUCUACUUUAUUAUUCUUUAUUUUUAACUGUUGAGUGUACGACUUAUUAGAAUUUUUAGUUAUAUAAGAUAAAAAUAUAUAUUCUUUCUUUGAAAGUUAAACCCAAAAGUAAUAAAAGUAACGAUAAAGUCUUUUAUAGAUAAUUUUGAUAUUUUAUUUAGUCGGAAGAGUUUAGGUAAGACUUUCAAAGUCACUCUCGACGAGAGAAUCCAGGCUAUUCAAGAAUAAUUGCAGCAAUUCCCCAAUCUUAACGAAGUAGUUCUUUUGGAAUCCAAUGAAUAACAACGAUUACUUAAAAACUUACAUUUAGAGAACAAUCAAUACAAGGUUACUUUACCUUUUUUUACUUUUCAUGAUAGAUUGGCUAAACUAACGAAAAAGAAAAAGAAAUCGCAUUGAAAUCGAUUUUUAUUGACCAAUUAGAAAUGUCUCCCAGGAUCUAUAAUUGUUUCAAAAUGUCCAAUAUACAUACAUUAUUCGACCUUUUGAAUACGCGUCAAGAAAACCUUAUGAAAAUUGAACACUUUCGCAUAGAAGAUGUAAAGUAGAUAAUGAGUAUUCUAGAAAAGAAAUAGAAAAGCAUUUCACAAUUGAUUUACCAAAAAAAAGUUUUAAAUCAAUUGAAUUUAGUGCAAUUUUUCUAUUCUUUAGAAAAAAAAAGAGAAAAUUGAAAUGGCUUUGCACCUUUAAAUCCGUCUAUAUAUUCAGACUUGAAUUAAAUUGAAUAGAAGUAUUUAGGGAGAAUUCACUUUGAUAAGAAACAUGACAAACAAAACAAUAUUCCGCAUGAAAUUAUAUUAAGGAUAAAAAUAUAAAAUUAGAAGUAAAAUUUUUUCAGAAAUCACCAACUAACUAGGGAAUUAAUAAGAGUAUAAGACAACUGAUCAUCUUAGUAAGGAUCAGGAAGCCGAAUUUCUCAAGUAGGGAUCACGAACAAUCUUUUAUUAAAAUGCAAAUGCGUUUACAAAUUAGUGAUCCAAUCACGCUAAGGCAAGUGCUAGGUGUAGGGUAUAUAUCCAUCUGUUUGUGUCCGUUUUCAAAGUAUUUAGGUUAUGACUUUUUUUGUAUUUUAUUUUAAGAGGGGAAAAUACUUUCAUUCAGAAAGAAAAGGGUAGGCUUAAGACCUUUUUUUUUUUUUUUUUUAACUCCCAUACACUUAAUCGUAUGGUUUUCAUUUAGCAUUAUUCAUUUAGUCACCCAUGUUUGAAUCCAAGAGAGGUAGUAGUAGUUAAAAGACUGGUUUGGAUUUUGCCUACCCUUCUAACCCUUUUUCUUUUUUUAAAUAAAAAAGAUAACUUUCAAUUAUUCCUUGUAAAAUGAAAAUCUUCAAAAUAUCGUAAAUUAUUGUACAUCUCAACACACUUUUUUUUUCAAAGGUUAAGGAAAAAACGGGACAGUUAAUGAAAAUUUUUUACCUUCUUAACAAAAAUGGCCGGAGAUAAGUUGAAGUUUUCAAUAAUUUAAAAGAUAUUUUAAAAAUUGUUAUUUCAUGAAGGGUGUUCUCAAAUCUGAUAAAAAAAUGUCAAUUGCCAUUUUCCUAAUUUAGAUAAAUACUUCUAAUUUUUUUUGAAACUCACUGGAUCUGGACUUCUAAACAUUCAAUAUAUAUUUGAGGCUAGUUAGCAUGAUUUAUCAAUGAUAAAUUGUUAAAUUUUUAGAACUGUGUAGCACCGAUUAGCCUCAAAUUUAUACUUUCAAAUAUGCAGAUGCUCCCACUGGAGAAAGAACCUAAAUCUUUAUAAAUUAUACCUAGACAUAAUAAAUUUUACACAUAUACAUGUACGACCCGUCAAAGGUUAUGGAAUUAAUGUAGGGAAAAAAAUAUGUAGAAAAAUGUAGUUGACGAUACAAGUGUGGUAACAAGAAGAACAGCCUGAUAUUUUUCAGUUCUUUUGGUUUCACACCACAUGAAAGUUAAUAUGUUUAUUUUGGUAAAUAAAAUUAUGGAAAACAAUUCAAAGAAAUAGGCCAAAAAGGGGGGCCAAAGUGCAAAAGUUUGCAAAUAACAAGUCUUGCUUUGCUUUUCCCAAAAAUAAUUGAAUAUUGUUUAUGAAGAAAUAAUGGGUACAGCCUGCAUCAAAAUUUUUCUAGCUUAGUUUGCCAACCGUUGAGAAAGUGAGAAAAAACGUACAUGAGUAUGCAUCUUUCCUGUCUAGGGGAGUCAAUGCAUAUGACGACAUUUGUCUCUUCUGCAUGUUCCUGUAUUUAAUUUGAUCCAAUGAUACAUUAACUUCGAUUAAUUAUUUCGUUGUUUGUUGUCUUGAUAGAGAAUUCAAGACACCAUUUUGUUUAUUUUCAAAUUAAAGAUUCCUCUCAGCCGAAGAAACGACACAGAAACUUGAAUUUUUAAACUCGUUAUUGCUUUCUUUAAUUUGCUGUGUGAAUUAACAAAUGCCUCUAUCUCUGUCCCUUUCGAUUCCAUAUCUAUUUACAAGUAAGAUUUAGGUGUAGGUUGCAAUGCAUAUCCUUGCUUUUCUCUGUUAAUUAUUUGUAACGUAUAGUAUCCAUAUGCUUGUAUAAACGAACAAGCAUAAGGAACAAUUAUUUAUACAUUCAGGGCUGGCUUUACAGUAUUAGGGGCCUUAGGCGAACUUUUUUUUUUUUAUGAGGCCUCUUUUUAUUUAGUAAUUUCAAUACUCAAUAAAACAAUAAAGAACUGAAAAUCCAUUUCAGUUUUAAUUCUUGAAUUUCAACAAAUAAUCAAGAAGAUUCUAAAAAUGUUCAAAAACAAAAUCUAAAAUUUACCAUUAGAAAUUAUACAGAAAGAAGCAAACGAAUAAAUGAGAACAAUACUAUUUUCAAAUAGAAUAUUUAGAAUGGUAGCACAUAAAAAGUUGAGAUCAUGAAUAGAUGGUUAGAUAACGGAUAUGGACUUUGUAUUUCAUGUAACUAAUUUUUUCUUUUCUUUUUUGAAUGAACUAAUGCAUGUAAUAAUCUUCAUUGUAGAGAAGAGAACAAGAAAUUUUUCAUCUAUAAUUUUCUAGAUUAUAAGAUUUUUAGUAGAAAUUAAAAGGAAUACUCAAAGUCAAAGAUUCUAAUGUUGAAUAAUUGAGUUUUUUUAAGAAGUUGAAAAGAUAAAAAAUUUACUUAUUUUUAUUAGAAAAACUAAUAAUGAAGAAAUUAAUGGUUAGACAAUAUUAUUAAUUAUAUCUCUUUAACAAUAAGAUAACCAAUUAUAGGUUUUUAUAUAAAUAAUAAUAAUAAUUAAUUAUAGGAUAAUUAUUAAUUAGAGAUAUGUCUAAUAGGCUUUUCUACCACACAUAUAAUUUUUUAAAAAUAUUUUAUUAACUAGAGAAUUAUUACUAAUACUAAAAAACUGAGGCCUUUUUAAAAUUUGGACCUUUAGGCGACCGCCUUGUUCGCCUAUACUUAAAGCCACCCAUGUAUAUAUGCAUAAAGUUUUAGCAUGUUGCUGUGUCAAAUGUACGAAAUGAAAAAAAUAAUGGCAAGAAAGCAACUUUUGAAUUUGAAUAAUGAGGAUAAUGAAACUUAUUAUUAAUUAUUAUUUAAAGGGUUUGCUUUCGUUAUGAGUUUAAAGUUAUUUAAAGCAUUGGCUCUAGAAUUUCUUGCUGAUUAGCAUUCGAUAUUUGAAAUUAGGGUCUAGUUUAGCAGCCUAAAUUGUCACCGUCAAGGGCAGUAGAAAAAAGACAAGGAACUUGUGCAAGCUCUGUGCUUGGCUGUUUUACCUUAAAAAACUUCAAUAAUUAACCACCAAUAUUUGUUGAUAAAUUAUGCUAACUGUCAAUUAUUUUUGGGUUUUACCAUCAACUAAGUCAACUGGGUUAAUUUUUUAUUGUCAUUACUUUAUUAACCUCUAAUAUUUACUAUUCUCUUAAGUAACUAUUUGUGUACAUAAUUGAAUUUACAAAUAUUCUCUGAUGCCUGAUAUGUUUGCUAGCUAGUCUGUAAGAAAGAAAUCAAAAUGAUCUUUAAAAAAUUAAGAUAAGGUAUAUCUAAAUAUAUUUGAGUUAUCAUCCUUUCCUAAUUGAGAAAGUUAGGACAAGUCUCAUGAUUUGAUUGCUCGGCAUCAUUGGGAUAGUAUUGUAUAAGAUUUUCUCCUAUUAGUAUAAGUUCUUUUAAACUUUUAAAUAUCUUGAAUCAUGCAUAUAUUUAUGCCAGUGUAUGGUCAAUAUUUAAUAACAUUUAUUUUUACAUUCUUAUAUAAUAAUCGCUAUCAUUAGAAACAAAGAUAAUAAGAGAACCUCAUCUAUUUGUCACCAUUACUUAUCAAUUUGCACGUAGAAAAGGUAGCUUUAUUAAUUGGACAUGGGCACCCUUUCUCAAGCGAAAAGGUUUGAUUAAUACGAAUUGAAAUGAUGAUGGCCUUUACAAAUUGACAGGUCAACGAACAGGGAUAUGAAUGCAUAUAUGUUGUUGGUAACAGAGGGGUAUAAUAAGAAUACAAGAUAGGUAAACAUGUCUUUGUUUACAUAUCAUUUGCUUUCAGUAUCACUCAUUUGAUUUAGUGACCUUAAUUUUAAGCGCCGACUACUAUAAUUUAUCUUUCAUUCAGCAUAUAUAUAAUACGCAAUUGGAUUGUGUAAGUUUCCAAAUGGAGUAAGAACUAUACAAUUAUCAAUCUUUUUUUUUUCAGAUUUUAUUAUUAUUUUAUCUUUCUCGAGGGAAAGUGAAUUAUAAGAUGAUGGAGAAUUUGAUAUUUCCAUAUUAUACGUGAUUUAUUAAAAUUUCCAAAGAACUGGUUGUUAUGAAUCAAUGAAUUGAACAACUAGGUAUCAAUACACGUUUGCAAUGACUCAAUCAAGCUCAUUAAUUAGCAUGGAUAAUGAAAUUAAUACAUGGGACCACGAUUAUUUAUAUUCUAGUUAACAUGCAAAUUUUAAAUGCAUUGAUGUAAGCACUUUAAAUUUCAACGGAUCUGAUUGUCAUAGUCUCUAUCUCAAUAUGAAAUCAUAAUAAAUUUUUUCGUUUUCUUGUGAAUCACAUGUUUUCUUGCUUUAAAGUAGCCAAAGAUAUGACCAAAAAAAUUAAGCAUUAAUAUGAACUGACAACUGAGUCAAAGCAUGUACAUUGUACAAGUUCUAUUUUUCCCCACCUCAGAUUAAAUAUUGAGAGCAGUAAUUAAUAAAAAGAAGAAAAAUAAGCUAAAAGACAUGAAAAUGUUCCAACUUUGCCCCAAUAUUCAUCAUUUACAUAGUUUUUUUCUUUGUUUUUUCUUUUUCCUUUAAGCUAAGAUCUAAAGCAUCAUGAAAGCUCACCAAAAUUGACUCGAAAUUAGAUAUUAUAUGUCAUAGGAAUUCUCUAUUAUAUAUUUAUAUGUCAUAUACAGCUGAUUGCUACGUCACUUUCUUUUAUAUAAUCUCGAACUGAUAUCCUCUACAUUGUUGAGAGCAAUAGCUAGUUAAAAACUUCAAUUCAUAUUUUCAAAUAGUCAUUUGACCACAUUAGCGUCUAAGAUUUUUAUUUGCGUCGUGUUGCUCACUUAUGAUGCAUGCAUGCCUUUUAUUUGGGGAAAGUUAAUGUAUAUAGAUCUUUCUAUGGUCUCUCAUAAAAAUUCUGAUUCUGAGGUUCAUAUGGUAUUGUGGUUUUUACACUUAAAAGUCGCAGUUAGGGUAAAAUGGAAUUUCUAUUUAUAAAAAUAAAAGCUAAUAUGUCGCUUAAUUAAGUCAUUUCAUAAGGUUCAACAAAUAACCAAAGGAUGAAUUGAUCAUCGCCUCCUUGAGGCUCGCAAGGCUGAGAGGUUGCAAAAUAAUGGCCAAUCAAAAAGUUAUACACCAUAAUAUGUAGUACAUGUUCAACUUAAGCGAUCGAGGAACGUUUCUAUUUUUAGAAUGCAUACUGCAAGUAUAGUUACAGUUUAGACCAUGGAAAAUGGAAGUGCUGAUUUUUAUGGCCUACAAAAUCCGGUAGAGUCCCUUGCAUUUCGUCCUGAGGCCUCGAUUUCUAUGUGUCGCUUAGCAAAACACGAAAGGAAAUGCUAAAAUGUACCAUGAUCGUCUGUAAAGAUUGUUUGCCUUUUUUCGCAUAAUAAACUUGUAGCAAUAGCAAUGAUUCGUCAACAAUGCAAAAAAAGGCAUUGAUGAGUCUGUCCCAAACACCUGAUUAAAUACGAAGAAUCUAUCUGCCUGAUGGGUCCAUCAAUAUGUAUGUGUUCAUUUCAUUGUUACUAUUUUGGGUAAUCAUAUACACAAAACACAAUUGAUGGACCCUGAGUUCUAGAGAAAGGAUCUUAAAAAACAAAGGGUACAGUCUGAUUUAAUCUAUACGUAUAAUUUUGCAACAUUUUUUUCAUAAAUUGGAUCACAUAAUACCCACAAAACAAAAUUAAAAUAGUUGAAAAAAAUCAAUUCAGUGAAAAAUCUUACCAUAUCUCAAUUACAUUUAUGAAAAAUGGAUUGUAUUUGGUUAAAAUAUCAAAUGCGGAAAGCUCUCUUGAUCCGAAUUAUUCUUGACUUUGAAAUAUUUUGCAAAAAGUGUAUGAAUAACGAUCAAUUAUCACUUUAUAUUUUUUCUUAAUAGAAGUAUAGGUCAAGAGAGAUACUUAUAAUAUGAAAGUAUUAAGCACAUUAUUGGUGUCAUAUAUAUAUAAAUUUUUUGGUUUGACAAUCUUUUUAACGAAGUUGAAUCCAGUUAGUUAUAUGUUUAUCUACCAAUGGCAAAGGUCUUCGGUUCGGAAAAUGUCACAAUUCAAAGAGAGGUGUAGCUAUCAGUUCAUUGAUCAAUUAAGUGACCAAUACCAUUUCUAGUUCUUAUCAAGACUUUGGAUGCUUUCAACAAAAGCAAUAAUAGAUUGACUUAGCAAGGGUUUAAACUAUGAGAAGAGAUGGAAAGUUCUUUUAGCUAAGCUAAUUAGCAUAAAAACAGCUUAUUGAACUUGUCCACCAUUUUGACUUCAUGAAUCUUUAUGAAUAAAAUAUUUGUAUGCUAGUUUCUUACUAGACACAAACCGAUGAAUAAGUUAAAUUUCCUAUUAAUUGGCUCUAUAUAGGUCACACAGCCCCCAGCUAAACAGAGGUAAUAAUAAUUUUCAUUCAUUUAUAAAGUGAGAGCUAGACCCUUUGGUUACUUAAAGAGGUCAGCAUAUAUCCAAAGAUCAAAACACUUCGUCUUUCGGAAAGAGAGAGAGAGAGAGAGAGAGAGAGAGAGAGAGGGAGAGAGAGAAAAAAAGAGAGAAAUGGGUAGGGCUCCUUGCUGUGACAAGGCAAAUGUGAAGAAGGGGCCAUGGUCACCUGAAGAAGACUCAAAGCUUAAGGAGUACAUAGAGAAAUAUGGCACUGGUGGCAACUGGAUUGCUCUUCCUCAGAAAGCUGGUAAGAGCAUACAUGAUUCACUCUCUUUUUCACUCUGAGACACAUAGAAGUGUAUUUAUUUAUUUAUUGGUUGGUUUAAUUUGGAUUAGGUCUAAAGAGAUGUGGGAAAAGUUGCAGACUGAGAUGGCUCAACUAUUUGAGGCCAAAUAUUAAACAUGGGGAAUUUACUGAUGAGGAAGAUAGGCUGAUCUGUAGCCUCUUUGCUAGCAUUGGAAGCAGGUACCAUAUUUGUUCUACCUUUUUUCCCCUUUUUUUUUCAACUGCUUUGAUAAAAGUAAUAAUAACUAUCAAAUCUAUCAAAAAAGAGUGCUAUUAUAGUUGAUCAUUCGCAUGCAUGCCAAGUUUAGAUCCAACAUCAACAGUCAUCCUCACAGUUUCUUUGAAAAAAAGGCUCUGGAGUUUUUAACUUCUUUUCUUAUUUAAGGACUUUUGCUAACACAUACAUAUAACAUGCAAUGGCACAUGUGUUUGUAGAUGGUCAAUUAUAGCUGCUCAGCUACCGGGUAGGACUGAUAAUGAUAUCAAAAACUACUGGAACACAAAGCUCAAGAAGAAACUCAUGGCCAUGGCUCCUCCAUUAUCAUCACAAAAGAAGAGCACUGCUCCACCACUGAUCCCAUCAUCUCAUCAUCAUCACCAAGCUUUAGUGUCACUACUACCAUCUCAACCCUAUUACACCCCUUCUAAUAAAUCUCUUAUCAGUAACUCUUUUGAUUCUUUUGAACCCAUUUCAUCAAACACCCCAUUACAUCUUUUCGACAACAACAACUUGAUCCAAAUCCAAGAAAACCAGCUGUUUAGUAAUAAUAAUUCCAUGCAGGGUUACUAUCCAAUGAAAGACAAUUUCUUGACUUUUGGUAGCGAGCAAAGUUGCAGUUCUUCUGAUGGUAGCUGCAGCCAGAUCAAACAAGAAGAUAUUGGGUUUCAUCAGGGCUUUAAUUACUCGAAUGGGUUUGAAGAGAAUAACCAGAAGUUCAUGCUCAACUAUGGCAGCAGCGAUAGAGGUGGUCAUGAGAGUCUCAACCAGUGGAGUGAGAAGCCAAAUGGGUAUUUUGGGGAAAUUGCAUCAGACUAUUCACUUGAAGAUGUUAAGCAAUUGAUUAGCUGUAGUAACAUAAAUGGCUGUAACAAUGAAAACAACAUCAACUUCUUCAGUAGCACUGAUCAAGAAACCAAGUUGCAGGACAGUAAGGUCAUGUACCACUACUUCAACUACUGAAUCAUGAAUCAUGAAUCAUGAUGAUUUGAAACUGACUUGUGUUCUUGUAUUCUCCUGUAAGUAUUAAAAAAAAAAAAUCUGAAUGAUUUGACGGGGUAAGUAAGGGGGUGAUCAGACGGAGAUUCAAAGAUGAUAUGACUUUGAGUUUCUGGGGCUUUGUGUUUUGAUGAAAUGAAUUGAAUUGAUAAAACAUUUUUAUUUUCUUUUCUUUUGUUAAUUUCCUUUUUCUUGUGCUUUGACGGUACAUGGUAAAUGCUUCCUUUUAUUUUGUGCAUAUAUUUCUUUUUGGGACUCUGUGUCACUGCAAACCCCCAAUCAGAAGUAAAUGUUUUGUGAAAACUAGAUAAGAACUUAUCCUCAUUCAAGAAACAAAACUUUGAUGUCAAACUUAACCAAACAACAAGCAAUCUGCAAUAUACUACUAUUUUUAUUAUGUCUCUUCUUUGGUACACUCCACUCUAUAUCUUGAAAAAAUUUUGACUCUUCGAUCCACUCUUUAAGUUUUCGUUCUUGUUAUUCCAAAUUUUACAGCAAUUUGCACAAUAAUACCCCAUAAGUUGAAAGACAAAAUCGAUGAUUUGGAGGAUUCAGCAACGGAACAUUGAGGCUGAAAGUGUUAUACCAAACUGCAUCGCCCUGAAGUUUUCAUUAAUAUUACAUUUAAAAUAAUAGCAGAGAGUUAUAAGGGGGCGCCCUCCUUGUUUGAUCAAUUGGGUGUUAAUAAUAUGUUACACUAGGUGAAAAGGCUAUUCUAGCCCCCAUAAAAUAAUGUUCUAUUUGAUGCAAUGAGUGCAUCGCUAGCCAGGAAUACAGUACACACUAGACUUUUAUAUGAAUAAAUUGGUCAGAGAUUCAAGGUGGGAACUUGAUCUCCAUUAAUUUUAAAACAAAAGGAUGAUGGUGCAUGUUUUGGAAUUUUGUGGAGGCAAACGCUUUAACAAUGACCAAUAUUUAUUAAUCAUAAUCUCAGUCUUCUUACACAGUCAGUUUUUUAAUAGUGUAUGUAUGUCUAUGUGAACAUUCAUGGAUUCCUCAUAUAUAAUUGGAUAUUCUCAUAUUGAUUUGAAAUUUUAAAGAUCUGGCCUCAUAUUUGUGUAUAUAUAUUUCAGUGUUUUUGCUCGGUAAAAUUAUCAAAUCAACUUGAAUUACAAACUCAAUCACAAUAAACUUCUUGUAGAGUACGUAGUACAUGUAUUCUAAAACUUGCUCUUCUUUUAGAAGUUGCUUUUUUAUUUAAUUGGACAUUUAUCCCUAAUGUCUACUUACCAAAAUUAAAUUGGAAACGUGUAACUAUUUGAUUUCCAGUGGACUAUUUUCGAGGGCAGUUAAUGUUAUUUUUGAAGAACGUGUUGUGGAAAAAGUAUUUUUCUCUCUGAUAAUUGUAUUUUCUCGAUGUGACUUAAUACGACGAUAGUUGAUAAUAACGUUCUCUCAAAAAUAAAUUUUCCAAGAAUAUAUGAAUAUUUUCGAGGACAUUUACCCGCGAAAAUGACCUUUUUAUUGUAGUGUAAUUACCAUAAAAUGCAAUAGACUGAAGAUUUAAAAUACAUGACUGAACACUUUAAAUCAUUUCGUGCUAAGGUAAUAGUAGGUAUACAAAGCCAAGUGGCUUGUGCUUGUUCACAAAUCAAGAAGCCAGCAGCAAAUAAUGGCAUUAACAGUUUGUUUUCCGUUUCAACUCAUGGAUUCCUUGCAUUAUUAACCAUUCUAUUCAUUACAGGCAGUCACUUAAUGUCAUUUGAAGAUGCUCUCUUACGACUUGGCUCAUAUAUCAUUAAAAUUAUGUUAACGUAUACGUGUAAAAUUCAAGAAAACCAAUCGACAUGAGUCUUAAAAAAGUAUAAGAAUUUGAUUAAGAGAUUUGUAAUUUGCUAAACCCCAUAGGCUGAUGCAGAUCAUAAUCUCUCUUGUUCAACCCUUCCAAUAAUUAAUUUGUGAGGUUGCCGGUCAUAAUUAUUAAUAUUCCCGUGAUGCUUUCAUACCUUACAAUAAUUGGUCCACGUAUCUUUGAUUCUUUAUCCAAUAACCUAUGAUGUAUGCUCACCAAUAAUAUAUGCAUAUGCGUUAUAUCAUUUUCAUUAUUUAAUUUCCACAGACCAGAAAUUUUGAGUUGGGAAAUUUGUGUAAUUUUACCGGGGACUUAAAAAAAGAAAAUACAUAAUUAUUGAAGUUAUUAAAAUAUUAAAAGGGUCGGGGAAUCCCCAUUGGGAACCAGUCCAAUCCAAUCCAGUGGAGUCCAAAAUUUCUUUGUUCACAAGAUCUCUGUCAGUGUUGCACCACUGUUACUUGUCCAGCCUUUUCCUACAUAAUAAUAAUAAUUUAAUUCAAUUUUAAUAUCGAGGAAUUAUUAAUAAGGGCAUCAUCAUUAUUGAUUAAUUAAAUAAAUUUUGAUACACGUACUGUAGCAACCGCAAGCCAAAAGCAUUUAAGAUUAAAAUAAUUGGGCUGCCAACUAUAUUAUAUGUUUUAUUUUGUUUAAUCAAAUAAAAUUUCUUUUGGGUGGGGGGGGGGGGGUUNNNNNNNNNNNNNNNNNNNNNNNNNNNNNNNNNNNNNNNNNNNNNNNNNNNNNNNNNNNNNNNNNNNNNNNNNNNNGGGGGGGGGGGGGGAUUUUUUAGUUUUGAAUAAUUAGUAGGGGAAAAGCUUUCUAGGAAUGUCUUUUCUAGUGAAGCGUAGAAGGUCAAAAGGCCUGGAACCUACUGACAACAUGACACUUGAAAUAAUUUAUUCAUUUUUUUAAAUGAACGUUUUUUCAUUAAUAAUAAUAUUAAAAAGAGGGUCUGUUGUCAAUAGGGAGGGUAGCACAAGCGAUAUAUAUUAUCAAGGUUUCGCAAUUUUAUAUGAAAGAUCUGUCUUCAUUAGGGAGGCUAACUAGCACGCUACUUACUAAAUUAUACUAAUAAUUUGAGUUUUAAUCAAAGACCUUUGUAUUUUGACUUGGUAGAAAUUUGGAGCAAAUUUUUGUAUUAAACUACAAGCACGCCACGCAAUUGAGUGUUUGAAAAAAUGAAUACACUUGAGUAGAGUAGUGGCGGUGCGGGGCUACAACACUUUCAGUGCCCUCUAUUUCAAGGCUAGAUUUUUUUAUUUUAUUUUAUUUUAUUUCCCUUGUGCCAAAAUGACUUUAAUGAGGAGAGAAAGUAUGAACCUUUGCUUCAAAUGUUGAAAUGCUUUCAUAUGAUGAACUCGAGUAUUUAGCAUCCAAUUAUUGAGCCCUUUACCUUGAUCCGGUUGACUAGUUACAUUACACCAAAAGUCAACAUUCUCAUUUGUACCGAACAACGUAACCCUAUUGACUUUUGAUAUGUAUUUAAGAAAAUAACUACAUAAAAUAACAUUAUCCAAUCUAUUUUCAAGACUUUCGCAAAUGUCCAAUCAUAGUAAAUUAAGGAUUUAAGGGCAAUAAAAAUAAAAAUUUCUCCGAUGCUAACAUCCAUACUUUACCAAAAUGUGAGUUGGAGCAAUGCAAUCAUUAAUUUGCAGUGUACAAUAACAGCACAUCAGACAAUAGAAAGUGAAGUGCGGACAAUAGUAGAAGAGAAGAAUUAGAUAGGCUGCUAACUUUUAUUUGAUCUGUGAUUUCCUAUCUCCUCAAAUCUUUUAAAUCCACAGAGUUAAAAACUAGCCUUAUACCCUAUGGCCAUGAUAACCUUUGGUUGGGUGAAGAAAAGAAAUCAGCAAAUGGAAGUUCCCAUACCAUACUUCUCUUCAAUAUCCUCAACUAACAAGCAGAAGAUCACACAUAUUGAAAAUAGAUGCUUUGAUCAUAACCUCAUUAUUGUAGUACAAGUCUUUCGGAGUUUGAAACAUAUUUGCGAUCGUAUUUCAGUCCAUAAUGCAUCUCAUGGAAGACGUUCUAUUCAACAGAGAAUUUAUCAAACACUACAAUGAAUGGAUCCCGCCUUCCCUGCGUGAAAAUCAAUUAUUUUAAGUUCAAGAGCUCAUUCAGAAAAAUAUGAUAAUAAUAACAUGACAACAUAAUUUUCUGCCGAGCUACAUGAAGUCCACAACAACAAAAAAAAUAAAUAAAUAAAACAAAAAAAAUUUAGUAAUUGUGCUGAGAAGCAAAAGAAUAUAAAGAAUUCACUUUGGCAAACAAAAAACAAGGACAAUCUCAAACAACCCCCCACCCCCAAAACAAAAAAAAAAAAACAUAUUUUAAACAUUAAAACAGAUCCUAAUUAUUUACCAAGAGAUCAAUUCCCCAUUCAUGGGGAAAAAAUGGGUACAAAAUACAAUCUUUUUCAAGGAAUUUUCCAAAGGUACAAUCUUAUUAAAUUUCCUCUAAGAAACUUUUCAUGAUAGUAAUGAUGUUCAAUACUUAAAAACAUAAAUCACUAACCAUCAAGCCCACGUCAGUUUAUCAUUUAGACUCAGUUUGGUAUUAUGGUGAUGUGGAUUUUAAGCCACAACUGAUGUGAAAUGGAAGCUCAGAUCAUGAAAUAAAAGUUAUUAUGUUUAGUAAAUAUACUAAACAUAAUAACAAUUUUGACAAAAUAGUAGUAUAUAUGUAUCAUCAAACAACUGUAGCAUAAAAUCACCUUAACUUUUAAAGUAAAGUUAGAAGCGCUCACCAAACACUUCACAACUGCUAACGACAAUAUCAAAUGCAGCCUUAUUAUCUUAGAGAUGGUUCCAAAUUUAUAAGCCAGCAAAUGUUUGAUAUAUGAUUUCCUAUCAACUCACGGGUCCCACAUGAGUUCCGUUGUGGCAAACACAAAUACUGUCUGAGCUUGAUCUUUGUUUUAGCAUUAUCAUAAAUUGUGUAUCUAUGACUCUAUUGAGGGUAUUCGCAAGAAGAUUGAGAAGCUUGUCAAAGCAUAUGGUUACAUAGAACAUACUAUUAGUUUAACAAAGGAAUGCAGAAUGUUGAGCAAAGGAGUGAAAAGAGAAAAAUUGAGGGAUGUACCUGAGUGAGCAAUGUCAUAUCAAGUGCUACCGCCAAUUUUUCCAAUUGUUUUGAGGUCAAAGAUUUCAAUCCAAUAGUCAUCAGGGUCUUUAAUGAAUGCUACGCCUUUCAUUUUUCCUGUAAAUCAUAGCAAGAUUGACAGAUUACUAUUAAUGAAUAUAAAAGCUUGAAAUUUAAUGUUUAUUUAAUGGGUCCGCCUACGUUACAUUACAUGUAACGUACACUCAGCCUGUGAAAUUUCAUCUAACCCCUUAUACUUUAUGUUAUUUAUAUUUUAUUUAUGAAUAUUAUAAAUUUUUUGAAAUGUAAAAUUUCAUUUAACCCCUUAUACUCAAUUUAUUUUAUUAAAACCCUAGAGUAUGAAUUCGCCCCUAUAAUAUUAAAUUCUCAAAAUAACCUCCAUUUAAUUAAAAAAUAUAAUAAUUAUUAAAUGAAUUAUAAUAAUUAUUUUAUUAUACUUAUAAUUAUAAAUGUUAUUAUAAUCAUAAAUAUUGUUUUUAAUAGAUUAUUGUUAUUAUUAAUAACAAGAAUAAAAAGCAUUAUAAUUAAUUAAUCUAUUAACAAUAAUUAAUAAUAUUUUUUUUAUUAAAUUGUUAAUAAUAAUAAUAAUAAUCAAUGAUAAUUAAUAUAUUUAUGAUUAUAAUAAAAUAUGAAAGGAGAGCGGAGACUUUUAUUUUGAAUAAACUAGUUCCGAUUAACAUAUUUAUGAUUAUAAUAAUAUUUUUUGAGUUGUUUGGGCAAGGGAGUCUCAUGCGUGUGUGGACUUUUAGGCUGCCAGGAGAGCGGAGGCUGAAAAAUACCUUGCAUUUAGAUAGUGACUUGUGUGUGAGUAAUAACAAUUUUUAUUAUAAAAAUAAGUUUUAUACCAAAUAUUAAAAAAAUCUAGAUAAUCAUUAAUUAUCAUUAUUAUUAUUAUUAACAAUUUAAUAAAAAAAAUAUUAUUAAUUAUUGUUAAUAGAUUAUUUAAUUAUAAUGCUUUUUAUUCUUGUUAUUAAUAAUAACAAUAAUCUAUUAAAAACAAUAUUUAUGAUUAUAAUAAAAUAAUAAUUAUAAUUAUUAUUUCAAAAUAUUUAUAAUAUUCGUGAAUAAAAUAUAAAUAACAUAAAGUAUAAGGGGCUAGAUGAAAUUUCACAGGCUGAGUGUACAUUACAUUACAUGUAACGUAGGCGGACCCUUAUUUAAUUAUUUAAUUUUUCCCUAUAGACAUAGAUAUAAUUGCCUGCAUUAAACCCCAUUCAAAUUCUGGAAACACAUCCUGAAACCUACAACACUUGCUUAUGUAUAAGUAUCCCAUCAGAAUAACCUUAAGGCAUUCAGUACUAAACUUUCAGCCAUACCAAGCUUUAAAGAAAGCAGGGAAAAAAGAAAAAAGAUAUUAUUAAUUCAAAAUCUGUGAUAUCCCUUAGUUUUGUUGGAUCUGUAGUAUCCUAAAACUCAUCUACCAAGUUAAACUAUAAAUGUAAACACUUCUUAACUCCGUGAAACCUAGAGAUCACAUCAAAUGUCAUUAAAUCCAGGAGAAUGAUGAAAACAGUCCCUCUGACCUAAGCUAAUUUUUAUCUAUACCUGAGACACUACAUAAACCACCGAAGUGUACAUAAUGUCAAAGAAACAUGUAAGCUAUGUGCAAGGGCAAGAUAGUGGGAGCACUCGAGAAUGACCAACAUAUUUGAAAUCUUUCAAGAGGCUAGGUAUAUCAAGUACAAGCAUGCACUCAUCUUAGAUGAAAAGCACAAAGGUAAUUUUAUAAUUUGGUUCAACAGCUUUAUUUAGAGGUUACAAAUUAAAAACAUGUAACCACCUUUCUAAAAGUUGUUCUCAAAUGGUUUUGACCUCCCAUAUUAACUUAAAACAGAAAACAUGCAACUUUAGCUACCUUUUCUAAUCAAAAGAAACCAUCCCUGUUUCUUUAGUGGUUGGAAGACAAUAGUAACAGACCUAGUAAUAAACAAACUGUGACAAGCAACAAUGAUGAAGCACUAACAUGAAUUUUGACAGUGAAGACUAGAACAUAUCACAUUCAUGAGAUUUUAUCCACAGGACUUCAUCUUAUACCUUGAAAUUAUUCUCUUUUCUUAUAUUGUUAUUUAUUUUGAAAGGCACAUGGAAGUGGUAUCACAGCCAAAGAAGAACAUGAGCAGACACAGAGGAGUGCUGUAGGAAUCAACCCCAAUGACCAAUAUAAAGAAUUUGACUAUAGAUCAAACAAUCAAUUCUUAAGAUAACAAGAAAUUAUCUUCAUCACAAAAUGGUUCUCCCCUGACAUGUAUAAAUAAGAAAAGUGGAAACAGGGAAAAAACCAUUGAGAAAAGAAGCUCCUCAGUGUUUUAUCGCCUAGAUUUUGCAAUCUAGUCCUCACUGGCACAUUCAAAUGACUAUUACAAAGCUAAUCUCUAGACUACAAUCCUUUUCUUCAUAUAUACAUAAUACCAAUAUGAGCACCCACCCACUGACCCACACAUUACCGGGAGCAGUCACUUCUGAUUUUAGAUUGCUACAGAAAUUUUCAAUUAAAAGAGCACGUGAAAGUACCAAUAGUGAAGACAAUCAAAUUGGAUAUUGGUGAUCAAUGAAAACAGCGAAAUGAAUCCACUAAAAAGUGAUGUCAAGAUUUAUCUUGCAAGAUACUAGAAGAUUUAAAAUUCAGAUAAUGAUAAUCAUCAAGUAAGCAUCAUAUUAAUUGAGAUACACUAUCCUAUCUAAAAGAGGUGUCUUACCACCAUCUGGUUUCUUUGCAAAUUCCACCCCUAGACGUUCAAACCUCUCACAUGCCUUAUAUACAUCAUCAACAGUGAUGCCGAUGUGCCCUGAAAACCAUAUAUGACAAGUUAAAACUUCAAAAUAAUUGGGAAUUUUGAAAAAAAAAAAAAAAGCAAUUGAAGCAAAAAAUUAUAAUAUGAUAAAUAGUGGCUGAAAAACUCAUCACCCUCGAGAAACAAAUAAAUAAAUAGGUCUAGGCAUGUUUUCCAUCUAUUGGUCCUUAGCUCCAGUCCCUAGUCCCUACCACAAGUAAAAUGAUAGAAAAAGCCUAAAAUAUAUAAAAAGACCCCUGCUUAAACCCAUAACUAAGCUAAUGGUAUAUGUCCUGUUUCUAGAAAUAUUGUCAUGCAUAAAUUUCUCAAGAACAAGGCAGUCAAUUGGAUAACCGUAGUGAUAGACAGCAGCUGAUAUCAUCAGCUCUGCCUAAGCCUUGCCUCAGGACAAACAAACGUACAUUCUUAAUAUGGUAAACAUAAAAACAUUCUCAAUAUGGUAAACAUAAAACCAUUACAAAAUAAAAUUUAGAAAUUGAUUAACUGAUCAAAUUAAUUAGGUUUAUACAAGUUUCAAUAAAUAAGCACAUGAAGUGAGUGUUCUGGACUGUUCUAACAUUCCUUCCAACCAUAGAGAGCACAAAAGAAACAUUGGCCUUUUUUUCUUCAAAUUGUCUUAUAACUCAACUUUUUAAAAUGGAAAAUACACAUAUAUCUCAUUCAAAGUCCGUUACAUACCAAAGCCACGGGGUUCUGAAUUCCCAUUGUGAUAACCUUUGAAGUCGGGAUCACUUUCUGUUCCCCAGUUACUGCAAGAUGUAAUGAAAAUGAGAAACAUUGGACAAGACAAGCAAAGAAAGAUAGUUUUGAAGAAAAAUAAAAUUAAACUCAUACUGAGUCAGCUCAAUUGUAGCCGGCUUCCCAAAAGUCCAAACAGUUCUAUCAACAGGGUCAGCUGGAGCUGAUGCAGUAUCCUACACAAACCAAUUAUUUGUAAAAAAAUGUUUUCAGAGUUAUCAAAUCAUCAUUAAUGUCACAAAAUUUAAGAACAUCCAGCUCUACCAGUGUGCAUGAGUUGUUAUACACUCAAAUAAGUAAGAAAUAAAAUCACUUAAUAAAAGGAUACAAUCAAGAUAGCAUAUUAAAUUUACAAUGAGUCGUAAGGUUCUUGUGGAUGCAACAUAAAUUGUCUCACCUCAUAGCCCAAAAAGUAUAGGCUAAAUUUCAUUUCUGGAAAAUCCAACCUCUUUAGUAGCCUGAAAUACCCCAGGAAAAAGCCAUUAGCUUUCACUUAAAAGAUAAAUAAGAUGGCUCUUAAGCAUUCACAAAACAAUCCUAAAUAAGACUUCUCAAGGCAAGGCAAAAAAAUAAAAAUAAAAACUUACGACAUGCCCAACACACGAGAAUAGAAAUCAAGACUAACUUUGGGGUCCUUAAUUCGAAACAUCUGCAGGAAUCGAUACGUAUAUAUUAAAAAAAAAAAACACACAAACCCAGAACGGAUAAUAAGUAAAUAAAUAAACCCAUAUUAAUAAUUAAUUGAAAAAAAGUUCAAGAAGAAUUUAUGUAAAAACUGUAAAAUGAGGAAACCGUUUGUUGCAUGAAGUAUCCGUUGGUAGCUUCAUCACGGGCGGUGUGAAGACCCGGAUUGUUAGCGGGGGAUUCUUUGGGCUCCGAGGAAGCCAUUGAAAGCAACCGAAAUCGAUUCGAAGCCUGCACGUCAAAUUUUACAGACAAAAUGGGAAAUUAUUAUUAAGAUAAGUCGUAACAAAUAAAUUAAAUACUAAGAAAAUGAUUAGAAUGCUUAAUAAACCUUGAACCAACUAGUUGUAGUUUUAGUGGAGCUAAAGAAUGGAAGUGAAGAGGGAGAUAGAAAUAGAGGUCGAGUUGACGAUGUCAAUCUACUAAAGAUUGAAAGUCGUGAUAAGGAAGUGCUGCAGCUGAUUGAAGCAACCGACGCCAUUUUCCCAAAUUUUUUAAUUACAAAAUACAAAACAGCUUACAUAAUAAUUAGUUAAUUACGUACCUUUGACCGUUGUGAGUAGCGAGUAAAGUCAAAUCCGAGGGGGUGACCAAGUUUUUAUGGUGGCUCUCUCUUUGGAUUUAUUUUUAUGGCCAUGUCAUAUCUGUGCACACACACUCGAGGAAGGGAGUGAUGUCUGCCGCCCGUCCGCCAUUUGUAAACAUUACGGGCCGGGUUUGGAAGCACAAAAUAAAAAAUUUUGUUGGGUUGGUUCGAGGGCCCAGAAUUAAAACCGCAAUCCAUUUCGUGGGCUACAUUGGGCCCUGAAUUGAGAAAUAAAGUUAUGGGCAAUAAUUUAAAAAUCAAGUCUAAAAAAUUACAUAAAUCAAUCUUUGUUUUUUUUUUUUUUUUUAAAAAUAUAUAUAUAUGUAUGUAUAUUAUAUAUAUAUAUAUAUAUUUAUUUAUUUAUAUUAGGCUUAGCUAUGACCUAUGAGUCAACAUUAAUUAAUGGUUUCAAAAGUCAGCAUUGUUUUGUUCCAAACCAUUAAGCCGAUAUGAUACAGUGCGAGGAUAAGUUCUGAGCAAAGCUUUCUCAACCUCCCAAGUCCCAUCCCAAAGAACGCCAGUGGUCCGGAUGAAUACUUCUUUUUCUAGAGGUAAAAGAAAGAAGGGUGUGUCGUGCAAACGAAUUUUGUCAGUGUGUGUAGAUCUAAAUGGAGAGCAUCCAAACUAUUAAACAAAUAAUAUAAAUAAACAAAAGGCACUUACUGAAAAUAGACAGAAUAUACAAUACAAUUCUAUAAAUUAAAAGAGUUUGGAACAUAUAAAAUCUAUUAAUUAAAAUAGAAAUUAAGUAAUCAAUAAAUUAAUAAUUUAUUAAUUUACAAAGUUAACACUUUAUAAUUUCUCACACUUCAUAAUUUCUCAUUACAAUUUGAAUAAUCAACCCCAAAACUUCUAGAUGCGAUAAGAAAAAUAAGAGAAAAGAUUGGAGUAGGUUUAAAUUUUAAGAAAAAUAAGUAAUAAUAGUCAUGUUUUAUAUAAUUAAAAUAUCAUAGUCAACUAUAUUUCUCAUUUCAAUAAAUUAUUAAUUUAUAACUUAAAUGAGACCACAAAAUUAUAUAAAUUUUUUUAAAAAUAUUAUUUUAUCAUUUCAUAGAAAUUAUUAAUUUAAUUCAUAGGUCCAAGUUAAAACCGUAAAAAUUUAUUAUAUAAUAAAAAUUAUUAAUUUAUAAAGAUUUUACGAUGGAUGGAUAGAAAUACAAGACAUAAUACAAAGCUUUCUUCACGUGCUUCCAUUAAACAUUAUUUGUUGCAUAUUUCUUCCCGAUGGCGCUCCAAUUUAUAGUUUUGUUAAGAGAGAAUGAUGAAAAUGAGUGGGGAUUUAUAAUUUUAUUUGCAAAGUACAAAACAUUUUAUUUAUUCUUGUGAGGUUGGUUUAGACUUUUCACACGUACGUAAGAUGCACAAGUACUGUGAAAUUACCCGCCAAACCACAUGAUCUUCUACACAUCUUCAACUUCAAGACCACACGUAUUAUUACUAUAGUUUCGUUUCUGGUUGCACCAAUUGUUUUGACCCUUAAUUAAUAAUACAUCUUAUCAAACUUUGAAAAAAAAAAUCAUUAAUUCUCGUGUCUUUAUUGUUUAGUUUCUAUGGAGAAAUCUGGUUAUGGCCGUGAUGGUAUCUACAGAUCUUUAAGGCCACCUUUGGUUCUUCCCAGUGACCCCAGUUUUUCUAUGGUUCAUUUUCUCUUUAGAAACUCUGCUUCUUAUAGCUCCAAAUUAGCACUUAUUGAUGCUGAUUCGGAUGAAUCUUUGUCUUUUUCCCAGUUCAAAUCCAUUGUGAUCAAGGUUUCUCAUAGCUUUCGCCAUCUGGGCAUUACAAAAAAAGAUGUUGUUUUGAUUUUUGCUCCAAAUUCAAUUCAGUUCCCUAUUUGCUUUCUUGGUGUCAUUGCUAUAGGCGCUAUAGCAUCAACUGCCAAUACUGUUUACACGGUCUCUGAGCUUUCAAAGCAAGUCAAGGAUUCCAAUCCAAAACUUGUUAUUACAGUCCCUGAAUUAUGGGACAAAGUUAAAGGCUUAAACUUGCCAGCUGUCCUUUUAGGUUCAAAAGAUAAGGUUUCUUCUUCUGGUCUUAUUUCAAGAAGCUCUAAGAUUGUUUCUUUUCAUGACUUGAUUGAAUUAUCUGGGAGUGUAACAGAUAUUCCAGAUGUUUCUGUUAAGCAAACAGAUGCUGCUGCUCUGUUGUACUCUUCAGGGACAACUGGUGUCAGCAAAGGUGUCAUUUUGACGCACAAGAAUUUCGUUGCAGCAUCUUUGAUGAUAAGUGCGCACCAAGAAUUGGCUGGUGAGUUAGAUCAUGUGGUUCUUUGUGUGUUGCCUAUGUUUCAUGUAUUUGGGCUCUCAGUUAUUUUAUAUGACCAGUUGCAAAAGGGCAAUUGUGUUGUUUCAAUGGGGAAGUUUGAUAUUGAGAUGGCCCUGAGGGCUAUUGAGAAGUACAGGGUGACGGUUUGGUGGGUUGUGCCGCCAAUUAUUCUUGCAUUGGCUAAGAAUAGUUUGGUCAGGAAAUUUGACAUUUCUUCAUUGAAACUUGUUGGUUCUGGCGCUGCUCCUUUGGGGAAGGAAUUGAUGGAGGAUUGCCAGAAGAACAUACCAGGUGCAACGAUUUUUCAGGUAGUUCAAUUUGAGCAUCGGUGUAUGCCUUCUAUUUUCUGCUUUAAAAGCUCAUUCUAAGUUAAAUAUAUAUACAAUAGAUGUGAAUUCCUGAUGAUUGACUAAGUCUGAUUAUGUUUCUUGAUAUUUAAGAUUGAUGUUUAGAAUGUCCUUGAUCUUAUUGAUCUCUUGAUUGAUAUAUAAUCUGAUCUGGUGCAAAGUCUAUGAAUGGUGCAGUAUUUCGGAAACCUUAAAUCUAAUAGAAGUUUUGUAUUGAUUCUUGCCCUUAAACAGUAGUUCACUAACUUCUUUGCAUCUAAACAGUGCUGUCUCAAGAGUAGAAAAUUUUGUCGAAAUGCAGCAUAAAUUAUAGGUAGCAUAAAUUCUGCGACACUUUAAAUAGAUGGCUUAUUAGUUACAGUUUUUCAAGUUGUGUAUUUGGUUUUAGCUUGUGUUUGUUUGCUUUGACGGAAAAAUUGAAAGAUGUUUUUUAUUUGCACUUUUCAAGUUCUCGUUAUUAGAAGGGAGAAGUAAAAUUUUUGUCCGAUUCUGGAAAAAUUCCGUGGUUUCAGGGCUAUGGUAUGACAGAAACUUGUGCCCCUAUCUCACUGGAGAAUCCAUUGGUGGGAGUUCGACGUAGCGGUUCAGCUGGAACACUUGUGGCAGGAGUUGAAGCCCAAAUAGUCAGUGUAGAUACUCUAAAACCUCUUCCUCCAAAUCAGUUGGGGGAGAUAUGGGUUAGAGGACCUAAUGUGACGCCGGGUAUAGUUUAUAUUAAUUUCUUCGUGUUUACUCUAUUCUUGUGGGGUUGUGAACAUACUGACUCUUUUAUACGAGGGAAAGAUCAACAAACGGACUAAAUUUCAUUUAACCUGAAACUUAAAUUCUUGUUUUAUCAGUGGCUAGAAGAUCACUGAUAUCAGUCCGGAUGUACUCCAUGGGCUGUUAAAAAAAAAAAAUGCUCAUAAGAACUGCUGAAUUAUGUUGGGAGUAAAUAACCAUUUCUUGUGAGAACUAAAGAAGCAAGGCUUCAAAGUCUGUCUUGACCGUCAUACUGGUACUUGGUCCAUUAUUCAUGUGAUCGUCAUAUUGGUACUUGAUCCAGUAUUCAUGUGAUCAUAUUGGUACUGCUCUUGUUUUCAUUUGGUUUACAUAAGUAACUUGAUACUUACGUUUUAAAACUCAUUUCAGGUUAUUUCAAAAAUGAACAAGCCACAAAGCAAACAAUAGAUGAGAGGGGUUGGUUACAUACAGGAGAUCUUGGAUAUUUUGAUGGUGAUGGCCAGCUAUAUGUCGUUGACCGAAUUAAAGAGCUCAUCAAGUACAAAGGGUUUCAGGUAACUUCUUAUUGGUUAUGUAGGUCUGAUGCCAGUAAUAUUUUCUGAUCACUGAUGUGUUAGGAAAUUGGUGGGUGAAGCAGACACGCAGCUAAAGUGAAAUUGUAAGAAAAUAAAGAACAAGCACAAUAGAGGACACCAGAAAAUUACGUGGUUCGGCUUUUAGCCUACAUCCACGGGCGAAGACAGAAGGAAAUAUUUUACUAGUGAAAAGGAGUUAUAAGUAUUGUAGUAUUUUAGCUCACUUCCCAAAACCCCAAUACACCCAAACUCUCAAAUCACUAUAACUCUUAAAAACCCUCUCUAAAUAAAGAAAAGAACUGAAGAACUCGAUGAUUUACAAAUGAAGGGAGCCAGCGUUUUUAUAGCCAAAAAUUGGCUACUGUUCAUUUAAUAUUUAAUUAUUAUUUUUAUUUUAUUAAUUUUUCUUUUCUUUUCCUUCUUCGGCCCGGCAUCUCUUUUUCUAACUUCAUAUUUCUUCUUCAAACAUUUACAGCUUCUAGAUUACGACUCCUCAUCCUCCAUUCUUCUUUUGUUUUCUUUGUUUCAAAGAAUGCAGCAACAGCCGCAUUCAAAACAGGGAAAAGUGGUGCCACCUUCUAGAAAAGGUGGUGCUAUUUUCCACAUUCUCCCACUUGGAGAUUAGAGUGAAAAGCAAUCAAUCUCCACACUAUCCUUUCUGCUUCGCCAUAAUCAUGUUGCCUACGUUUCUGCUAGGCCACAAGAGGAUCUACUCCAGACAAACUUAUCAGUAUUUAUCGGUUUGGUCAAAACAUCUGCUAGGUUCUCUUUGGUAUGGAUUUUCUGCAAAUCCACACUUCCAUCUUCCACUACUUCACGAACGAAGUGAUACUGGACUCCUAUGUGCUUUGUCCUGGAAUGAAAGGCUGGAUUCCUUGCAAUGUGCAAGGCACUCUGACUGUCACAAAACACAGGAAUUUUCUGUUGUUUGUGCCCGAGCUCCUCAAAUAACCUUUGUAUCCAAAUAGUUUCCUUGCAAGCUUGUGUAGCUGCCAUGUACUCUGCUUCUGUUGUAGAUAAAGCCACAACGGUCUGCAGUUUAGAAACCCAGCUUACAGCUGCUCUCGCAAGUGUAAACACAUAACCAGUAGUGGAUUUUCUUUUAUCAAGAUCUCCUGCAAAAUCUGAAUCCACAUAGCCCCUGACAGUAAACUCUGACCCUCCAUAACAUAAUGCAACAUCUGAGGUUCCUCUGAUGUACUGCUGUACGGCCAAGGCGGAUGUACGGUACAGCAGCAUAGUAUNNNNNNNNNNNNNNNNNNNGCUGGUCCCAAGUCCUUCAUUUCAAACUCCUUAUGCAACUGUGCCUUCAAUUCUUGGAUUCGAUCUUUGUUGGGGCUUGUUACCAACAUGUCAUCCACAUACAAUAAAAUAAUGAAAUCACUAUCUUCAAACCUUUUGUAAUAUGCACAAUGGUCUGAAUUGAGUCUGUUGUAUCUAAGGUUCAUGAUGAAUGAAUCAAAUCUCUUAUACCAACACAUCGGCGCCUGUUUGAGACCAUAUAGAGAUUUGUUCAACCUGCAAACCAAGUUCUCUUUUCCUAUUUCAGCAAAACUUUCUGGUUGGAGCAUAUAAAUUUCUUUUUCGAGUUCUCCAUGAAGAAAUGCAGUUUUCACAUCCAACUGCUCAAGAUGUAAGUCAAAUGUAGCACAUAUCGCCAAGACUAUUCUGACCACUAAAGAAAAUAUCUCGUGAAGCCAAUACCUUCCUUCUGAGCAUAUCCUUUCACCACCAAUCUCGCACGAUACCGCUCCACUUGAUCAUUGCCAUCACGUUUGAUCUUGUAGACCCAUUUGUUUCCAAUGGCUUUUCUUCCGUGUGGUAGUGGUACAAGUUCNNNNNNNNNNNNNNNNNNNNNNNNNNNNNNNNNNNNNNNNNNNNNNNNNNNNNNNNNNNNNNNNNNNNNNNNNNNNNNNNNNNNNNNNNNNNNNNNNNNNNNNNNNNNNNNNNNNNNNNNNNNNNNNNNNNNNNNNNNNNNNNNNNNNNNNNNNNNNNNNNNNNNNNNNNNNNNNNNNNNNNNNNNNNNNNNNNNNNNNNNNNNNNNNNNNNNNNNNNNNNNNNNNNNNNNNNNNNNNNNNNNNNNNNNNNNNNNNNNNNNNNNNNNNNNNNNNNNNNNNNNNNNNNNNNNNNNNNNNNNNNNNNNNNNNNNNNNNNNNNNNNNNNNNNNNNNNNNNNNNNNNNNNNNNNNNNNNNNNNNNNNNNNNNNNNNNNNNNNNNNNNNNNNNNNNNNNNNNNNNNNNNNNNNNNNNNNNNNNNNNNNNNNNNNNNNNNNNNNNNNNNNNNNNNNNNNNNNNNNNNNNNNNNNNNNNNNNNNNNNNNNNNNNNNNNNNNNNNNNNNNNNNNNNNNNNNNNNNNNNNNNNNNNNNNNNNNNNNNNNNNNNNNNNNNNNNNNNNNNNNNNNNNNNNNNNNNNNNNNNNNNNNNNNNNNNNNNNNNNNNNNNNNNNNNNNNNNNNNNNNNNNNNNNNNNNNNNNNNNNNNNNNNNNNNNNNNNNNNNNNNNNNNNNNNNNNNNNNNNNNNNNNNNNNNNNNNNNNNNNNNNNNNNNNNNNNNNNNNNNNNNNNNNNNNNNNNNNNNNNNNNNNNNNNNNNNNNNNNNNNNNNNNNNNNNNNNNNNNNNNNNNNNNNNNNNNNNNNNNNNNNNNNNNNNNNNNNNNNNNNNNNNNNNNNNNNNNNNNNNNNNNNNNNNNNNNNNNNNNNNNNNNNNNNNNNNNNNNNNNNNNNNNNNNNNNNNNNNNNNNNNNNNNNNNNNNNNNNNNNNNNNNNNNNNNNNNNNNNNNNNNNNNNNNNNNNNNNNNNNNNNNNNNNNNNNNNNNNNNNNNNNNNNNNNNNNNNNNNNNNNNNNNNNNNNNNNNNNNNNNNNNNNNNNNNNNNNNNNNNNNNNNNNNNNNNNNNNNNNNNNNNNNNNNNNNNNNNNNNNNNNNNNNNNNNNNNNNNNNNNNNNNNNNNNNNNNNNNNNNNNNNNNNNNNNNNNNNNNNNNNNNNNNNNNNNNNNNNNNNNNNNNNNNNNNNNNNNNNNNNNNNNNNNNNNNNNNNNNNNNNNNNNNNNNNNNNNNNNNNNNNNNNNNNNNNNNNNNNNNNNNNNNNNNNNNNNNNNNNNNNNNNNNNNNNNNNNNNNNNNNNNNNNNNNNNNNNNNNNNNNNNNNNNNNNNNNNNNNNNNNNNNNNNNNNNNNNNNNNNNNNNNNNNNNNNNNNNNNNNNNNNNNNNNNNNNNNNNNNNNNNNNNNNNNNNNNNNNNNNNNNNNNNNNNNNNNNNNNNNNNNNNNNNNNNNNNNNNNNNNNNNNNNNNNNNNNNNNNNNNNNNNNNNNNNNNNNNNNNNNNNNNNNNNNNNNNNNNNNNNNNNNNNNNNNNNNNNNNNNNNNNNNNNNNNNNNNNNNNNNNNNNNNNNNNNNNNNNNNNNNNNNNNNNNNNNNNNNNNNNNNNNNNNNNNNNNNNNNNNNNNNNNNNNNNNNNNNNNNNNNNNNNNNNNNNNNNNNNNNNNNNNNNNNNNNNNNNNNNNNNNNNNNNNNNNNNNNNNNNNNNNNNNNNNNNNNNNNNNNNNNNNNNNNNNNNNNNNNNNNNNNNNNNNNNNNNNNNNNNNNNNNNNNNNNNNNNNNNNNNNNNNNNNNNNNNNNNNNNNNNNNNNNNNNNNNNNNNNNNNNNNNNNNNNNNNNNNNNNNNNNNNNNNNNNNNNNNNNNNNNNNNNNNNNNNNNNNNNNNNNNNNNNNNNNNNNNNNNNNNNNNNNNNNNNNNNNNNNNNNNNNNNNNNNNNNNNNNNNNNNNNNNNNNNNNNNNNNNNNNNNNNNNNNNNNNNNNNNNNNNNNNNNNNNNNNNNNNNNNNNNNNNNNNNNNNNNNNNNNNNNNNNNNNNNNNNNNNNNNNNNNNNNNNNNNNNNNNNNNNNNNNNNNNNNNNNNNNNNNNNNNNNNNNNNNNNNNNNNNNNNNNNNNNNNNNNNNNNNNNNNNNNNNNNNNNNNNNNNNNNNAUUUACUUCUAGCAAUAGAUCUACUGAAUUUUAAUCUAUGCUGCUUACUUGUAACACAAUGCUCGCAAAAUGGUAAACUUACCGAUUUGAGCCCUGGAAGCAAUUUUCGCUCAGAGAGAAUCUUCAAACCUUGUUCCGACAUGUGGCCAAGUUUGAGAUGCCAUAUCAUCGUUGACUCUUCUCCAUUUGAUGCGACACACGCAUCAGCCUCCUGUAGUGUUUCUCCUUUAAGCAUAAAUAGAUUAGCACUGAUCUUUUCUGCCUUCAUCAAUACAAGCGCGCAUUUAAUGAUCUUCAUUAUUCCAUUCUCCACAUGAGUUUUGUACCCAUGACUAUCCAUUUGUCCCAAAGACAAUAGAUUUUUCUUUAGGCUGUUGACAUGUCGUACCUCCCCAAUUGUGCGAAUUGUACCAUCAAAUAUUUUUAUUUUGAUAGUACCAAUACCAGCGAUCUCCAAGGCAUGAUCAUCUCCCAUAUAUACAGAUCCUCCUGAGAUAGGUUCAUAUGUGUGGAACCAUUCUCUCCUAGAGGUCAUGUGCCAGGUAGCUCCUGAGUCUAUAAGCCAGACAUCAGAAAGUCGUUUUCUGCCUUCUGAAACAGUUGUUGCCUCACUGUAGAGUAUUUCGCCAUCAUCCGAGGUACUUGCUACACACCCCUGAGCAUUUGAUGACUCAGGUUCUUUGCCCUCUUUUCUCUUCUGGUUACUCCAACACUCUUUCUUGACAUGCCCUUUCUUGCCACAGUUGUAGCAUUUAACAUUCUUCUUACUUCUAGAUUUUGAUCUACCAUGACUUUGACUCCCACUGGGGCCACGUUCUGUUGAUCUCCCUCUCGUCACCGAUAGCGCAUCCGCAUGCUGCGAACUUGCUUGUCUGUUUUCCUUAUUUUUCCGCCUGCUCUCCUCAUUUAAUACGGAGGCUGCAACAUCGUCGAAAACUAAACUGUCCACUAGAUUGUUGUUCGUCAGGUUGAUGAUGAGUUGAUCAUACGAAUCUGGUAGACUUUGAAGUAGAAGUUCUGCACGUUCAUUUUCCUUUAUAUUAUGACCCAACAUUGUGAGUUGUGAAAAUAGAGUCUUCAAUGUGUUGAUGUGGUCGGUCACCAUUGUAGAUUCCGCCAUUCGAAGAGUAUAGAGUUUUCUCUUCAAGAAGAUUUUGUUGUGUAGUGACUUGGCCUCAUACAAUUUUGUGAGAGUAUCUCAUAUUUCCUUCGCCAUAUUUUUCUCUGCCACACUGGAUAAUACUCCGUCUGCAAGUGCCAAGUGUAGAUCAGAAAUGGCGUUGCCGUCUACCUCGUUCCACUUGUCAUUAGUUAUCUCCAUGGGCCUUUCUCCAAUUGCUGCCAAGCAAUUAUUUUUCCUCAAUACAGCUUUCAUCUUCAUUUUCCACAACGAAAAAUUAUUUCCGUUAAAUUUCUCAAUUUCAUACUUUGCCGCCAUUUUGUUGAUAAAUACUGCACACAAGCUAGUAUACCACCUUGAAUAGUUGUGAGUAUGUGUGAGAAUGCACACCAGGAAAGUUCCUAGGAAAGACUGGAGGGGUCACAAUGAUCCCACUUAAAACCCAGACUCCUUAAGCUCUUAUCGCCUUUGUGACAGAACUUUCCUAGACAUGUACAAAACCGCACAGUUGCUUUACUCACACCACUAUUCCCUGCUUUGCACCGUAAAAUUCUUGGAUCGCUCCCACCGUUUCACGUGAAUAGUACAGUAUACGUGAAUAGUACCGUACACGUGGACAAUACCGUAUACGUGAAAAGUAUCGUAUAUGUAUAUAGUGCCGUAUACGUGAAUAGUACCCCUUACGUGAACAGUUCCUGACUCCAAAAAAUGCAACCAAUAUCUCUGAUACCACUGUUAGGAAAUUGGUGGGUGAAGCAGACACGCAGCUAAAGUGAAAUUGUAAGAAAAUAAAGAACAAAUAAAGAAAAGAACUGAAGAACUCGAAACUGAAGAACUCAAUGAUUUACAAAUGAAGGGAGCCAGCGUUUUUAUAGCCAAAAAUUGGCUACUGUUCAUUUAAUAUUGAAUUAUUAUUUUUAUUUUAUUAAUUUUUCUUUUCUUUUCCUUCUUCGGCCCGGCAUCUCUUUUUCUAACUUCAUAUUUCUUCUUCAAACAUUUACAGCUUCUAGAUUACGACUCCUCAUCCUCCAUUCUUCUUUUGUUUUCUGUUGUGCCCCGAAUGUGGUUGGCGUUUAAACAACUAAUAUUUCCAUGAAACGCAGGCCAAAUGAAAUUACAAUAAACAAAUACUCGUAGGAUGACCCAUGGAAAAUGUUUAUGUAGCCAACUCCUCUAUAGAAUAAGGCCCUUUAUAACUUCAUUUAUAAUAUGAGAAUAUCAAAUUGGUAUUUUUUCAGUAAUUGGAAAGGAAUAUGCCUGGAAAUUUUUCUGUCAGUAACUUUAUAUCCCUGCACAGCUGGCACAAGUCUUUCGUCAACAUACUGAUGCAAUGGCUUCUCUAUUUUCCUUUAUAUGCAGCUUUUCUAGUUAUUGCAGAUACGUGGAUUGUACUUGAUGCUUAAUUGCUUAUAUAGCUCGAAGUGAAUCACUUAACUGAGUUCUGUUGACUUCAAUUUUUGAUAAACAACACUAAUGUUGUAGUGUUUGAGUUGACAGUGAACUGCAACCUCUUUAGUUAUUUUAGGAGCAACGACCAUAAUGAUUUUUUCUGCUAAUUAUUCCAGGUUGCGCCAGCGGAGCUUGAAGGGCUGCUUGUUUCUCACCCUGAGAUAUUAGAUGCUGUUGUUAUUCCGUAAGUUGUAGUGCAAUUAAAUAUAAGUACAAACUCCAUCAUUCCACUCUUUUAAGGAAAUUUUAUGUGUGGAUCCUUACAUUUGGAAGGCGCCAUUGAUAUCUUGAAGAAUUUCCGCCUGUGUAGAUUUCCUGAUCCUGAAUCUGGUGAGGUUCCAAUUGCAUAUGUUGUUCGCUCCCCCAACAGUUCGCUGACCGCAGAAGAUGUUCAGAAGUUCGUUGCUGAACAGGUAAUGUGACACAAUAAAACAUGAAGCUUGAUUCUUUGUCAAUCAUAGGCCUUUCGGUCGGUUUCUCUUUGUGUUGAGACUUGUCUUUAUAACCAAUUGUUGUGCCCUUAAAUGAAAAAAAAUAUGACAUUGAGACAUUCCUAGAUCACUACAAAUGGCCUUUGAUGAUCCGAUUCCGACAUAUGUUGCUUUUCAAUUUACGUUUGUUCUGCUAGUCAUUUCUUUGCAAAUAAUAUUUCUUAUUCCCGUACCUUAUUCUGAAAGGUGUAAAUAUAAAUAACACAAUGUUUCUUGUUCAUUUUUCACCAAAACACUCUCCUUUCCUCACUCUGUUACACAGGUCUCACCUUAUAAAAGAUUACGAAAGGUGACCUUCAUAAACAGUGUUCCGAAGUCGGCUUCUGGAAAAAUCCUCAGGAGAGAGCUCAUAGCGAAAGUACGAUCCAAAAUAUGAAUUCGUGCUACGUAUAAUUGAUAAGAGCAUUCUUUUCUUUUCUUUUCUUUUUUCUUCGAAUAACAUGCGCUUUUCUUUGGCUCCUUGUAAAAUUCAAGGAUGAUCAUUUUCCUGUAAUAUUAUAUAGAUAAGCCCUGCAAGUUGAAGCUGCUUUAGAAUGGAAAUUUUAAUUAAUUAUAUUUAUUGAUUUUAAUUAAUAAUGUUUUACGAUAAUUCUUUGUCAAUCAUAGGCUUGCUUUUAUUUGGUUUGACUACGACAUGCUUCAGAUUCGGAUGGUGACAGAAAAUUACAAGUUAGUCAUAUUUGGACGCUGGAGCAUUCCUCCAUAAUCCUUAAUUCAUUCGAUGCUUGUCAUAUGAGCAUGCAUAUGCGACAAUUGAUUUGAAAUAUUUGUGUGAUAAGAAAUGAAUGAAAAAUGAGCAAUACUUUAGAGUCUCUGAGGCUUUUCGUCACUAAGUUACAUUAUUGGUAACUUUUUUUUUUUUAAGAGAAUUGUUACUCAUGAUAUUUAUACUAUAUAAAUUAUUGAGACUCGUUUACAUCAAUUUUAAUAUAACAUUACUCAGAUUUUUAAUUUUCUCAAAUAUUCGAGGGAUGUUCAACUCUCAUUUUGAGAGAAAACUAUUUUUACUCAAGUUCUGAAACUUAAAAAAAAGACAUUUAAAUGAAAUUCCUACAAUAUAUAUGUGAGGUCUCAAAGCAUUGUGAUGGAGUGGUUUAACCCAAGUGGUUUACGUUAUCGGUAAUUUGAAUUCACAAGAUAGUAAACAAGAUUGAAUUUUACUGCCUUACGUUUAACGUAAGGUACAUUCACUCACACAAUUUAUCUGUGGACUCCAUUAAAACUCACUACUAGUGAGAGGGCUGUAACUACGUCCAACUUAAGGUAUCAGCUCCCAAGUCCCAACAAGAUUUUGUCACGUGUUAGGCAACUGUUGAAGAGUUUGCAAAGGCUGAUUUCACAGUCCGUAUAUUUGUCGCUUUACAGUGUUUGGUAUGUGUUGCAUUCCUCACUUUAAAUCCAACGGCAGAGAUUCAGUUGCCGUAUGCCCGUGAGUCCCAGCUGAUUUGAUUUAGCGUGGGACAGUGACUUGUCAGUAUUGAUGAUACGCACAAUGCCAUGAGAUGACAUUUGAACUCAAAAUUAUAUGAUACAUGAUGUAUCAUUUGUUUGUUGCUACUAUCAGAUAUUAUACUAUUAAUGAUUAUAUGAAAAAUUAACUAUUAUCAAACAAUAAUAAAUUAUUAAUUCAUGACACGUCAUUUAAGAUACAAAAUUAGGAUCUCAACUUUAUAAGCGUAGACCUUUUUUUUUUUUUUUUUUUCUCUCCCUCACAAGCACUCGUUCAAUUAGUCAAUUCGUACUACUAAUAAGCUUUUAUCACUAAGAUCAAGUAUUCAAAUAACAUAAAUUUCAAAUACCAUUAUUUCUUUUGAACUUCCCUCCACAACAUAGCCUCUUGGCCGAAUGUGCAACAAUUAAACAGCCUGAUCCUAGCCCGCUCACCUUGCUCCAAGAUUGAAUACUAGGAGUCCUAAAAUCUUAAUGAAAAGGAGCUUGGCUUCGUGAUUUUUGUUUAUAAGUGAUCAUUUCAAUUCAAGUUGCUGACCCAUAUAUUCUAUGCAAAAGAACAAAAUACAAUCACGGAAACCCAAAUGUUUCUUAACCCUUAAUCAAUUUUUAUCAAAAAAUAAGUUGCGGCUUAGUUAACAUCUUAACAACUGAACUGGAAAUACUAUUUUUGCUACUACUAGCCUCUGUUGUCUUACAAAACCACAAUAAUUUUCUUUCCAAUGUCCAGGAUUGAUGGUCCCAAUAUUUCAGCUAUCACCAUUCACUAUUAACUUUUUCAUCUCCAUUGAUACCUCUUAAAAAUAAAAACUAACUCUUUGCUAUGGAAAAAUCUGGUUAUGGCCGUGAUGGUAUCUACAGGUCUUUAAGGCCAGCUUUGGUUCUUCCCCAAGACCCCAAUCUUUCUAUGGUUCAUUUUCUCUUUAGAAACUCUGCUUCUUAUGGCUCCAAAUCAGCACUUAUUGAUGCUGAUUCUGGUGAAUCUUUGACUUUUUCCCAGUUCAAAUCCAUUGUGAUCAAGGUCUCUCAUGGAUUUCGCCAUCUGGGUGUUACAAAACAUGAUGUUGUUUUGAUUUUUGCUCCAAAUUCAAUUCAGUUUCCUAUUUGUUUACUUGGUGUUAUUGCUAUAGGUGGUAUAGCAACAACUGCUAAUCCUGUUUACACUGUAUCUGAACUUUCAAAGCAAGUUAAAGAUUCCAGUCCAAAACUUGUUGUCACUGUCCCUGAAUUAUGGGAGAGAGUUAAAGACUUCAACAUCCCAGCUGUCCUUUUGGGUUCAAAUCACAUUGUUUCUCCUCGUGGUCUUAGAUCUAGCUCAAAUAUUGUUUAUUUUGAUGAGUUGAUUGAAUUAUCCGGGAAUGCAUCAAACUUUCCUGAUGUUUCUGUUAAGCAAACAGAUACUGCAGCCUUGUUGUACUCCUCAGGUACAACUGGUGUCGGCAAAGGUGCCAUUUUGACACACAAGAACUUCAUUGCAUCAUCUUUGAUGACAGCCAUGGACCAAGAACUGGCUGGUGCGUUAGAUUAUGUGACUCUUUGUGUGCUGCCAAUGUUUCACGUAUUUGGGCUCUCAUUUGUUGUGUAUGCCCAGUUGCAAAAAGGCAAUUGUGUUGUUUCAAUGCGGAAGUUUGAUCUUGAGACGGCUCUGAGAGCUAUUGAAAAGUACAGAGUGACACAUUGGUGGGUCGUGCCACCAAUUAUUCUUGCAUUGGCCAAGAAUGUUAGUUUAGUGAAGAAAUUUGAUCUUUCUUCGUUGAAAGGGAUCGGUUCUGGUGCUGCUCCUUUGCGAAAGGAAUUGGUGGAGGAAUGCUCCAAGAAUUUACCUACUGUUACGGUUUUUCAGGUGCAGUUAAUUACUGUACAUCUAAUUUUCUUAAUAUGACAUGUUAAUAAUUUAACUUAGCUUUGGCUCUAAAGCAAAUCAAUAAUAAUUAAGAAUGAUAGAUUUGUUUGUUUACUAAGAAAAUGAAAAAGAAAAUCAGAGAAGCAGAGAUGAAAGAACUUGUAUAUUAUUCAUACUGUCAUUUGAUUAGUUACACAUGUUUAUAUACUACGAUCUGGAAUAUUCUACAUUCUGUUUACAUGCAAAACAGCUGAGCUAGUAACUGAACUAAUUUGCCACAUAAGCAGCCACGUCAACAUGUAUAACAGAUUCCGUUUAACUAACUAUUUAAACCAGCAUGUGACUAAUCUCAAUUUGACUAUCUUAACAGCCUCCCUCAAGCUCAAGGUCGUGUAAGCACAUUGAGCUUGGACCUGAGAUAGUUAAAUUGAUCAAAAGCUAAAGGUUUUGUAAAAAUGUCUGCCACUUGAUCAUAGCUGGGAACAUGACUGAUCUGCAGUUCUUUCUGAGCUAUAUGAUCCCGAAUGAAGUGUAAAUCUAACUCAAUAUGUUUGGUUCUGGAGUGAUACUUGGGGUUACUUGCUAAAGCUUCUGCACUCUUGUUAUCACAGUAGAUAACUGGAGUUUGUAAUAAAGGUACUUUCAACUCUUGCAGCAAGUAAGUGAUCCACAAAGUUUCAGAGACAGCCAAUGCUAAUGCUCUGUAUUCUGACUCAGCUGUGCUUCUUGAGACUAUAGGUUGUUUCUUAGAUGACCAUGAGAUCAGAUUAUUCCCCAGAUAAAUGCAAUAUCCCCCAACUGACUUUCUAUUAUCUAAAUCUGAGCCCCAAUCAGCAUCUGAGAAGGCUGAAAGUGUGAGUGAACCAGAGGCAUAAAACUGUAAACCAAGAUCAGCUGUACAUUGCAAAUAUCUCAGAACUCUUUUACAUGCUUGCCAAUGAAGCACUGAUGGAUUGGCAAGAAACUGACUUAGCUUAUUUAUAGUGAAGGCAAUCUCAGGUCUAGUAAGAGUAAGAUACUGUAAUGAGCCAACUAUACUUCUAUAGAGAGAGGGAUUUUCAAAAGAAGCACCCUUGUCUUUGACUAGCUUCUCUGUAGAACUCAUUGGAGUGGAACAGCCUUUGCUCUCAAUCAUCUGUGCUUUCUUAAGAAUAUCACCUACAUAUUUUGUUUGACAAAGAUGUAAACCUUCAACUGAAGGUGUAACCUCAAGACCAAGAAAGUAGUUGAAUUCCCCCAGAUCCUUCAAAGCAAACUCUGAGCUUAAAUGCUGAAUAACUUUUUCAACAAGCUGAACAUUAGAACCAGUCACCAAGAUGUCAUCCACAUAAACUAAAAUAACAACUAUAUCCCCUGCUUUGUGAAAAAUGAACAAUGAAGUGUCAGAUUUUGAAGCAAUGAAACCCCAAUUCAACAGAGAGAGUUUCAAUCGGUCAUACCAAGCUCUUGGAGCUUGCUUAAGACCAUAGAGAGCUUUGGUAAGCUUACAGACAUGAGAUGGAAAUUGAGGAUGAAUGAAACCUUCAGGCUGAUGCAUAAAGACCUCUUCAGUAAGAAUGCCAUUAAGGAAAGCAUUAUUAAUGUCCAGCUGUCGAAUUGGCCAGUGAUUCAUGACAGCAAGACUCAGAAUGAUUCUUAUUGUGCAAGGCUUUACAACUGGACUAAAUGUUUCAAAGAAGUCUACUCCUUGUGUUUGAUGGAAGCCUUUGGCCACCAACCUUGCUUUAUACUUGGAUAUACUACCAUCAGGGUUAUACUUCACCCUGAAAACCCAUUUGUUGCCAACAAUUUUUCCAGCUUUUUCUCUAGGAACUAAAAUCCAGGUGCUAUUUUUCUGCAAGGCAUCAAACUCAGCCUGCAUAGCUUGUUUCCACUUGAAAUCAGCCAAUGCUGCUUUAAUUGAAUGUGGUUCAAGGUGUUGAGUAACAGCCAAGUAAGUUUUGGGCUUAAAAACACCAGCUUUGGAUCUGGUGAGCAUGGGAUGGAUAUUUUGAGUUGGUUGAGGUGCAAGAGUAGAUACUGAUGGUAACUGAAUAGAAAGAGAUGGUUGAUGUGGUGUACUGCAUGAAGAGGUGUCUGAAGAAUGAGAUGAAGAGAGUGUCUGUAAGAUACCUGAAUCAGGGCCUGCAUCCUGAGCUGGAGGAUGUAGAGAAGGCUGUUCACAGUUACUGUCAUUGAGUAGGAUGUUGGAAGAAAUGAAUGGACUAGAAAAAUGACUUUGCUGAACUGAGGACACAUUUGAAUCUGAUGAAGGAAAAAGAUUGGAGUAUGGAAAUUCAUAUUCAUUAAACUUAACAUGUCUGGCAAUAUAAGUUUUGCCAGUAGAAUCAAGACACUUAUAGCCUUUGUGAAGAGGGCUAUAACCAAUCAUGAGACAUUUUCGUGUAUGAAAGUUAAACUUGUGCUGACUGUAAGGUCUGAGAAAAGGAAAGCAUGAACAGCCAAAGGUUUUGAGGAAAUGGUAAUCAGGCUUUCUGCCAUAGAGCUUGGUAUAAGGAGAAGUAUUAUUCAAAACAGGUGUUGGCAACCUAUUGAUAAGAAAAGAAGCUGUAUGAAAUGAUUCCCACCAAAAAGAUAAGGGCAUUUUUGCCUGAGCAAGUAAAGUCAGCCCUGUUUCUACAAUAUGGCGAUGCUUCCUCUCUACCACACCAUUUUGGUGAUGUGUAUGAGGGCAACUAUGUCUAAACUCUAUGCCUUCUUCUUGAAGGAAAUGUACAAAAUUUCUGUAUUCACCCCCCCAAUCAGAUUGUAGUGACUUUAAAGGAUGAUUAAAUUGUUUCUCAAUAAGGGUUUUGAAGUGUUUGAAAGUAGCUAAGGCUUCAGAUUUGAGAGUUAAAGGAAAAAUCCAACAAUACCUACUAUAAUCAUCUACAAAGCUUAUGUAGUAUCUAUAACCCUGUAGUGAAAGCAUGGGUGCUGGACCCCAGAGAUCAGUAUGGACUAGCUCUAAAGGAGCUUUUGUUUUUAUUCCUGUUGAGUAAAAAGGGAACUGAUGGAUUUUACCAUAUUGACAAGCAUCACAAAAAUCAGGUAUUGAUGUUGGACAAGGAAGGGAAAGAGAAGAUAGAAUACAUUUUAACACAUGUUUGCUUGGAUGACCAAACCUUUGGUGCAACAAAUUUGCAGACAAAAUAUUGUUUGUACAGGUUUUAUUUGUAGUUUCAUCUAAGAGAUUACAAGCUGAAUUAUUCAAAACAGAAAGCAUGGAACUAGGAAUCUGAGAAGGACUGUGAGAACUGGAAAUGAAAUCCUUUUUUGACAGUAACUGAUAUAGCCCUCCUCUAGCAAUCCCUUGAGCAAGAUGCACUCCCUUCUUCUGGUCCUUAAUGAAACACAUAUUGGCAACAAAUUCAAUAGUUAAGUUGUUGUUUUCAAGUAGCUUUGAGAUGCUUAUAAGAUUUUUGGUAAGGUGAGGAACAAACAAAAUAUCUUUUAAGUGUAAGAUGGAGUCUAAUGAUGUAUGAAGAUCAGUGUAACCAACAUGUGAUAUAUGCAGCCCUUGACCAUUGCCAACAUGCAACAAGUGAUUACCUGAGUAUUCCUUUGCAAGACUCAGAUUCUGUAGAUUGUUGGUGAGGUGAUGAGUUGCACCACUGUCUAUGUACCACCCUUGAUCAGCAAAAUCACCUUCAGAGGCAGCCACAAAAGCAGCUCUAGGUGCUGAGUUAGCAUAUGCAGGUCUUGGUACUUGAUACUGAUAUGAGUUAUAUCCAAAUGAAGAGUUGAAAGGUAUGAACUCUCUAUUAAACCUAUUUCUACACUCAGCUGCAGUGUGCUUAGGUUUGAAACAGAUUUGACAGAUUACUCCAGCAGAGUUAGGAUCAGAACUACCUCUCCCAUUACUAUUAGGAAAACCACCAGGUUUUGCAAAAUUUCCAUUUCCAGAACCAAAACCACCUCUGCCUUGAUAGUUACCAGGUGAUGCUCCAUUCCAGCCAUUAUUCCAAUUACCAUUCCAAUUUCCUCUUACUUGACCCUGUGAAAAACCUCUACCAAAACCUCCUCUGCCUCCAUUACCAUUACCAUUUUGAUUUUUGUUCCAAUUAGCAUUAUACUGUCCAGAUUUAGUGUUCUGUCCAGUUUGAGCAACAUUAGCUGCAAAAUUCAUUUUAGCUUCUUUACUAGAGUUCAACUGAUUAGCCUCUAAUCUAGCCUCAUGAGUCAGGAGCAUAGAAUAGGCUUCAUUUAUAGACAUCUUAGCAAGAUUUGCCUCAAUGUAUACUACCACUGGAUAAUAAGGCUGGCCUAAUCCACUGAUCAAAUGAGUAAGAAAAUCUAGUGAACUAACAGGACUACCAGCCACAGCAAGUUCAUCAGUAACUGUCUUUAGUUUUCCAAAAAAUUCAGUCAUGGACAUAGCUCCUUUUCUAAGAUUGUUAAGCAUAAUUUUCAGAUGCACCUUUUUAGCAAAAGUUUCAGAUCCAAACUGUUGUUCAAGACUAAUCCAGAUUUCAAGUGAGGUUUUAGAAUUUACCACCAGACUGAGAAUCUCUAGACUAAUAGCAGACAUCAGCCAACUCAGCAGCAUCUGAUCUUUUCGUUUCCAGAUAGCAAAGGCUGGAUUCUCUCGUACUCCUUCAGUAGCAGUGAUCUCAGUUGCAUCAGAAUCAGAAUUUAUAACUCCAUCAGAUGAGAAUUGUUCUGGACAAGGUUUUGAGUUGUCGAGAAAAUCUUCAAGGCCAUUAGCACGAACUGAAGUGAGAAUUUGAGACUUCCAGAUUGUGUAAUUUGUUCUAUCAAGUUUAACUGGCGAGGUAAAUGUAAAUGAGGAUGUUGUAUUUUGAUUUGAGUUAAAAGCAGCCAUUAGAUCUGGCUCUGAUACCAAAUUAAGAAUGAUAGAUUUGUUUGUUUACUAAGAAAAUGAAAAAGAAAAUCAGAGAAGCAGAGAUGAAAGAACUUGUAUAUUAUUCAUACUGUCAUUUGAUUAGUUACACAUGUUUAUAUACUACGAUCUGGAAUAUUCUACAUUCUGUUUACAUGCAAAACAGCUGAGCUAGUAACUGAACUAAUUUGCCACAUAAGCAGCCACGUCAACAUGUAUAACAGAUUCCGUUUAACUAACUAUUUAAACCAGCAUGUGACUAAUCUCAAUUUGACUAUCUUAACAAUAAUCUUUCUCAAAAUAUCAUUCUGGGUUAAACAUAUUUACUUUCUGUGAAAAAAAACUCCGAGAUUUCAGGGCUACGGUAUGACGGAAACGUGUGGCGUUGUAACAGUGGAGAAUCCAUUGUUAGGGGUUCAAAAUAGUGGUUCAGCUGGAAGACUUGUUGCAGGAGUUGAAGCUCAAAUAGUCUGUGUAGAUACUCUUAAGCCUCUUCCUCCGAAUCAAGUGGGGGAGUUAUGGGUUCGAGGACCUAUUUUGAUGCCAGGUAUAAUUUAUAUUAACCAAAUUCUUCCGUACUUUUAGAGCAUAAUCUGAGAAUCCUAAAUUCUACAACUACAAGGUUAAAUAGAAUAAUCUAAAUGAAAAAAUAAGUUGGAAGUCAGUCAACUAAACAUGAUGGGCUACGGGCCAUCGUGGAUGUCAGUUGCAAAGCUUGAUUUGAAACGUUAGGAUCCUAAAUCUCACGUAGACUGAAUAACAAAGUCGAUCAAAUAGAUAUAAUUGAUCGUCGUGGAUGCCAAUUGCAUAUUAGGAGUCUAAAUCUCACACGGGCGAAGUGUAAAAUCUAAAUGCUAAUAUAGAAGUUCAUGGGUUGUUAUUGAAUCGUAUAGUCAUGCAUUGUUUCACGCAAGGAAUAGGGUGUUGUUUUCACUUUUCAGGAUCGGAUUAUACAAAGAAAUUGACGCUUUCACUUCAAUACUCAUUUCAGGCUAUUUCAACAAUGAACAAGCCACAAAACUGAUUAUAGACAAAGAGGGUUGGCUACAUACAGGAGACCUUGGAUAUUUUGAUGAGCAUGGCCAGCUAUUCAUUGUUGACCGAAUUAAAGAGCUCAUCAAGUGCAACGGUUUUCAGGUAUUUUCUUUACUGGUAAUUAUGAUGGAGGUUUUAAUGCAAAUUAAUGCAUUUUCAUUUUCCCUGCAAAAUUUUGACCUGUUGCUCUAAGGGAAAUACUAAUGACCCGCAUGAUUUCUACUACUAACAGAAUUAAUAUUGCAGGUAGCGCCAGCAGAGCUCGAGGGGGUGCUUGUCUCUCACCCUGAGAUAUUAGAUGCUGUUGUUAUUCCGUAAGUUGAGAUACAUUCAAAUAUACAUUUAAUUAUAAAUUUUUGUCUCGUAAAUGCACCAUUGAUAUGUAUAUGUAUAUCCUGAUGCAUUUUCACAACUUCAGGUUUCCUGAUCCUGAAGCUGGUGAGGUCCCAAUUGCCUAUGUUGUUCGCUCACCCAACAGUUCACUUACUAAAGAAGAUGUUCAAAAGUUUGUUGUUAAACAGGUACACAAUAAGUGAAAAAUAUUAUUGUUCGUCAAUCAUAGGUCAUUUUAUUUAUUUCUUUUUGUGCCUAAACCUAUCUUUAAUAUUAUUUAUUAAUCGUGACUCGUCAAAACCCAUCAGUUUAAAUUUUUAGGUUAAACUGCUUCAAUUAACAAAUAACAAUGCUUUAACUCGGCUAUAUCUAAAGGUUUCCCACAUUUUGUUAUUUGCUUAAUUACCCUUGUGAUUCACAUUAUACAUCAACCCAAUUCUCCUCUUUCUUCCCUUUCUUGCAGGUUGCGCGUUAUAAAAGGUUAAGGAACGUGACAUUUACAAACAGCAUUCCGAAGACAACUUCAGGGAAAAUUCUCAGGAGGGAACUCAUUGCGAAACUGCGAUCCAAAAUUUGAACAUUAUUGAGUGAGAGUUUUGGAUAAUUGCAGCUUCUUAUAAAAUAAUUAGUAUUCUUUUUCACAUUGCAAGAGUUUUUAAAAUAAAAAUAUGUUUUGAUAAAUUUUAUUAUUUUAAGGACUGUAAUAAUAACGCACACCAUAGUGGACGGUUGCAGACACAAAAAUUGUCCCGUUCUCCAUUUUUCUUAUCCUAUUUACUGAUUGAUGUGGAAACUACACAUUUUUAUGUCGCCUGCAGGAAGGCAAAAUUACCAGAAAGUAUGUGAAAUAAAAUAUUUUUACAAUCAUUCUUUUAUUCUCUCCGCACAGUGGUUCACUCGUGGCACACAUUAAAGCCGUACUGACUAAUUGUUAAUUUUCAACGGCCCAUUAUUGACUGGAAUCUCAUUGACUAGAUUAUGUUAAUAUUUAGCAAGGUGUGACUAUCUUGAAACUGAUUGUCUUUGUAACUACAUGAUCAAAAUUAUAACGUAUUUUUUAUUUUUUAUUGUUUUUAUUUAGCAUUCUGAUUUCUUCCCUGCAGGUGCAGCCAUGAAAAUCAAAUUGAUCAGAGUUCCUACAUAAAUGGCAUAGAUGUAUUUAUAUAUUGUAAUACAAGCUACAAUAUUACUUGAUGAAACGGUUAUAAGCUGAUGGAGCUCUUUGUCUCUUCUCAGGAGCUGUUAGCAAAAUCAGAACAUAAUUAAAUAUCAGUUAAAUAAUAAGAAUAUAUAAGCUUUAUACAUCAAAUAAUUUCAUCCAUAGCUUAAUUAGUUACAAGAUUGGCACGCAUAUAUACGUUUGCUAACGACGUGAUUGAUCACACUGCCAGUGUCUUCUUCUUCAUUGUCAGAAGAGGUCAAAAUUGAAGGGCUAAAUCUCUUGAAGGCCUUCUGAUCAGCUUGCACCUCUUCCUUACGAAAUUCUUCUUUAGGCUAUAAGUAGAGAAGAAAGGACCUCAAAGACAUUGAAAAGUAACUUUGAAUUUUGGGUUACAAUUAAUUUUAGUGGAGAAUAUUAUGAACCAUAUCAAAGACAGCAAACAUACACACACACUCACUUAUGUACAUAUAUAAUCUUGGUCUUUGAUUUGAUUCUCAAGUAAAUAUAAUUAAAAGACAAUUUAAACACACGCAUAAAUACCUCAUCAUCAUGGCUAAAAGAAGCUAGAAGAUGAAGAGGAACAAAUGAAGCUUUCAUCAUGUUAACAGAGAGGAGGCUUGUGCAGUGGCCACAUCUCACUGUCACCACCAUUGACAUGCUGCCACAUGGGACAUCACCUGCAUAUUUCGAAAAUCCAACAACAAAUAAUUUUACAAAACCAACAAGUUGGUACAUAAAUGAAAUAAUGCAAUAUUAAUUAGUCACCAGCAAAAUGGUAGUGCAGAAACCACAUUGCACAUAGCAUAUUUGUUCAGGGAGAUCAAACAGAUGGUUGAGUGCAGACAUGCUGUGUUUUGCUUGAUGAUGACGAUCAGUUAUUUACUUGUCUGAAAGAUCAAAAGGGAGACAGAGAGAGACAGAGAGACAGACAGAGAGACAGAGAGACAGAGAGAGAGAGGGCCACUAACAAAAGACAAUGAGAGAAAAAGGACGCGGGUCUUGUCAUUGAAGAGAGAUUUAUAGAUGUUAGAGUAGAGUAUGUACAUGACUUAAUAAUAAUGGAUCAUUUAGAUCUUUUUACAAAUCUCCUUCUAAUUAUACCAAAAUGGACUGCACUUAUUGUUGUCAAUACUUGUCAUUUACCCAAAAAACAACUACUUCUAUUGAUUUGACAAAGUUUUAGGCUCUGCUAACUCCAACGAGUGAACAAAGUUAAUUAUUUACCCUUCGUACUCUAAAAUGAUGAAAAUUAUUUACCCUUCGUACUCAAAAAAUUCAAUGCUGAAAGACAGCAAGUGAAGAAAAGGACUAGUGCUUGUUUGUUUCAUGUGUUGUUUUCUAACUCAUUUACUCCACCUAUCUCUUUGAGCCCUCUAUUUCUAACACGAAAGCGAAAGCGAAAGCGAAAGUGCGGUAAGUUUUUACCAUUUUGGAGGAAUGGGGAAACGUCUAGAAAGGUGUAUAGAGAAGGUAAAGUGGCAUCUUAGGAUUUGUCUUUCCUGAAACAGAGUAAAAUUAAUUGACCAUAUGAGAUCUCCGUUCAUGUUUAUUUUUCACUUCGGAGCUCACUGCUCUUAAUGCAAGCAUUUACUUUUUCCAAUUUUCAUUGCCUCUGAUUGUUGACUCUUUUAUUAAGUCUUAGCCUUUACCCAUGUGCAUGCAUGUGAAAAAAAGCUAAAUUUUCCAGGCUCCCCACGGUUGAAAAGCUCAGAAAUGACACUUAGAUGAAGAUGUACUAUGAUGCAAAAAUGACUAAAUUGCACAUAGUCUACAUGUUGAAGAGACUGACAGUAAUGAUUGUGUUGAUUCCAAAUUAGUGAACAUAGUAGCACAAAAAGUACAUCAACGUAAUCUCAAUUUCCCAUGCCAUAAUCAGCUUGAUUAAGUGUUAUUGCUUAUAUCCAAGUCCAACGGGGCCGAUCCUAGCUAGUGCCACUGUCGUCCUAUAUGCGUAGAAGGGACCAGCUGGUGGCCUGGAACCAAGAAAGACCACUUGUACUGAAUUUGAAUUUUGAUGGGAAAAAUACUUGUGACCGGUCCGGUUGGGAGGUAUCAGAAUACGCUGACAAAUUUUAUCAUAUAUUUUUAGCAAGUUUUCACAUUAUAUACUCAUCUUUCACCUCGAACUUGAACCAGUUGUCAGUUGUAAUUUCAUCAUCUAAGGCUUGUGGUUCAAUGUCUGUUCUGGUCCUAAUGAAGUUGCGGUAUGAUUAUGAAGAACACCAAUAAUAAGAUAUAAUCUAUGUUUGAGGAAAGAGGGAGAUUUAAUUUUCCAUAAUAUUGAGUAAUUUUCACAAUGCAUAUAAUACUAAGUGAGUAUACAUGUGACUAUUAUGAGUGGUAUUCAGCCCAAAGGCUGAUAGAGAGGCGACCAUAACGGCACCAUAAGGGUGUCGUUUCAGUACCCAUGUUUCAACAUUUGGGUUUAAAUACUGAUAGAGGAUGUCAGAGCAACACCAUAGAGGCGCCAUUUUUAAUGCCCCCCUCUGUCAGCAUUUGGGCUGGAUAUCAUUUGCAAACGAUUAUAAUGUUCUUUUCUAGUGUAAUUAAGGGACCAUCUGGUUCUAGAUUUUUGAGAAACAAUUGUAGUGAAAUAGAAGCUCUACUUGUUAAGAGGAAGUUUAUGAGGCUCUCGGAUAAAACUUAUUUCUCAUUUUAUGGGUAUCUAACAAACACGUCUGAUUGUUAAACAACAUCAUUAACUAUUGCAUAACAAUAAUUUCUGAUCACUUGUAGUUGUGGAGCUCAUUUUUGUUUCAGUAUACAGCUUAGAGAUUUAGCAACUAAGCUGCCAAAUGUAAAGAACAAACCAUGCCUCAGUUGUCAUAAGGAAAGCAAGACAACCUAUGUAGUAAAAGAGUGAUGCCACUCUUGUAAAUUUGGGUACAUAAAAUUUGUGUUAAAACUGUGUGGCAUAUUUCUCGUGCAAUAUUAUCGAAGCGCUGCAUUACUAGCGGUAUAAUUUCUUUCGUCUUUUGUUUCAUUCGUUGCUUCACACGCCAACUGGUUUAACGGUAGUGGAAGAUCCUUGCCCACCUUUUUGCCAAUGGCCACACAGUCACCCUUAAAUAUAUCAUGAUCUCUAGUCCAUGUUUUUUAUAUGUAAUAAUUUUUUUUUCUUGAUGUCUAUUAAUUUUUGUGUUUAGUAAAAAUUAAUUUCAUGAUAUUUAUUAACUUUCAUAACUAAUAAAAAUUUGUUGAUAUUCAUUUUUAAAUGGUUAGUUUUUGUUCUUUUCAAUUAGUAAUAUCAAUUAUUUGCAAGUAAAGAAAAUAUACUUGAAUGAAUUGAUGAGAAUUUGAGGAAUUGAGAAGAGAAAGCAAAGUUAAUUAAGUAAUUUUUCCAAGAUUAUUUAAAUAAUAAAAUUCUUAAUUAAAAAGGUAUAGAGAGAAAAUUGGUGGAUCCAGAACCUCAAAUAGCCUCAUAUUUAUGAUUUUUAUCUAAAUAGAAAAAAAUCUGGAUAAUAAAUAAAUAUUAUAUAAAAAAACAUCUCUAUAAAAUAUAUUUAUUUCUUAAACUAUAAUUUUUUUUUUUACUUGUAAGGACAUAAAUGUUAAAUGACUACGUUUAAAAUGUUUUUUAUUUAUAAAAACAAAUCUAUUAUAUUUAAAUAUUUAAAAAAAAGAAACACGUUAGUUAAAUAUUCGUAUUCUGUCCUAUUCAAACUUUACAAAAAUUCAAACCAUUUUAGAUUUUAAAAACAUUUAAAUCUAUUCAGACUUGUAAUCCAAAAAAACAUGUUACCUAAAUGUUUGUAAGAACUUGAGCCAAGAGCACUCAAUUUGGGACAACUGGACAAGGAGAAAACAACUCUGAAAGUUUUCAAAUAGAAAAUCGCAAUUAUCCUCUAUCAUUCAUAAAUGUCUCUGCAAAUUUUACUCCAGCUAUUGAGAUUGAGACCUCACCUUUAAUCCAUUGAAAUUAAGAAGAAUUCUAGAGAGUGACUAAUUAAUGUGCAACCCGCCACCCGUUAUCUGUUGUACAGAUGGAGUUGGAUGGUAGCAAACUAGUAAUCCUAGUACCUCGAGUCUAUUGCUUAAAAACAAACAGAAAACCCUGGUCAUAUCUCACUUAUCAAAACUUUUAAAGAGGGUGACCUAUGGAAGGUUUAAUGAAAAAGAAGAUGAUAGAGUCCAUGGUCAAGUUUCCUUAGGUGAUGUAAGCUCCAGUAGAGUCGUCCAGGUCCAGCAGUUAUGCCGCCACUGCCAAACCCAAUUACUCACUAUUGCCUGCUUGCAGUUGCUGGUCAGGCAGGCUAGAGAGGCCAUUGAUUCCCACAGAUGUCGGUUGUUUUAUAUUUUUUUUCUGAUGGGUGUUCUAUAAAAUUUUCCUGAUUAGCAAAGAUAGGGUGGUUUGUAAAUACAUUCUCAAUCAACUGAUUAAGAAGCAUGUAACAUCUGCCUUUACUUAAUUAUUAUGAUUCAGAAAGAAUUUCAGAUCCAACGAUAUUAUAAGAAGAUAUCCAUCCGUAUAUAUGAUGGAAAAAUGAACAUCCACCUUCCAGAGUUGAAAGCAACCAACAAAAUGGCUAUCAAAUCUAAUACAAACUGUGAAUCAACAAAACCACUUCCAACAGAAUUGAAGAUUAACAUGUGUAGGCACGGUAGGGGAUGAAGGACACAUGAUCCACGAUGGCACACCAAACGCCAACAGUUGAGAAUAAUACACUUAAGAGCAACUCAAAGAAUAACUAAAAUCCAUGUAGAUCUCAAACUAUGAACACUGCAACUAGGCCAAAUCCAACACUAGGAAAGCAAUCAUGCAUGAUCUUUCAUUGUCAUUAUCUCAACCCACUACUCAUACAUAUAUUGAGAAAUUGUAUAUCUCUGCAACAUACUAAUCAAAAUAUAUCAAAACACUUAAAAUUGAUAUAUGUCCAAAUUAUGCUUCCAAAAUUUGUCCGGGACUGAACAACUCAUCAGGAUAUUAAGCAACAUGGUAUAUCAAUACUCCUAAUUAAGCAUUCUAUUAUGAAUUCUCAAAUUACAAAUGACAGCCAGCUCUAACUCUAGUGAGGCAAGCAGAAGCCCCAUAAUAGAGAUCAGUUUGGGUCAUACAUUAAAAAACAUGAUUGGGAUAAGAAAUAAGAAUGAUUAUCAUUCAUCCAUUAAAUGCAAGAGAAUGUAAAAUUCUUUUAUAGGGGGAAAAAGCAAUAUCAUCAAUAAUUAACAUAAAUAAGAGCAUAAAACAUUUCCAGAAAAGAACAUAUAGCUGCAUCUAGCUAAACCAUCUCCGGAGAAAAAAGGGGAAAACUAAAGACAUUUCCAAUAACUCUUUCCUCAAACGGAGUCAUAAUUACCUUUCAACAUUUCUCUCAACCAGUUUUCAGAGAAAAAAAAUGUACAUAAUCAAUUAAAAUAAUUUACACAUCCAACUAAAUUCAAAACAGAUUCUAAGUACUCUUGUGUAAUGCUUCUGACCCACCCACAAAGUUCUUAAUAAUUUCCAGCGUUAGUCCUUUAAUUCCAACUUAAUUCGUAGGUAGAAUAUCACUCCUACUCGAAAAUCAAUUACCACUAAAUUAUUCCCCCACAAUACUCAAAUCCUAGACAGUAUUCCAUCAAAUUAACAGAAUAUAUCAAUGCAUCCAAUCAAGAAUCAAUAACAUCAAUUAUAUAACAAACAAGACAAGUAGAAAUCAUAAAAGAUUCAUCAAUUAAAAUUUAAAACAUAUAACCAUUUAAUAAAAACGCUCCAGCAAACAAGUAUAUAGUCAAACAAAAUUACGAAAGAGUCAUAAUUUUUGAACCACAAAAACCAUAGUAAUUAAUACUAAUUAAAAAUAGCAAAACAACCACUUAAUCUCAAUCAAUCACCGCCAGCCUUCUGGUAAACAUAGGUGAGUCCACACUUGCCGCAGUAGUGCCUGUCAAAGUGGUUAGCCAUGAAGGUGCCGGCUCCACACUCAGCAUUCGGACACUCCUUCCUCAGCCUCUGGACCUUUCCAGAAUCAUCAACCUUGUAAAACUGCAAGACGGCGAGCUUGACCUUCUUCUUCUUGUGCUUGAUCUUUUUCGGCUUGGUGUAGGUCUUCUUCUUGCGCUUCUUCGCGCCACCACGGAGGCGGAGGACGAGGUGGAGUGUUGACUCCUUUUGGAUGUUGUAGUCGGCUAGGGUUCUGCCGUCCUCGAGCUGCUUUCCGGCGAAGAUGAGACGCUGCUGGUCCGGUGGAAUCCCCUCCUUGUCCUGGAUCUUGGCCUUGACAUUGUCGAUGGUGUCCGAUGAUUCGACCUCUAGGGUUAUGGUCUUUCCCGUUAGGGUUUUCACGAAGAUCUGCAUGGCUGCAGAUGAGGAAAGAACCAUCAAAUUUCAGUGAAAUGAAAGGAUGAGAAGCUUUUGCUGCGUAGAGGGGCUUAUAUAGUGUUUCAUUAGGGUUUUAGUUUUCUGCUGUGAUUAGGGUUGACAAUGGGAUGUGAUGGGACUUAUCACAUUAAGAUAAAGUCACAAAAAUUUACUUCUUCUAUUCAAAUGUAAAUGUUCAAAAAUCAAACACAAGUUACAAAAAAAAAAACAAAUUUAAAAAAGAUUGAAAUUAAUAAGAAUUUCAGACUUUAAAUACUUAAAAAACAAGCUCUUAACCAUGUAUUUCAAAAAAAUUACUCAAAAUUAACUUUUCAAACAAUGUUUCAAUAGUUGUUCGAUCAGAAUUUUCGAAGAGAAAAUAAUACAUUUGUCUGAUAUAACCCAGAAUUCAGAUAAAUAUGACAUGGAACAAGGAAAAAACAGAAAAUAAUUGAAUAGAUUUUAACAGAAAUGUUUACACACCAAUGAUGUUUUAGAUAAUUGUUGAAAAUACAAAUACUUAACUGGGUAAUCUCAAAACCUAGGAUUAAUAAAAGAGCAUUUAUCUCAUAAAAUAUGUUCCAAUUGUUAGUGUGACUACGAAAAGAGUGCUAUUCCAUAAAUGAUCAUGCAUUUACCCUGGAGUUACAACUAAUUAAUUAAACAGACACACGAUAUCUGUUUAUCUCUUUGUUAAUUGUCAUCGUAUUCCGGAUGAACAACAAGAGACCGACAACAACAUGUAUUACUACGUUUGCAUGAAUCGAAAAUGCUGUCGAAAACAAAUGUAAAUAACCUAGCUUCAUUUUUCUUGCUUAAAUUACGUGAAAUAAUUAGCAACAUAGCAUGCAAUGUUAAUAUCAGAAUGCAUGCACUUAAAAUUAGUUUCAGCCACGUGGUACGUUUUUCCAACACACAGAGGCGAAACCAAGUUCAUGCGUAAUGUGCUGGCAUCUCAAGUCAAAAUCAUAAAUUUUUGUAUUUAUAUACGCAUCGUUUUAUUUAUUUAUUUAUUUUUUUUUUGGCAAAUUUCAUUGAAAUGAAAGGAUGAGAAGCUUUUGCUGUGUAGAGGGGCUUAUAUAGUGUUUCAUUAGGGUUUUAGAUUUUGGAGAAGUGGUCUGCUGUGAGGAUCCACGAACGUUAACAUUGUUCGUGCCGGCAUGAGGUGGAGAAGUGGUCUGCUGUGAGGAUCCAACGAACGUUAACAUUGUUCGUGCCGGCAUGAGGACCGUUGGAUGAUAGGUGAGGAAAGUGCUAAAUUGAUGGAGAUGCUGACACGUGGAUGAUCUAAAGAAACACUGCCGUGUUUUCGUGCUGAACUGAACCCAAGAUUUUUGCGGAUCAGUCCAAAACAUAACCCGGGCUCUUCAGGCCCGAUACUUGUGAUUUUCACUUCGAGAUUGUACUAAUAAUGUUGAAUUGGCAACGGUGUCGUUUACGCGAAACUCAAAAUAUUAACAGAAACAAAAAAAAUGAAUUGGCUAGCGCCGCUCUCAUCCUGAGCUGGACACUGAAACUGAACUUCAAAUGCGGAUUCUAGCUUCGCUACCAGACGGUAACCUCUUCUCAUCCCUUUCGUCAACUCCACCUCCAAGGCACCCCAGGUUGCCGCCACCCUCCACGUCACCACCCAUCCUCGUUCCUAAAUAUCCCCAAAAGAACAAAAACCCAAAUCUAAACCCAAUCCGGCCUUCAAGCUCCCUCACCUUCAUACACGCUACUACAAGCCCGUCAAUCCGGGAGUCAUCGCAUCAGAUGGCGACCGCGGUGUUACCAUCGGUGAUUCCGGCGUAUCCUAUCGGCUACCGGGGGCUCCAUUCGAGUUCCAAUACAGUUACACAGAGACUCCACAAGCAAAACCCUUGGCAAUCCGCAAACCGGCUUUCUUGCCUUUCGGUCCACCCACGAUGGCGCGGCCUUGGACUGGAAAACAACCGUUGAAUACUACACUUGCUGGCUUUUUUAAGCCACUAAAGGCAAGAAAGCCGUUGGAGUGGAGCAUUUUCGGUCAUUAUAUAUGUUUAAUGAGCAUAUAGAUAUUUUUGUUUCCUCCAAUAACUUAUUAAUAGGCAGUAGAAUAUAAUGUUUCUUAAUUUGCAACUCCAUCCAUCUCUCUUUCAACAAGUAAAUGAUAACCUAUCACUUAUUAUGACUAUGAUAUAUAAAAUUCAUUCGAAUGAUAUGGUUAACAUCAUACUAAUGUCGUGUUACAUGCUUCUCAUGAUGAAUAUGAUACAUCGUGUAUAGUGUAUUACUCAAUUGUAUAUGUUGUUGAAACAUUCUAUAUCUCCCAUUCUCCCUCCAGUCUGAGCAUUAAACACUUGAGUCAAAAGACAUUUUUCCUAACAAGUUUUGACUUGUAUCAUGUUUAAUGCUUUUUCAUAAAGAAUUCUAGAGGUAUAAUUGACUUGUAUCAUGUUCUGAAGGAUUAAACUAUAAUAUGUUUGUUAUCAUCAAAAUUUAGGCUUUGUAAUUUAAAACUACUGCAUCACAACAAUUUUGUUGUUCCAAACUAAAGCCUUUGUUAAAUUGGAUGAGUUUUUGAAAAUAUAAAAUAUUUACCAUUUUCUUUAGAAUGAAAUAUUUUACUCUUCUUACGGUUUUUUUUUCUCAUGUAAUUUUUAAUUUUUUCUCAUUUAUUCUUACACUUAAUUAUUGAAUAAAAUUUUUCUUAUCAAUUAUCUUAUUGUUAUUUUUAUCAUUUUUUUAAAAAAAAAGUAUUUAUAUGAUCAAACCUACCUCAUUAAUAAUCAUAGACACUAGACACAUUAACUAAUCUAUGAUAAAUAUAGUAUCACAAUAUCACUUCCCAAAGCGAAAGUGUCUACAUGGUUAAGUCUACAUCAUUUAUAACCACAUUAAACAAUAAUUAACUUCUUAUUAGUGAUGAGAAAAGUUUGGUUUGGUUUUUUGUUCAACUGACCUAAAUUAGUAAAUUGAACCAACAAAAUUAAAAUUAUGAACAAAACUAAAUUGACCUGAACAAAACUAAAAUUGGUUUGGCUCUAGUUCGAUUCAGUUUUCACCCUUUAAAAGCUUUUUUUUUUUGGUCUAAUUGUGAAGUUUUCAAUUUUAUUUUUUAUUCAGUUUACUUCUUCGUUAUAAUGGUUUUUCCCCCUUUUUUGCCCACCUUUAUUUUUGACAAAUAGGGUAUCAGAACUAAGAAGUAAUGAUCAGGACUAAAAAGUAAUGAUCAGGACUAAAAAGUAAUGACAAAUCCUAAAGUGAAAGUGGUUACGUGGCUGAGUUUACAUCAUUUAUAAACGUAUUUUGAUCGUUUACUACACGAUCAAAAUUAUAACGUAUUUUUUAUUAUUUAUUAUUUUGUGUGUGGUUAUAAUUUGUGCUUUUAUCUUAGAGCAAUUUCAAUGUAGUCAUGACCUAUUUAGUAUUCACACAGAAAGAGUGUUUCUUUUAAUAAGGGAUGAUCUCUAAGAAAUAAAAAUAUAAACUUUAAAAUACUAUAUCAAUAAAAUAUAUUGCAUUGAAAUAUAUAUUUAUUUAUCUUUUAAUUUUUCCCUUACUUUUCAGUUUAUUAAAGUAAAAGAUUCUUUUAUUAUAAAAUUAUUCCACACAAAACUAUUAUGUGCAUAGAAUAAUUUUCCAUUAAGACAUCCUUAUUUUUAACAAAAUGAUGAUUUCAUUAAAAUGUGAAAAAAAAAUAUAGAUUUCAAUAAACUAAUAAAGUGUAGAUACUCUCAUUUUUUUAAUGAAGACAAGCUAUUAAGUCAUGUGGUUUAAUAGAGUCAAUAGUCAAUUCACUAUAAAGCUAUGUAAUUUGAUAGCGAGUCUAUAUUAACUUUAUUAAAUCAUAUGACUUAAUAGUAUGUCCUCAUGAAAAGAAUGAGGACGUCCCCAUGAAAAGAAUGAGGACGUCCCCAUGUGAAAAGGAAUAUAUAUAUAUAUAUAUAUAUAUUUGAAAAGAAAGUAUUUCUUUCUAUUUUGCUAAUGAAUGAGCUGCAUUACAAUCUCUAGAGGUAUGUUGAGCUUUGAAAUUCUGAAAAUUCUGUAGAUUUUCCAGAAUUUCAGAGAUCAUCCAUCCAAUUUCAGUCAAGCUACUGGACUUGUUGAUUAAGUCAAUCACUUCCAAGGAAUCCGAUUCAAAAAUCCCAAAAGUAAUAGUAGCUUUCUCGGCAACUUGUGAACCCCACUCCAUAGCUGCUACUUCCGCCAUUGCCACAUUGCCAGGAAACUUCAGAAUUUUAAUCGCAGUUGCUCUGCAAUUUCCUUCUGAGUCUCUCACCACCACCUCUAGCCCUGCCAUUUGAUUCUCAACACCCAUAUCCACAGCCGCAUCCACAUUUACUUUUUGCCAUCCAUUUGGAGGAGGGCUCCACUGCUUUUGCUUUCCAACAUUCCUCCUUGUCUUAUAAACUAUCUCAGGUUGUCUAACCUUUUUAAACGACUCCACUAUCGCCUCUGCAUUUGCUACUGCUCUGAGUGGAUUUUCUUUUUUCCCCUCUAAAAGCCAUUUGUUUCUUGCAUUCCAGAUAGCCCAUAGUAAAGCUACUACUACAGCUCCCUCAACUCUAGCAUGCUGUUGUGGCAAGCCAAACUAUAUCACACAUGUGAUCUCCUCAAAUUUCCUCUGACAGAUUUCAAUACCUCCAUAUCUUCCUUGCCAUAUUGCACUCUAACAAAGCAUGGGACAUCGUUUCUACAUGACAGCAACAACUUUGGCACAAUGGUUCUCGCAAAACCUUUUUUUUCAUAAAUUUUCAACUGUGGGCAAUAAAUCAUGAGCUGCUCUCCAUAAAAAAAAAUUCACUUUUUCUGGGAUUGCAAGUUUCCAGAUAGUACUUAAUUGGUUUUGAACAUGAGUUUAGCAGCUUGGGUCCUAUAGGAACUUAAUUCGCAUAAUAACUUGGUAUCCACUCUUAACAGAGUAAUACCCUUUCCUAUCAUAGUGCCAUACCAACUGAUCCUCUUUUAGUCUUCUUGGAAGUGGAAUCUGCAUUAUGGCUUCUGCGUCUUCUGGUUUAAAGUGCUCAAGGAUCAAAUAUUCCCUCCAUUGUUGCUUCUCGUCUAUUAAUUAUGCUACUGUGGUCUCAGCUCAUCGAAGGGACUGAGAUUGGUUUAAAGGUUGAAGGUCUGGGGAUCCAAUUGUUCCCAUAUACUAGCACUUUUUGCCCAUUACCAAUUCGCCAUCUCGAUCAUUUUUUAAGCACCUGUCUUCCCCACACUAUGCUUCUCCAAACAAAUGAUGGUUUUGAUCAUAGUCCAGCAUUCAUAAAGCCCGUAUGUUUAAAAUAUCUAGCCUUUAAAACUCUUGCCACCAGCGAGCUUGGAAAUUACAUAAUUCUCCACCCUUGCUUUGCUACGAGUGCUUGGUUGAAGCUUGAGAGAUCACUGAAACCCAUUCCGCCUCUAGGUUUUGAAUGAUUAAUUCUUUCCUAUCGCGCCCAAUGAAUACCUUUUCUGUCCUACUUGGUUCUCUACUAAAACUAUGUUGUUCUUGUCUUUGUUGAAGUACAAAAGUCAGAAUAUUAAACAAUAGGCACAUGCAACAUAAAUCAGAGAUGUGACUAUCUGCUGGGAUGAUAGAAUUUCUAGUUAAGGAAAUAGAAAACAAUAUCGAGAGGUUAGGUUGAGAAGAUUUUUGGAGGGUUCUAAUUAAAUUUGCUGAAGUUGAGAAAAUUACAUAAUCAAGUAAUUUUUGGUAUGAUUUUAGUGUUUUUUUAAGUAUCGAUAUAGCAAUAAAUAGUCAAUUAUGUUAAGAAGAUAUAUAUAUAUACACACACACACACACACAUAAUAAGGAAUUUCUUAAGAUACUAAAACAAGAAAAAAAUUAAAAGACAAAUAAAGCACGUACUCUAAUACAAAAAAAUUAAUACAUCAUAAGUUUGUUAUCUUGAAAAUGUGAGUGUUUGGUAACUUAAGAAGAAAUUAAAUUAAAUUCGAGAUUUGAGUACUCAAUUAAUUUAACGCACGUUAUCUUGACUUCCCUGUGUGUUGAGUUCAUACUAACAUUGUCUUUGCUGGUUGUUCGAAAUAAAGGUUAAAAUUAUUUUGCUGGUUGUAUGUGUUAGGUUAACUGCGUAGCUUUGAAUCCCCACAACGAAUGGUUAUUGAUAAUUGGUUCUUCUAAUACAACGGUUGAGUUAUUUGAUCUGGGCAAGAUUGGCACUCUAAUCCACAUACCUUCAAUAUACAUAUGUGUGUGUGUGUGUAUAGUUGACUACUUAGUUUUAUAUAUAUUGAUACGUAGAAAAUACUCAAAUCAUAUGAAAAAAAUUACUUGACUACAUAAUCAACUUUCUCAUCUUCAACAAAUUUAAUUUGAACUCUCUUAAUAUCUUCUCAACCUAAACUCUCUAUACUGACUUUUUCAAUUCAUCAAAGACGAAAACAGCAUAAACAAAGGCAGAAGAUUAACAAAAGCAUCAAUUGCCAAAGAGUGAAGAGUAUUAUUAAAUUUUAGGAACAUAAGAGAAAGACUGUUUCACGUUAUCUCACAGAGGAUAGAUACUAUAAACACAUCCAACGUUAGUCAAAGCCACAACUACCAAAUGCAUCACGCUCACUCAUAGCCAUUUGGGUCAAACUUGUUUUCCUUUUAAAAAUGAACAACGACGAUCUAGGAUUUAUAAAAUCACUAAAUACUGCAAAUUUCGGGAAAUUAGAAGAAAAAAAUUGGAAAUGAACACUUAUGUGGGAGAAUCAUCAUAUUGGUAACAUGGCAGCACAAUUUCGUAGUAUUACUCUUUUAUUCAUAUUUAUUACAAAUUAUAUAAAUUGAAAUUAAAAUAAAAAAAUUUAAGUACUGAAAAUGAGAUACUUUUCUUUUACUUUUUGUUAUUUUUAAAUAUUUUUCUUAUAAUAAAUAUGUAUGUUAUAUUUCCAAAAUAAAUUAUCAAGCAAUGACUCAUUUAUCCCUCUUUUCCUUUAAAUUUUUUCCGCCAAGGGGAUUUUGAAUUUUAUGAAAACAGUAAGGGAUAAGUGUUAUAUAUUAAUUUUAAUAAUGAAAAACUGUUAAUCUCUCCAUUCGAAUAUAUUAAUUCUCAUAUUUUUAGGAUCCUCAUCUUAUAAAAAACAAUAGUAGCUUAUAUUUUAUAUUGGAUGUUGUUGGUGCUGCCAUUCACUAAUAAAAUGUAUUGUCGAGUUGAGGUCAAUUUUUUAUAGUAUUAACGUGGUAGUAGAACAAAGUAGGUGUGUCAAAUGAAAGGAUUAGAAUUUGCGGUGAUUUUGUUUGAGAGAGAAUUGAUGAGUUGUGUUUUAUACUAGCUAGUUAAAGGAAGUUAAUUAGUUAAGUUUAUUAGUAAGAUAGGUACCACUAGGCUAUUUAAAUUAUAUGCCUCGACAUUCUAAUCGUAGCCCCUAUCACAUUUUCUGAAAUCUAUAUGGUAUAAAGAGUACUAUAUAUUAUUAAAAUUCUCCCACCUUUGCUUAUAAAUCCACGCCCAUCCAGCCACUCCUCACAAACACAUCAACAAAUUAAAGAGAUCCACAGAGAGAGAAAAAGGGAAGAUAAAAAUUAAUUAGCCAAAAAAAAAAAUGGUUGCAGAAGGAGAUUUUAUUGUGGUUGCAGAAGGAGAUUUUAUUGUGACAGAAAAAAAAUGGUUGCAGAAGGAGAUUUUAUUGUGACAGUGAGCAAGAAAGAUGUAGUGGCAGCAGUGUUACCAUUGCAAGAACAUUGGCUGCCGCUCUCCAACCUUGACUUGCUUCUGCCAGCAAUUGAUUUUGGUGUCUUCUUUUGUUACAAGAAGCCAACUGCGGCUGAUUUUGGAAGCUUUGGGUCCACAGUGGAUGUUCUGAAGAAGGCCAUGGCUGAAGCUCUUGUCUCAUAUUACGCCCUGGCCGGUGAGGUUGUUUACAACUAUGACGGUGAGCCUGAGCUUCUUUGCAACAACCGUGGGGUUGAUUUUGUUGAAGCAUAUGCGGAAGUUGAGCUGAGAGACCUCAACUUGUAUAAUCCUGAUGAGAGCAUCGAAGGUAAGCUCUUGCCUAAGAAGAAGAAGAACGGCCUGCUCUCAGUUCAGGUCAGUUACACACUCUCUGAUCUAUGAUCUUCGCAAAUCAGAAACAUUUUGAUUUAUCAUCAUCAUCACACAAGUACUUUUUGUUGUGAUUUCAUCAACAUGACAUAUACAGAUAUUUUUAUAAUUAAAUAAGUGAGUGCAUACAUAUAUAUCAAAAUCAUACUUUGUGUGGAGUUUGCUUCAGGUCCAGAAUUAAGAUCGGAACGCGUUUAUAACGGAGUUUUGCUAAGUUACUUUUGAAGUAACUUAUAGUGCAUGCAAAAUGGUGCCAAAAGUAGUAACAUGACAGUGGAAUCUGCUUUUUACAUGGACUGUAACUUAACAAGAUUCAUUUACGACGUUAUAAACUUUUUUUUUUCCCUACAGUUUUGUAAUACUGUACAGCGUUGUAAAAAUUCAAUCACACCGUUGUGAACCACUCUCAUCUCAUAUUUUAAUUCCUGUUGGAGCCAGUAUCAAUUACUUUUUUUUGCUAACUCUAGCUCUUAUUAUUUAUAUACAAUUUUAAUUUACAGGCAACAGAACUGAAAUGUGGUGGUAUUGUAGUGGCGUGCACCUUGGAUCACCGCAUAGCCGACGCAUACUCAACCAACAUGUUCCUGGUAUCAUGGGCCGAAAUUGCUCAGUCAAAACCAAUGUCCGUACUGCCAUCUUUUAGGCGAUCUAUACUAAACCCUAGACGGCCAUUGUGCAUUGAUCAUGCCUUCGACGACAUGUACCUGCCCAUCUCCUCACUACCACCACCUCCUCCCCCGAAUAAUACUCCUGAAGAAGCCAAUGGUAAUAACCUCAUCAGUCGCAUAUAUUAUAUCAAAAGUGAGCAACUCAAUGAGCUUCAGUUACUUGCGAGCUCCGAUGAGUGCAAGAGGACUAAACUUGAGUCCUUCAGUGCAUAUUUAUGGAAAAUGGUAGCCCUUAGCGGAAAUGAUAAUGAUGGCAGUGGCACGAGGAUAUCAAAAAUGGGCGUUGUAGUUGAUGGAAGAACUAGAUUAAGCAGCAGCAAAGGAGAUCAUGUUAAUAAAUCAAUCUCCAUGGAUUCAUAUUUUGGGAACGUGCUUUCAGUUCCAUUUGGUGGCCAAAAAGUAAAUGAACUCAUUGAAAAACCAUUGUCAUGGGUGGCGAAACGGGUGCAUGAUUUCCUGGAAAAUGCAGUAACGAAAGACCAUUUCCUCGGGCUGAUUGAUUGGGUUGAGGCCCACAGGCCGGACCCAGCUAUUUCUAAAAUAUGUGCCACCGGAAGCAAAGAUGGGCCGGCAUUUGUGGUCUCAUCAGGGCAGCGUUUUCCGGUUUCGAAGGUGGAUUUCGGCUGGGGUAAGCCGGUUUUCGGAUCUUAUCAUUUUCCGUGGGGUAGUGAUGCUGGCUAUGUGAUGCCGAUGCCGUCUCCGGCGCACAACAGUGACUGGGUUGUGUACAUGCACCUUUCCGAGAAGCAGUUGGACUUGAUUGAGACUCAGGCAUCCAAUGUCUUUGAGCCUUUGACUUUUAAUUAUCUUGCCGCAUACUGUUAGCUUAGCCAUAUAUUUGUAUGCGUAUAAGUUUAAUCAUUAAUUACGUACGUACUUUAAAUUAUUGUUGCUGUCUCAUCUCAUGUAAUAUGUAUCGUGUUUCAAGCGUCUCUCUGUCUGGAAACAAGACUUUCAAGAUGUUAGAUUCCAGUAAACUCUACAGCUUGUUCCGCUAUUUCUCAAUCCUUAGUUAAAAACUAGGUUUAGAAUAUCAUGAGUCUGUUAUGUGAAUAGAUAAAAUGCCAGCUGAUGUUACAUGUGUAAUUCACAAAAAAAAAAAAAAAAAAUCCCUGUGUAGGUUGUCACAUUUUUAUUAUUGGAUAAAGUUGUCAUAAUAGAGACAUCAAUAUUUAAAUCUUAAUUAAAGUUUGAACGUGAUAUUAAUCAACUGAAUGGUAGAAAUAUUAUUUUAUAAAUAAAGACUUAAGUCCCAAUUUGAGUUUCAACUAAUGUGACAAUUGUUUAUUGAAUGAUUAAUUAUAAUUUUUUUUUAUUUAUAAACUUGAUAGAUGAAUUAAAGAAAAUGAAAUUUUAAUAUGUUAGACUGCAUUGGCUUGAGAGAGAGAGAGAGGUUGUGUGUGAGAAAGGUAGGUAUGGGUGCAUAUAUUUUAGUGAUUUGGACCCUAUCUUUGUUUUUUUUUUUUAAUACCUCUCCUUGCCUUUAUAAUGUAAUUAAAAAAAAGUUGAUCACUUGAUUGUAAGUAAAGUUAAAAUAGAUGACUUGAUUGUCAACAUCAAAUACAAAUUAAACUUAAUGUUAAUCACUUAUUAAAUAAGAAAAAAUAAGGAAAGACAGAGAGGAAAAAAAAAGUACCCAUAAUUCCUUAUCCAUAUUCUAAAUACAUACAUAGGUAGGAGAUUAAUUACCAACUAGGUCUCUUUAGAAAUCAAAGACAGAUAUUUGGGUAAUGAAGUUGGACAUGAAUAGACUUUUGCUGAGUAGCUUCCGUCGUUGCAACAAACACUUUGAACCUUUGAUCAAUCAUUCAGUUUAAAAGAAAAACUCGGAGAUAUGUUCACACCUUUAGUCAAGUGAUUUCAAAUUUUAACCAAAGCCAUGCCACUUGUGAGUCAAUGAUUCUACACUUAUCUAGCCUUUAUCCUCUGUUUUGACUUUUAAGUCAAGUGAUUUCAAAUUCUAACCAAAGGUCCAAAGCCAUGCCACUAGUGAGUCAAUGGUUCUACACUAAUGUAGCUAGUAUGUUCUUUUUACUUCUAUUUUGAAAUAAUCCGGAGAAUAUAAUAUAUUUUUAUCCAUGACCGUACGACGAAAAUAAAUGUUUUGUUUUCUUGAAGCUCACCAAACUUUUUUGUGUGUGCAAUAAUUAGAUCAACCAAACCACAAAGAGCCAACUGUUACCGAUUUGCCAAAAAUUAAAUAUGCAAAAAUUAGCAUUAUCUAUAAAUGUAGUUUAACUACCACAGAAAGCGUUUCAAUUUGUGGCUUAAUUAACGUUCACAUCAUUGAUCGUCCGAUAGAAUAAUUUAAAAAGAUAUCAAUGGUUUAAGAAGUUCAGCUUAAUGAGCUGACCACAAAAUGACAGUUGCAUUACGACAGUUUAUUACGCAAAUAAUUAAUCAAGCAUUAGAAAAACGAAGUACUAAUCAACAAGUUAAAAAUAUCAUUUCUCCCACCAAACCCAUGCUGUGUGUACCAAUUGUUUCCAAAGACAAUUUAUUGAUUGAGGGAGGAAGUAGUACUGGACCGGGGUCAUUUGAAGAGUACGUGUCAGUUUUUAAUUAAUGAGGUUUGAGUGACGACGAUGAUGAUGUGAUUAAUAAUAAUAAUAAGAUUUAGCUAGAAUUUUUUUUACUUAAUUCUUGAAAUUUUAUCAAUUAGAAAAAAAUAAAAUUAAUAAUAUUGAUGUGGUAUGAAGAGAUUGGUUGAUAAAUGUCCUCAGAGACCUGAUCGAAUGGUUCCGGUAGCUUACAACAUUAUAAAUCCAAUCUGUAUUUUAAAAAAUAAAGGUGUUUAUGCUAGAGAAUGACCAUAUAUAGAGAGAGUAUUCAUUUUGUUUGUUGGUGUAUUAAAGUUCGUGUUUUUUUUUAUUAGUAGAAUCCUCAUUUUAUUAAAAUGGUGAUGUCCUUAUUAAAGUAAAAUCAUGUAUAUAAUUAAGUUCUAAUGAUGGAUCUGGUACUUUAGUUCAAAUGUGUGCUCUCAAUUUGAAAUAUUGGGCCACAUUUGGAAGAUCGAAUUGGACUAAAUUAACUCUUAGUAUUAAAUUAGAUUAUACUGGAUUUUAUAGUACUAUGACUAUGUUAAAUUUAAUUUAAUGAAUCUAAAAUAACUAUUUCAAUAGUAUAUUAUUUUUAAAUCAUAUUAUUAUUUCUUAAAUUUAAUGUUUAAUUUUCAAUAUUAUUGUAAUUAAAUAAUUGAAUUUUUUUUAUGUUUAUAUCACUUACAAGUUAAAACAAAUUAUUAAAUUAAAAUUUCGACUUAAUGUUAAGUUUUAAAAAGUCAAAAUAAAUUAUUGAAUAAACUUUUGAUAUUAGUAAUAAAUUUAGAGUAUAAGACAUCUAAUCCUAUCUAAACUCACCUAAAAAUGAGCUUUAAUAAUCCUAUGAAUGUUGGACUAUAAUUUAGAUUAAUUUAUUAGUCCUGACAACCAAAUAGGACUAGAAAUGGCAAAAACCCGACUUGAAUUUUGGCUCGAUUAACCCGGUUAAAAAAAUUUUGGGUUUUGACCCGAGUUUAAAGGUCAAAAUUCGAGCUCGAGCUUAAAAAUAAAAGUAUGAUCAAAUUCGGGUCAGGGUUUGAGCUUUAUAUGGCCCGACCCGACCUGAAUUUAACAAAAAUUAAAAAAAAAAAUAUGCUGCAAUACAAUAGUGACACGCACGCUGCACACACACAUGCGCGUAACACAUGUAACACACACACCCCACAUGAACUGACAAACAUUUCUAUUUCCCAUUCACCGCCGCUGCAGCCCUGCAACACAAACUCUCGAAGCCAUCACAAGCACACCACCAAGCCUCACUGUGAGCAGGACGAAAUCCAUGCCACGAUAAUCGUGAAGUCGCAAACAAACCAGUCACGAGUUGAGUGUCACCGCCACAACAAUCGCCCAUUAUUUUAACAAAGUAAGGAUGUCACUAACAAACAAAAAAUAUAGUCUCCAAUAUACCAAAAUCUAUAUUUUUUGGUAUUUUAGUAUGUAUGAGAAUGUCGUCACUAAAGAAUAGUAAUAUAUAUAUAUAUGUAUACGUAUAUACAAGUGUGUGUGUAUUGCCCUCAUUUUUUUUCUUUUUAAUAUAUACAUUAUUAAGUCAUAUAGUUUAAUAUAGUCAAUAGAGAUAUGCUAUUAAAUUAUAUAGCUUUCUAGUGAAUUGAACAUUAAUUAUAUAUACUUCUUUCUCAAAUAUGGGUACCCUCAUCAUUUAAAGUAUGAAUUUUGGGAUAGAAAAAAAAAAAUUCCGCCUCGAUCCUUGGCUCAAUUGACUCAUCCCAAAAUUUUUGAACUUUAAACUUUAACCCAAAUCUGAGGCUAAGGGUUGAGCAAGGGCCCAAGAAUUAAGGUGAACUUUGAUUUAGUCAAUUUUCAGGGUCGAUUGAAAAUUUUAAGAUAUUUGAGGACAUUUGAUUUUUGAGAUAUUUUGAGCAUUAAAUUUCAUACGCAAAAAUCACAUGGCAAUUGGAAAGUGCUGCGAAUCACAAUCUUAAAAAAAAAAAAAGAAAAAACUGAUUUUCUCAACGACAGAGGGCAACGUGAAAUAAUUAAAGACAAUAGCAAAACAGCAAAGGGCAACAUCAAGGCACAAGGUCAAAAACAUUAAAUCUCUCCUCCACUGUCCUCGUCUUACUGCAAAAUAAUUGCACAAGGUCAAAAACAACAUAUAGAAGCCAACCCUUUAGAGAGAGAACUUAAACACAAGUGGUUAAACGCAGAAGACGAACGCCAUCAUACUCAUGCUGUCAACAGUAAAAUCAAAAGUUGUCUAGUUUGAACAAAGCAAGCUGGAAGUACUUCAACUCACAAUCUACUUUGCAGUUUCUAAGAAAACUUUGAAAAUCUCCAAGUUUUUUUUUUUUUUGAUUACAUGAGAUUAUUGCUUAAAUUACAGUUCAAAUUACAACUCAUAUUACAUGAGAGUAUAAUUGAUAUGUACAAUCAUAUAUUUAUACUGAGCCCUAUUGAUAUGAAUGCUGAUAUGACGCCGCUCAGAUUUUUAACCCUCUCAAAUAUUUAAGGGAUGUCAAACUCCCAUCUUGGGAGAAAGACUGUCUUCACUCGAGCUCAAGAACUCCAAGAAAAAAUAUUUAAAUUAAACCCCUACAAUACGACUGCGGAGUCUUGAACCCCUUCCCUCACAUUUGUGAGGGAGGGACUCCAGCCACUUGGCCAAGUGGUUGAAAAUCUCCAAGCUUGCCUACAAAUAAUGUACAUUUUCUAACAGCAUUUAAUAGGAAAAACAGAGGCUCCUGCCCUGCAGGUAGGAAACAAUUUAAAGUCGUGAAAACGACAGUGAAUAUGAAAACAAAGUGUUAUUAGUCACCUGGAUUCCUCAAUACAUUAAAACCUAUUUCUGAAAUACAAUGGUUUUAAUUAAAACUAUCUUCUUAAGUUUGAAUUUAUGAAAAGAAGGAAAAAAGAAAAUAAAGGAUAAGCUUCAUGAGGGCUAAACUGCUAAAUUUUUUCAUGCAUCUUGAAAUUUUUACAUGAGAUUAAAUUAUUGUCCAUGCUGACACUCAUUCUAAUAGUCAAACUAAGUCAAUGAAUUUAAUUAUAAGAAAAAUUGAAACAAUCUGGACAUAUUUGUCAACAUUUAGAAUCUUCGCCUUCUUUAAUUUUUCAGUAAACAUCAGGAAUGGCAAUGUUAAUAAUCAUGUAAACACAUCGGGCCAUUACGCAGCGCCUUAGUUAGAUUUUAUGGCUAAAUAACUAAAUGACAAAAUAGCGAUACCUAACACCAAAUGCAAAAUAAAUUUCUCUACCUUAUAUUUAAUAUAAGCUACAUCACUCACAAAUUGAGCCGUGGGUUUCACUUGGUCCACAGCUAAUAAAGAGAAUUGUACCUUACAUUAAAUGUAAGUUAGUAGCUCCCACACAAAAUAGCUAAAUUAAUGUAUAUAGUUGGGCCCAUAAUAACUUAUCCAACCAAUCAAUUCACGUCUUCACAAAAAAAAAAAGACCAAUCAAUUUAUGUCAAAUUAAUUUACCACACAUUUUUUUAUAUAUAAAUAAGAUUUAAAUUUAGUAUUGAACGGAUGUUUCUAUUUUUUUUUAAAGACUCACUUAGUAAUUAUUAAAUAAAAAUAUAAAAUUAAUUAAAUCUUAACGGUAUAUUAUUAUAAGUAGACAUACGAGAAAAAUUUUAAAAAAUUAUAUAAAAAUCAACUCAACCUCAAUCCAAACUCACAUAAAUGUGUAAACGCAUUAUAACCCAUAAUUUUGCCAUGAGCAAAGAAUCAAUUCACUGGGUGUACGAUCAACGUGAUGUACUGGUCCAGUUUUCUCAUAAGCAAUAAUAACGAAGGGACAGGCUCGUGGUCCACUGAAUUUUGCUUUUCGGUUUCCGAAUUUACAGCCCCGCGUACGCCACUUAUUACAAGCAAUUAAUUGACAUCAGCACCUUGGCCAACAGGCCCAACAGCAAAUAAAUUAAAUUAAAAAAUAAUCUUAAUUAAUGGAAGGGAAGCAUAUAUAUAAUAAUUAAGAGUUGGAAUAUUGAUCCAUCCUAAUGCUCUUCACAUUUAUUUAUUAAAUAAGAGUAGGAAUAUUUAUCCAUCCUAAUACUCUUUACAUUUAUUUAUUAACUAUACCCCACUAACAGAUUUUAAAAAUUCAAAAUUUAUUCAUCAUACCCACCCAAGUACCAAAAUUAUCUUUAGAACGAAAUUUCUCUCGCUAACCCACACUCUUAUCUCUUAAAAUCUUCAUACUCUUUUCCUCUUUUCUUACCCUAAUCUGCCAAAUCCAUUAAUUUUUCGUCAAAUCAAUUUUAUAAUCUCAUUAUCUUCCUGGUAGCUUUUCCAUUUGAAUCUGGUCAUUGGAAGAUCAGUUAUUAGCUAAAACAAUUUUCAUAAAAACAUCCUUUCGCAUUGCUAGUGUGAGGAUUAGUGGAUCAGUUACAAAAUUUCGUUAAUCUUUGCUACAACAGUACAAGAGUUCUGAAAAGAACUUUUAUUUUUGAAAAUCUAGACGUAAUAAAUAAAAUAGAAAAUAAUGAGUAAAAUAAUAGAUUACUAACACUUCUUUCCUCGUAAUUUAUUUUCUCCUUCGUGAAUCAUUUUUUAAGAAUUGGUUACAUAAAAACUAAUCUUGAUCUUCGAUCAGACAUCAUAAAGAAAUAGAUUGAAUCAUUUUUUUUUUCUAAUUUCAUCUAACCAUUUCUAAAGAGAAAUUGUUGAAUGUUAGUGAUGCCAGGCCAUCGUAAAUUAACCAGUGAUAAAUUGAUAAUAGCUUAAAAUUGAUGGAUAUGAAAAAUAAAAAUAUUUAUAUUAAGUUAUAUUAUCGAUGUCUUUAUUAGUAAAUUACAACAAGGGUAUUUCAAUAAUUAAAAUCACAUUUAAAAGAUAAAUGUGUAAAUACUUCAGUGAGUUCAAAUAACCCAAUCAUAUACCUAAAAGAUUGAACAACUCGAAAGGUUAGACUAACAAAAGAAAAGCAAACAAAGUCUAUAUGUGUUGGGAUACCCAGUGGUGGCUCAAAGGCCCAGACGAAAACUUAAGCUCCAUCCACUGUAAAAUAUAAGGCCCAUUUUUUUGGGUUGGAAAGGCCCUCAAUUUAUAAUUAGAACUGAGUUAUUAUUUAAAAAAUUAAAAAGCUCAUGUGACCGUAUGACACCUAUUUUAAUUCAAAAAUUGAUCCUAAUUUUUUAUUGAAUAAAUCCCAAAAACAUAUGUGCCCCCCUCUCUCUUCAUAAGUUCAUAUUUCUUCUCUCUCUUCAUAAGUACCGAAAUAUUAACUUCUGUUUAUGAAUUAAAGUUGCAAUUCAUGAAUUUAGUUUGAUUGUGUAAAUUUGUAAAGAUAAAUAGAGAAAACAAAUAUAAAAACCCAAAGAAAUUGGUUUCAGAUCCCCCUUAGGGCUUGGAUCAUUGAUUCGAUUUCUCUGUGAAGAGACGCCUAUAUUUUAAUUAUGAAAAAAAUAGAGUUUUAAGUCUAUUUAAUUAAAUAUUGGUUAUAAAAAAUUAGUUUUUUAUUGUUAUAUCUUAAACUAUUAUUUAUUUUAUAUUUAGCAUGUUAAAUGUCUAAGUUAUUUGUAAUAUUAUUAGUUAUAAACGUCAGAUAACAUUUUGGUGGACGGUUAAUAAUACAAAUUAUGAAUUUAAUAAGAAAAUUUGAAAAAGUUUAGAUUUUAUAGUAUGUUUUAUAAUACGGUAAAUUAUAAGUGAAUGGUUGAUAAUUUCUCUUUUAUUUUCUAUUUAGCAUGUUAAAUGUUUAAAUUAUACUUGUGAUGUCAUUACUUAUUAACGGAAACUAACGAUUUGAUGGAUAAAUGAUAUAUAUUAUAAAUUUAGUGUGCAUAAAUUAUAAAAUUUAAAAGUAUUGUAAUAUUCUUUAGGGAUAUUAUCAUUUUAAUACUAAAGUUUUACUGACAUAUCAUGUCAGUACCAAGGUUUGCCGAAAAGUGCAUUUUACUACCAAAGUUUUGCGCCAUUAUCAAUUUACUACCGUUCCGUUAACAACGUUAAAAGUUUGCUGAUGUCAUAAGGGUAUCUAAGACAUUUCCAGCUGUAAGAGUAAAAUUGUUUGUUAAUUUGAUAGAUAAAUUAUCAUUUUACUACCAAGUUUUUAGGGGAAUUAUCAUUUUACUACCAAAUUUUUAGGAGAAUUAUCAUUUUACUACCAAACUCUUAAGGGUAAAAUUGACUUUUAACUCAAUUUCCGUUAAACAUUAACUUUUUCUUAACGGAAUGGUAGUGAAUUGAUAACGGCGCAAAACUUUGGUAGUAAAAUGCACUUUUCGGCAAACCUUGGUACUGACAUGAUAUGUCAGUAAAACUUUGGUAGUAAAAUGAUAAUUUCCCUAUUCUUUAUAUAUAGAAACAUUUAAGAAAAAUAAAUGACUGAUAAUUUUCCUAAAACAAAAGAAAAAACGCCGGUCGGAGGAAGCUCCCUCCCCGACCGGAUGUCCUCUUACCUUGUAAUAGUAAAAGUUAAUUAUUAUUAAAGACACGUAUUUGGAUUUGGGAAAUUUACAAAAAUAACCAUAAAACUUUUUUUAUUUUCAUAAUUAACCCUCUCAACUUUUUUCUAUCAACAUUAGCCAAACACACGCUUUUCUCCCCAAAUUAUCAUUCUUUACAAACCAAAAGCAAUUUUUUUUCUCCCCUUUCGUCAAACCAAAGGCAGUUUCCCACUCUUGAAUCAUCAACCAACGGCAACGGCAACGAUAAAAAGUGAAAUCCGAUCAUAAUUUAUCCGGAUCCAAUAUUAAUCGGCAUUACAUAGUAGUAUGAAUUAUUUUUUGAACUUGUUUGAGAGUUUGACUGAACUGCGAAUGGUUUCGUGGGUGAAUCUGGCGACAGGUUGCCAGUAGAUUUUAGGGUUGUUUCUUUUGGAGUUGUUUGCAAUGAGAUAUUUUAUGUCUAUUCUGAGACUGACAAACUGGCAGGAUAUGACAUAUAAAGAGGCUUCUGGAUUGGAAUCCAAACCUCUCCAUUUCCUCCCCGUGUUAUUGAGUACUACCCAAAACUUGUAUCCUGUAGUGGUUGUCUAUUCAUGCUUUCUGUCUCCUGGUGUGAAGGGGAUGGUCAAAUAGGCUGUAGAAACAAGGUAGUGAGAAAAUUAUAGGAGCUAGAUCUCAUGUACCUCGCCUGGACUGAGGUCUCUGCACAUCCUGAUGCUCCAAUGGACUGGAAUGCUGCAUUUGUUGCGGACAGAAACCAUAUAUUUGGUGUCGAAAUGUUUAAGAUAUUUGGUCAGGUGCUGGACUUCUUGACUGUAUGUGACGUGUCGGAAAAGAGGAUGAACUGGAGCCAUAUCUCAAGAAAUCACAUGGCUUAUGAACUGGAUGCUACUUCAUGCAUGACUAAAUCAUUGGCUGUUUUACAUCUGUAAUCUUGUUGGCGUAUGUGCUGAUUCAUGCUGGAAAUUUUAGGCUUGAACCUGCAAAUUUCAUUUCAAAUUCUUUGGGUACAGUUGAUUUGAACCUUUGCUUCUGCCUCUAGUUUCUGUAUCUUAUCUUGGCUCAUUUAAGAGGCAUGUUUCACACGUAGCCAUUUAUGUACUCUCUUUGCCACUGUUUAUAAAUUAUUCAUGUUUUUCAAUCUUGUUUGUGUUGUCUUGACAAGGUGGAAAAGAGUUUAUUGUUUAUGUUAAAUUGAUAAUGUGAUAUCUGUUCUUCUCGUUGAACUUCCUGGCUCUUGUUUCUUUCGCUUGGAAGACAUACAGAGAAGUUUUAAAACUUCGCAGUCACACUUGAAUGCUUUUGGCUAUUUUAAAAGUUGCCUUGCUGACCUAGAUUAAGCAAUACAUUCGAACUGGUGAUAACCGUGCAAUACUCAUAAUUAAGAUUUAGAAUCACGUACUAUGAACAUUUAAGCUAAUGAAAUGAGAGUGAGGAGAGAUCUCUUAAAAAGUCAUGAAGAUUUAAAGAAAAUCAAAUAGGUAUGAGGCCCCCACAAUUGCAGCAAGGUAAAAAUUUAAAAAGCAGCAACCAUAUUAGCACAGGAGACCCGAUUGUUUUGGAAGAUUGCACAUUGACAAUAUGUUCUUGAGUCAUAUUUUCCAUAAUGCUCGAGAUCUAGAUCUAAUUAUACUUGGUAAAUAUUCUUCAACGUCAACAUUCCCACCUUUUUAUUUCAAACUAAUGAAUGAAUGGAAUAUGAACUAAUUUAAGGAUGAAAAUGAUAAUGUGUGAAAGUAUGGAAACCUUAUGGAGUAGAAUCCAAAUAAAAUUCAUAGAUCACAACACACCGCGCCGUUAUAUAGUUUUGCAUUUGGAGAAAAGCGCAUUCCGACUCAAUAAGCAGUAAGUCGUGACAAGGCAUUUGAAGAUGUGGAAUUGAUGAAAAACAGUAAACUUAAGAACAAAUUAAUGGCAUUGGAAAUUCUCUACAAAUUGAACAUCUUUAUACAACAAUAUCUACCUGCAGUUCGACGAUUCACAAACAAUAUCCAUAAAUGUCAAAACUGCUUACGCAAAGGAAGAAUUACAUACAGGAGCUCAUCCUUGUAAGAUUAAAAAAAAAAAAAAAAAAACAUCUGGAAGAAACUCAUCCCAUGUUUGGGAAGAUUCCUGAAAAGUUCGGUAUCUUAUCAAUAUGCUUCAGGGCACGUUCGGCAAUCUGCCGUGUUCUAUAGUCAGCAUGCUGGAAGGCAUCAACUAGAGCAGUACUGACAUUUGGGUCUCCAGAGACUUCAUAUGCUAUAUCAUCAGUCCGCAGGAUUCUUUCUACCACCCAAACUGCUCUCCUCUGCAGGUUCUCAGUUCGUUUUUCGAGUAAUACAUCUAGAAUGGGCUUGAUUCCCUGUGCCUCGCACAAUACCAUCACCCCUUGUUCAAUAUCAACCCCAUCAUCUAUCACUGUAGAUAGUGCUGCCAACGAUGCCUCAACCACCUUCUCAUUUGUAUGGUCUAAAAGUGCUAUCAACUUCUCCACAGCAUGCCCUUCCAAUAGACAAAAAGUUUCUUUUAAAGAGCAUAAUCCUCUGUGCAGCCGACACAAUCCAGUUAUGACAGGCUGCUUGCUGAAACAUGGAAAGAUUGAGGCACAAAAACCAGAGAAUCACGUACUAUGAACAUUUAAGUUAAUGAAAUGAGAGUGAAGAGAGAUCUCUUAACAAGUCAUGAAGAUUUAAGGAAAAUCAAAUAAGUACGAGGCCCCCACAAUUGCAGCAAGGUAAAAAUGUAAAAAGCAACAAUCAUAUUAGCACAGAAGAGGGAGUGUUGGGGGAGAGACGAGGGAGAGGGGUAUUUUGGUCUCAAAAAUUAUUUUAUGGCUAAUGUUGAUAGAAAUUUAUUUGGAGGGUUAAGAUAGAAAAAAUUAAAACUUUAAUGAUUAUUAAUGUAAAUUUCCCUUUGGAUUUUGGAUCGCAAAGCAGCGCUCUUGCUUCAUGACCACAUUUGAGAAAAUAUAAAACCACGUAAGCCCAAAUGUCGUUGUCAUCCAUCGAUUGAAUUUUUCAAAAAUAACGUCGUUUGCCUUAACAAGAAAAUAACAACCGAACCAGAAAUAAGUACUUUAUUAUUUGCCUACGUGCCUCUGUUUUAAUGUCUUCUCUAAUAAACCGCAAAAUUAUCUUUCCAAAUUCAUCAAAUCACCCGCCACCGCCAAUCCUGCCAUUCGCUGUCCACGUCAUCAUUUCCCCAUUUUUCAUGCCCUCAUUUAAUCUCCCUUGCUCGUCAUUUACUUCAUUUCAUCUCCAUCCAUAACUCUAAAAAAAAAUUUAAAACAAUAAAAAAUUCUCUGACUUUCCUUUCUUAUCUUGUUUGGUUUGAAUGGAGAAAUCUGGUUAUGGCCGUGAUGGUAUCUACCGAUCUCUGAGGCCGCCUUUGGUUCUUCCCAGUGAGCCCAAUCUUUCUAUGGUUCAUUUUCUUUUUAGAAACUCUGCUUCUUAUCCCUCCAAGCCAGCACUCAUUGAUGCUGAUUCUGGUGAAUCUUUGACAUUUUCCCAGCUCAAAUCCACUGUGAUUAAGGCCUCUCAUGGCUUUCGCCAUCUGGGUAUUACAAAAAAUGAUGUUGUUAUGAUUUUUGCCCCAAAUUCAAUUCAGUUUCCUGUUUGCUUUCUUGGUGUUAUUGCUACAGGCGCCAUAGCAACAACUGCUAAUCCUGUUUACUCUGUCUCUGAACUGUCAAAGCAAGUUAUAGAUUCAAAUCCAAAACUCAUCGUCACUGUACCUGAAUUGUGGGACAAAGUUAAAGACUUUAACUUGCCAGCCGUCCUUUUGGGUUCGAAAAGUAAACUUGCUUCAUGUGGUCUUAGCUCAAGUUCAAAGAUUGUUCAUUUUCAUGAUUUAAUUGAAUUAUCUGGGAAUAUAUCAAAUUUUCCAGAUGUUUCUAUUAAGCAGACAGAUACUGCUGCUUUGUUGUACUCUUCAGGUACAACUGGUGUCAGCAAAGGUGUCAUUUUGACACACAAGAACUUUAUUGCAUCAUCUUUGAUGGUAACUAUGGACCAAGAAACGGCUGGUGAAUUAGAUUAUGUGUUUCUUUGUGUGUUGCCUCUGUUUCACGUAUUUGGGCUUGCAGUUAUUACUUGCGGGCAGUUGCAAAAAGGCAAUUGUAUUAUUUUAAUGGCCAAGUUUGAUCUUGAGAUGUUUUUGAGGGCUAUUGAGAAGUUCAGAGUGACACACAUAUGGGUUGUUCCACCUCUUAUUCUUGCAUUGGCUAAGCAUGGUUUGGUCAAGAAAUUUGAUCUUUCUUCAUUGAAACUUGUUGGUUCUGGUGCUGCUCCUUUGGGAAAGGAAUUGAUGGAGGAAUGCGCGAAGAAUGUACCUAGUGCAACAGUCAUUCAGGUAGCUCAGUUCGAGCAUUUCUAUUACGAAUCAUGUAAUGAUUAUAUGCUGAAAAGAUUUGAUGAGUUUUGCAUAUUUUUCACUUGCUUUGUUUAAAUUAUUAUCAAUUUUUGAAAAAGUAGGCAUAAUGAUUUUGAGGUUUGCCAGGCCGUUGGUGAAAUUAAGAUUGCUUCAGAUCUCUCUGUGUCUUUUGAGCACUGAUCCAGAAGUAUGGGAGUGCAUCCUAACAUUUCUUUUAUGCUCGCUAUGUUCAUAUCUAGAAUAUCCUUGACUUGAUCAGAUUAGAAUAUCCUUGGCUUGAUCAUAUUUAUCUUACCGAUUUCUUGACUGAUAGACAAUCCGAUCAGGGAGCAAAGACCUCAUGGUCUGUAGAGAGCAGCCUAUACGUUUAGUCAAUGACUGGUGCAGUAUCUUGGCUGAUAGAGUAGUUGAGCAUUGUUUCUUACUCCUUCUACAGUAGUAAAUUGUCCAUUAAAUUCUUUGUUUCUUAGACUGACUUUAAGAAGAAAGUUUGUGAAAUGCAGCAUAUAGUAUUCAUGUUCUAUUGCUUUUAUCUGACAUGUAUGGUUAAAUUCAGUGACACUUUAAACAGGUAAUAAAUUAGUUACAGAUUUCCAGGUAGGUAAUCAGUUUUAGCUAUUUUUCCUUAUUUGGGAAAAUUUCAAUGGUUUCAGGGUUAUGGUUUGACGGAAACUAGUGGUAUUGCCACAAUGGAGAAUUCAUUUGCAGGAUCUCGAAAUAUUGGUUCAGCUGGAGCACUUGCCCCAGGUGUUGAAGCCCUAAUAGUCAGUGUGGAUACUCAAAAGCCUCUCCCUCCAAAUCAGUUGGGGGAGAUAUGGCUACGAGGACCUAAUAUGAUGCGAGGUAUAAUGUUAAUUGCUUCAAUUAUACUCUCUUCAUGGGGGUUUAGGAAGAUAAUGCAUUCUUUCAUUUAAGAGAGAGAGGAAAAAAAAAAUUGAAAUUUGAUGCAUUCUUGCUCCAGGUUAUUUCAGAAAUCCUUAGGCAGGCUUUUAUCUAUCAUAUGCAAGCCAAUAGGUUCCCGAACAAUAACAUUUGUCAUUGUAGGUCAAGGUCUUGGUAGAUUCAUGAUUUUGAUGUUUUUGUCAGAAAUGUACUAAUAAGUUGUUUAAUUAAAUUGAUAACAUUAUAAGCUUGGUUUUCAUUUCUGAAAAUUUAGUGUAAGCUCUGCAUUGAUUUAAAAUGUUCAGGGAUCUGCUUUUCUUUUAAGUUGGAUUAUAUGAGAAUUUUGGUACUAUCAUUUUCAGGUUAUUACAACAAUGAACAAGCCACCAAGCUGACAAUAGAUAAAAAGGGUUGGGUACAUACAGGUGAUCUUGGAUAUUUUGAUGGGGAUGGUCAGCUAUAUGUUGUUGACCGAAUCAAAGAGCUCAUUAAGUACAAAGGUUUUCAGGUAACUUCUAAUUGGUAAUAUAGGUUUAAUGCAAUGGAAUUUUUUCUGGCACUUACUACACUUGGGCAAUGGCAAUGAAAAUGAUUUUUGUAGCCAACUCCAACUGGUUUAAGGUUAAGGCCUGCUUUUAGUUGAUGUUUCAGGACAGUAUGUUGGUUGAAACCUAGAAAUUUUGGCUGUACAACUUCUACUUUUUUUAAGGGUACAAAAUUUAACAAACAAGUUUCCCACACAAUAUUUGCAGCGUCUGGUUGACACGGCUUCUUUCUUCUUCUUACUUCGUGUGUUUGCUCCCAGAAUUGCUUGCUGCAACUUCAUUUUUCUCUGGAGCCCUGUUGUUGUUUCUUAUAUCAUUUAAAUUUUUUACUUCACUAGGACUGAUUAAGACCUCUUAAUGCUGCCUUUAUCUAUAUGGUUAUUUGGAAAGGGGUGUAGCUGAAAUUUAGCUGCCAGUAACUUGAUAUCUUUGAUCAACAGUCACUAGGCUAUCUUCGACAUAUUGAUUAAGCCGCUUCUUCUGCAUCUUCUCUGUUUUUCUUUAGAUAUGUAACUUUGGAAUUGAGAAUGUAGAUUAACGGUAGUUGACGCUUCAUUGAUUCAUACUAGGUAGCGCCAGCAGAGCUUGAGGGGCUGCUUGUUUCUCACCCUGAGAUAUUAGAUGCUGUUGUUAUUCCGUAAGUUGUACAACCAAUUCUUAAAUUUAUGCUUAUCUUGUAAAUUCACCACUUAUAUCUUGAUACGUUUCCCCCUCAAAAGAUUUCCUGACGCUGAAGCUGGGGAGGUCCCAUUAGCAUAUGUUGUUCGAUCACCCAACAGUUCACUGACCGAAGAAGAUGUUCAGAAGUUUAUUGCUAAACAGGUAAUGUGACACAAUAUAUCAUAACAGUAUAACAUUUCCAGACACACUGAGUAGUGUCUGAUGAUCCAACAUAUGCCAUUUUUUCUUCCUAAAUCAUAUUUCUUGUUUGCUUACCUGAUAGUAUAGGGUACAAAAAUGAUUUACAGCUGGCGGUUGAGUGAUUCUUGUUACAUCUAUAAUCAUAUACUCUUCUUUCUUUACUCUGUUGCAGGUCGCACCUUUUAAAAGAUUAAGAAGGGUGACAUUCAUAAACAGCGUUCCCAAGUCAGCUUCUGGGAAAAUCCUUAGAAGAGAGCUCAUAGCAAAGGUACGAGCCAAAAUGUGAAACAAUAAUGCUACACUUUUCAACUAGUAUCCCAACUAUUAUAAUUCCGAGUGAGGUGACAUUCAUUCAUGGUAUGGUAAGAGUGGAUAAAUAGGAAAUUCUACAACUUAUAGAAUUAAUCAUCCAAUAAAUGGUUCCCAUAUCAGCACUUAGGAUGAUUAUAUUGGGAUAAUGCUCAGAAAGUUCGGUUUUAUUGAAAUGCUAAUUGGAAGCAUUUGAUGAGAGCACUAUUUAUUUUCGCCAACACGCUCCUUUUUUUUUGAAGAAUUAUUUAUUAUUUUCCAUUAAUAAAGAUAGUUAAAAAGAAACUACUGCAAGUUCAAUCUAUUUUACAAUUGCAAGAUAUAUUCUCGCCUAUUUUUAUUGAAAGGAAAUUAGUGUCUGAAGCAGUAACUUCAUGCUUAUAUCAGUUUGAAUAUUCAAAUUUGUGUAAAGAGGCUACAGCUCUGUUAUUUCUCUCUCUCUCUCUCUUUUUAAAUGACAAUAUUGGAGUCAUAAACUCUUUGAUCCAUCUGAUAAGACGAAAUAAUAAUUGGAAAUUGUUUUACGUGCUGGGUAAAUUGAAACCCAUUCCUUCAAUGGGUUUUUGUUGCAGUGUGUUUAAAUUUGAUAUAAUGAUCAAAUAUUGACCUAUAAGCCAUGACAUUAAAUUCAAGUUUUUUCUUUUUUUUCUUUUUAAUUAAAAAGGUAGCAGACAAAGUUAAAUUAAUUUCUCACACUCAAAUCUGUCUCAACAUUUAAACAAGAACGACUAAUUAAAAAAAAUUGAAAAUAAGCUGCUUGCGGUGACAUUGAAUUCAGAAUGAAAUCAAAUGUUUGAAUUUAGAAUAAUUAAUGUGUUGGAAUAAUUAACGAGCUGAUGAAUAUUGAAAGCAAUAUUUGAGUAAGCGGCAGCAUUGGCAAGAGCCAAGGAAUGGGAUGGACCAAAAAAGGGGCUGAUGAAUGGUGAAAUUGAAGUUCUAUUUUAUAGUAGCAUCAUCUUAAUGCAGCAUAAAUUAAGUUAAUUCGAUAUUGUUGUGGGUAAAUCGGCAAGAGAGUUAUUGUGAUAAUAUAAGAUUGUAAGAAGGGUCCCUCACCAGCCGGCUAGUGAAUUGAGGGAAGUCAAAAUCUAUUUAAUCAGUAUUAAUAUGAUUAGCUAAUGCAUGUUUGAUUUCUAAGGUCACAGCUCGUCUAUGCUUCUUAUGAUAUUGACAUUCUCUUUUGAAUCAAACUAUCAUUAGGUCACGUUAUAUUAUAUAAUAUAGGUCGAAUUAAUUAAGCUAGCCUUAUCAUGCAUAAGCAUACUUCGCGGCAAUUGUAAAGAUUGAUUAUCAAUCAUUAUUAUUGAAUUAUAUCAAUUGUAUCAUUUCCUUCUUUUUUUUUUGGUAUUUUAAAUAAUUUAUAAUUUGCGCAUUUAUCCUUAUGAAUUAAUAAGAGUGAAAUUUAUUAAUCACUAUUUCCGAAUUUCUAAAAUGUUUUCAUGGUGUCAGAAUGGGUUCGAGAGUCUUUAAAUUCGCGAGCUUACACUUAGUCACCAUAUUAUUGAUGGGUAAAAGCUCGUUUAGUCCCUAUAUUUUGAAGUUAAUGUCCGUUUAGUCCCUAUAUUUUUAAAAAUACCUCAAACCAUCCCUACCAUAAAAUUAUUGACACUCUUGCCAUUAUCUUUUGUUCCUUUUAACUUAUUUUUACAAUAUUAUCCUAUUAUAAUAAUUUUUUUCGAAAUUAUUAAAAAGAAAAAAAAAUAAAUUACCAGUUUAACACCAAAAAAUAAAAUAAAUAAAAUAUAUAUAUAUAUAUAUAUUAAUUUUUGUGGAACACUCUCUUGAGUUAAAAUAUUAAUUUUUCUAAAAAAUUGAUAAUGUAAUUUUUUACAAUAUUAUUUUUUAGACAUACGUGAGCUUCCACCUGCUGUACCGUACAUCCGCCUUGGCCUUUUUUAGACAUACGUGAACUUCCACAAAAAUUAAUAUAUACAUUUUUUGUUGUUAUUUUAUUUUUGAGUUUAAUUUAAUAAUCUAAUUUUUUAUUAAUAUCCAAAAAAGAAACAUUAUUGUAAGAGUGUUAUAUUAUAAAAGUAAGUUAAAAAGAAUAAAAAAUAAUGGCAUGAGUGUCAAUAUUUAGCAUUAGGGAUGUUUUGAGGUGUUUUUAAAAAUAUAAGGACUAAAUGGACACUAACCUCAUAAUAUAGGGACUAAAAAAGCUUUUACCCUGUUAUUGAUAUUAGGCUUCUCAAGCAUGGUGGUCUAAGGGAGAGAGAUGUGAGUUCCUAUUUAGCUGUUCUUCAAUUUCUUCACCAAAAAAAGAAAAAAAAAAAGUUGUUUGAUCGCACCAUCCAUUACAACUUCCACCAUCACAAAGGAAAUGGCGUUAAAAGAAAAAAAUGAAUGAAAAGGAAUCUUCAAAAUUGAUGUUUAUUUUCUUGACAAGAUUAGUAGAAUGGCUUUUUAAAUGAAAGAAUUCUUGAAUGAAGAAUUCCUUUAAAAAAAUCAAAGGAAUGGCUUUCAUAUUAAAAGAAUUGCUUGAUCAAAGGAACUUAUGAUUUUUUACAACUUUAAAAUUAUACUACUACUCCUAUUAAUAAUAAUAAUAACAACAACAAUAAGUAUACAUGGAAACAAUUAGAAGAUUUCCUGAACAAGCUUCAAAUGAACGCUUCCUGAUUUAUUACAUGACACUUGGAUGAGACUGUAGAUAAAAGUCAAGGAUUUACAAUUUAAAAAAGCUAGGAGUUCAAAAAAAAUUUCUCGCCAACUUGAGAGAGGAGAGGAUGAUAUUGAUGGAAAUAAAACAAUCAAUCAAAAAGUUUUCACUAUAUUUAUAUAUACACACAGACACACACACACACACAUACAUACAUACAUAUAUAGGCCAAUUUCAUGGAUCUUCAAAGCAAGCGGUUUGCCUGAUGAAGCCUGCGAGGAGCUCAUACACAGUAUGCCAUUGUAUGAUAGCAAGCCUUGUAAGUCGCUCAAUGAUCCCAUGCAUGCAAUGGUAUAUAUCUUUCUUUUAUCAUGUUUGUCUUUCAGUAGUCAAUAUAUAAUAUUUCUCCGAUACCCAGACGCUCAUUCAUCACAAGCUAUAUUUAGUAUAAGUAACUUGAUCUUCAUCUUGCUCAUCUCUGUAGAUAUCUGUUCUUGUCCACAAAGCACUACGUGGGGUUGAGAAAAGCAUCAAGCAGAAGCAAGAUCUUUCUUGAUCACUGUCAUUUUCCAAUUCGUCAAAAUGGUUUUAAGUGAAUGAAGAGAUCUAGUCAACUGCUAGCUAUAGUUAGGGUUACUUUGAUCUCUUGAUCAGCUCGUUCCCAUCCUAAACGCUAAUUAAACAACAUAUAUACUAUAAGUAGACCAUUUUAACAGACUUAUUAAGUCACAGAACUGCUCCUUAUAUCGUGUUGAUAAUAAUAUUUCAGAAUACAAUUAUAUAUACUGGUUGUAACCUUGAAUGAAAAUACCUAUGCUCAGGUGCGGAUUCUCUAUUUUACAUCGAUGUAAAGGGCCUUUAAAACACUUAAAAGAGCCGGCACAUCAAAAUAAAGAGUGACUCAAGAUUUUUACUUCGAUAUAAAAGAGUGAAUCCACACUUUAUAAAAUAUGAACGUCGGCACAUAAACAUGAGUCUGUGCCUUCAAAAUAAUGGUAGCCCUAGAUUUGGAAGGACUGCUAAAAAUUAUGUACUGACCGUCUUGAGUUUGAAAAGUUCUUGAAAACUCUUUUGAAUCACACUUACCUUACAAAGCCCUUAAGCACACUGACGUCGCAAGUCCAAAAUCCAAAUAGCUAGCUAAAAUGGCAUUCAUCUGCACUUGCAACUGCACCUUGAUGCAUAUAACCCCAUGCUGCCACCAUAUCUGCCGACGGCUAUUGGCUCUUCUUGUGCUUUGGCUUUUACGAACCAGAACCAGAUAACGCAACAAGAUGCAGGUGCAAAUGCAGAUAAAGGAUACAUCUUAGCAUCCUGUUCCUGUAGCAUGUACUCCUACGUACUCAUGAUAUACGGCCAUUUAUCACUGAACCUGCAGAGCUACUUAGCAUUUUUCUCUCUUUUUUUUUAUUUUAACAAUUACAAGCAAGCUGAGAGAGCUGGUAGCCUGGCAUAUAUAUACCACAUCUCAAUCUGUGGUCUGUAAAGCAGGCUGGUCCGAAGCCACGUGAUGGAAUGCCACUGACCACGUGAGAUUUGAUUAGUUAACAAGUGACAAAGUGCCACGUGUGACAACCACCUGAAAUAAUUAUUUAAUCCGUGGAAGUUAAUUAAAUGCAUGGAUGUUAUAAUUUGGAGCGGGCAAUCUAGGACAAAAGAAUUGUGUGUUCUUUUAUGAUCAGUCGGUGCUCCCUCGUCUCUCUCUAUCAAGUGAACUAUGUGCCCACGAGCUAGGGCCAAGGCUGUCAGUGGAAAUAGGGGAAUGGGACCCUAAUUUCUUAUCACUUCCUAGGAAUGAAAGCAACCAUCGGAACUGCCAUCGUCCCAUCUAGAGAGUUUUUGAUGCAAUUAUACAUAUGUGUACUGUAUUUAUGCAAAGAAAUAUAGAUAAAUAUUAGAGUGUGACAUGUCAUUAGGUCAUAAAAACCAGAACUCCAAGGUACUUAUCUUUCCAUUGGCAGCCUAAAUUAUUUCAUGUAAGUGGGGCGGUUGUGUUGUCAAUCAUUUUCAAGAACAAUUGGCUAAUGCAUUUGUUCGAAGAUUACUUGCUCAGUGGAGAAAUAUUGGGUCCAUGACUUUCGUUUGUAUAAAAUUAUUCUAUUGGAACUUUCCUGUUGUGUAUGCUUUUACCAUUAGGUCGAUCGCUUAUGAUUAGAGGAAAGUGAAAGGAAUUUAUCCAGAUAUAGAUUUCCAACAGUACGUAACUUACCCAUCCUAUCAUAUGCCGGGAAUAUUACCGUUUCUAUAUUAAUACUAGCACAUUAGCAAGCGGGUUUGAUUCAUACUCUCAUAAGUUAGUUCAAGAGUUGAGAGGAUUGCCUCAAGUUUAUAUAGUAUAAACUCUCUCACUCGUUGGUGAGUUUGACUAUUAUACUGUUCAAAAAUUCAUGAGAUUGAUUUAUACACAAAAAUUAACUCAUCAGUUGAACGUCGUCUCAAACUUAUAUUAAUAAUUAUUCUCAACCCAUAUGAGAUAUUUUUUUUCUAUUACCUUGUUUUGUGAGAAUUUGUCUUUUUAAUUAGUCCUUAUCACAUGGAAAGAUAGUAUUGGCACACUCAUACAUAAACUUGGCUUUUUUUAAUACCAUAUAAAAAUACUUAAUUUAUACAAAAACUAACUCAAUAAUUGUGAAUAUUGUCCCAAAUUUAUAUACAUCACCCAUGAUUUUAUUCUCAACUAAUCACGGAUUUUCUCCUGAACAUGUAUUGGCAUGUUAAAUUUAUCCACUUCAUAUUCUUUAGUUGAUGCCACAGAGCUAGGUAUAUGCCUAUAUAUAUAUAUAUAUAUAUAUAUAUAUUCUGAUGCCUUUUGGAUAGAAGAUCCCGCUCAUAUACUGCCGACGCUAUGAACCAUUAAAUUCUGCUUCUUUUCUGAGAUUCUUUUUUUCUUUUUCAUUUUUUUGGUGUGGUAACAAAAGUAAACUAUUACUGCAAGAUCUAAAACCAAGGUUGAUGAAUUAAUAUUGUAGUGCCAUUGCGGAAUGCUACCCCAGGACAAAGGGCUUCCUUGGUUUUGGUGGGUGCUCAAGGAUAUGAGAUCGUCGUAAACACCUCUGCCAUUGUUCUCCGUCGUGCUAAUUGCAUCUGGCUAGUAAACCGCAUAACUAAUGAAGCUUUUCACAAGCGUACUAAACAUAAAGAAACAUGGUGUCAUUUUGUACAUUAACCUUCACUGAACAAUAAUUGUUAAACUUGUCCUGGCAUACUCAAAAAGAAAGUAUGAGUUUUCGCAUUAGAUUGAUCACUCCACUUAAAACUUAAAAGAAUUAGGUAACUAGUCAGGAUCUCCUAGGCUCUUCCCCUCAACACCCCCGAUCGAUUACUUUCCACCAUAUGUUGUAACAGUCAACAAGUUACAUUAAUCUUAACGAUAACGAAACUGUAUCUUAAUUUUGUUGUGAUCUUGACAUUUCUGAGACUUUGAUGUAGCACAAGCUGAUAGGCUUCACGGGGCCUACGGUAGAGAUCGAAAGGACACGAACGACCUCAAAAAGCGGAGGGUCAAAAUUAUUUGUCUUGACCCCGUCGCAUCAAGCGUCAUAUCCGGCUGGCCCUUGUACUUGUUUUGGAUUCACUCGUGCAAAAGUAUUCUCGUUGUUGAUAAGAUUUUAUCCUUAUCAAAUAUCAUUCACUUCAGUAGGCCCACCGGCCAUUAUUGGAUUAGUUGGGCUUAGGCCCAUUUCAGUUUUGGGCAGAACAGACACAGAUAUUACAGUACUAUUAGUAGAGACACAUAAUGGACACUAUUUAUCUUGACCCACGUAGAUGAGUCGAACUGAGGUCACGGUAUUGCGGGAAUUCUUUUCCGAUUUGAAUAAGACCUUCACCUACAGUAGUUGUGGCCGGAUCUGAAAAUUUUUCUGUCGUAUGAUCAUUGAAUUUUGGUGUGUCAAGUCGUCCGCCUCUCUAGUUAAAAUUAAGGGAUCCAUAAUGAAUGGAAUUGGUGUGCAGAACCUUACUAUUGUAUUUAAACCGACGUGGCUUACUAUGUAAUAUUGACCAAUUCUAUCAUUAACACCAGCAAUACAAGAAGAAAAAUAUGUAAAUAAAUAACAUAGUUGUGAUAGUUGACAUGCUUUAAAUAGUAAGCAUGUGCAUUAGAGUUGAGAAAGUAACGUGCAGAGCUAGAUAUAUAGCGUUUCAAUUAAUACUUCUAAUUAGCAGAAAAUGCAAGGAUUUGAUUAUAAAAACUCAAGUUGCAUGUAUGAUUUUAAAUUAUGUAUGGUCAGAUGCAUACGUGCCGCCAUCAUGCACGUUCAGGCACAAGGUCCGUAUGAGAAUCGCACAGGCUGAUCGCCAUUAAUUUUCCAAUUUCACUUCUGAUCGAUCAAGAUCUUCAAUUUCUGAGAUAUUUUUAUUAUGCAGCAGGCGUUGCUUUCGUAGUGCUUAAUUUCAAAGUUACAAAUUAAUCCGCAAAUAAUGUUACAGCUCUCUUGACUUCAUGAUCAUGCACAUAUACAAUUCACACAAAAGCAACAAAAGUUUUCUCGUCAUAAAUUAAUUUGACAACUACCCUAAUAUCGACAAAUUUUAGGUGAAGACCCUUCAACUUCAAGUCCUCAAAAUACUGUACAAUUGUGGAAAAAAAAAUAGAAAAAAAUGAAACGAAAUUUCAAAUGGUUACGUUGAUGCUGAUGACGAUGAGGAUCUAUCAUUAUUAUGUCUCCUUCUCGUUCACUUUUCUGAGUCCAUUUUUCCAAUAAUCGACCAAAGACUUAGAGCAUCCCGACGACUUUCUUUGCCAUGUUGAUAGGCAAUAGGGAAAAUAGAAAGGGAAAAUAAUUAAACUUUGGGAAUUGUCUCAGAAGCAAGCGUGCACACUGCACAUCAAUAAUUUCUUGUAUCGAAUUAUUCAUUUAAACUGUAUGUAUAUGAUGAGGAUUUUAUACAUCGAAUUAUUCAUAUACACCCACAUCCGAGGGAAUAAAAUUUUCCUAUUUCUUUCCACUUCAUCGAAUAAAUAAAAAGAGUGACAUUAUUGACUCACUGUGGGUGUAAUUAAAAAGAUGAAAAUAAUAUGGAUCCUUGCAGACUGAUUGGUACUUGUCAACUAAGUUGGUAUGAUAGAAAUUAACUUAGUUACCAAACGGUUGUGGCUCAGUUGGUGGCGCAGGCUGGAUAAGUGGGAAGAGCUCUCGGAUUCGAUCCCCACUAAACACACUAUUUGGAAGGGGUAAAGAGCAUUAACUGUGACUAAACCCUGAAUCCGAAUUAGUCGGGACCCAAUGCGAUCGCCGAAAAUCGGGUGGUUUAAACCAAAAAAAAAAGAAAUUAACUUAGUUGAUUACUGUAUUUUAAAUUUCUCACAGUAAAUUUUUUUGGAAUAAAGUCGCAAUAGACAUGGGACCAAUAUGAUGAUUUUAAUCAUUUCGUUUCAUUUUUCUUUAGUUGAUUACUGUAUUUUUUUCCCCCCCUUUUUUGUUCUUAAACAACUCAUAAUCAGUUUAUUGACAUUUUAAAAGUUCUUAAUUAUCCAGUUCCAAACCUAAAAUAAAAAAAAAAUUUCCUUCACUUAAUUUUUGUGUAACCAUCAUCCCCAACAAUAAUUGAAGGCUCAUAUCAAAGAUGGCAACGACACCUGAAAUCUUAUACAUGCUUUGAUGCCAUAGCUAAUUAUAUCACUUCUUCUCUUCUAUUUUCUCACUCACUCAUUUAUUUUUUCCUUUUUUCUCUCUCUCUCUCUCUCUUUUGCAUUUGCGUGAGCUAAUGAUUGGUCAACAGAAAAUUUAAAAGAUCACCCGGAUUCGUUCAAUUCAAACGUGGGGGAAUCAGAAUGAUUAACUUCUGCAUUUUUAUACAUCAAGAAGUUUUGUGCCUUCUGCUCCUGAAGCAACCAUUACCAAGAAUAUUAUAAAUAUUAGUAAAUAUUAAUGUGAUUUUUUGAAGAUAUAUUGAUGUGGUUUCAUAUUUCGUAUUCAUAUUCAUUCUUGAUUAAAUUGUGUCAUUAAAAAUAAUAAUAUCAUAACAAAAUUAUAAAUUUAACAGAGCUCCAUCAUGGUUAAACCCUCGACCUAUUUUUCAAGAUUAAAAAUCAUCUUUAUUCACCCAUGAAAAUGACUUUCUUUAAAAAAAAAAAAAAAGAUGUAUUUUUUUUCCUUCUUCAAUCCCCUUUUUUUGACCUACACCCACAUGGCGUAGAGCUUAUGCAAUCAUCACAUCUAAAGGAAAAAGAUUCAAAAGAACCUUUUGAUCACAUGGAUAUGGAAUCAAGUCUAACACGCCCGUAAAAUAAUUCUAAUCAAUUAAAUGAUGUAGGCGACUUGGUGGUGAAGUCCUUCUUUGUGCAAGUAGAUAGAAUAUUCAUCGAAUUCUUAUUUUGAAAAAAAAAAAUUUACAUGCACAUGUCACUUUCUCAUUCGUUGAUAAUCAUACAAUGAAAAUUUAGAAUUACUAAAACUACUAUAAUAAUAAAAAAAAGUUUUAGAUUAAAAAAUUUGUUUUAUUUAGUACCCAAAAAAAGAAAAAAAGAAAAUGCUUUUUAAAAGUAAUUUUGUUAUUUCCUUUUGUUCCCUUUUGGGCAUUUUUCCCACCCUUCAUUGAAGGUUCCGGUACAUUUCGUAAAAGCAGCCGGGGGAUGCAAAGAUGCAAUUUGGAAAGAAUAUUAAUGGGCAUGCAUGUGACAUCAUCAUGAUACGGCAUCAUGGGAACACGAUGCAUGAUACAUUCAUUAUGCACUGCACAGUCACAUCAUGAUAUCACACGUCCUUCGUUCAUUUCUUUUUAAAGGUGAGAACGCACGUGCGGCCUAUAAACGACUCGGCAAUGCACGAUGUCGUUUUGAUUGCAUUUGGUGCCUCUUUUUGCGUUUCGCCAAAAAGGCGAAGCUAACCGGCGUUGUUGAUAUUGAUGAAUGAUCAUUUUCCUUUCCCCCUUUAUCCAUUUAAAAAUUCAAUAAAUGCUGUUUUUUUUUUUGUUUUGUUUCUUAUUUCUUACUAGUAAAUUAGAUUAAUUAUAAAUGCAGUAAAUGAAAAUCAUUAGUCAUUUUGUCAGUUAUGAAUCAGGCGAAGACCAACAUUUCAACUCACGCCUUUAAUUACGCCAACCUUUUUAAAUUUAACAAACUCCGUUAUAUCCUUAUCAUGAACAAUACCGUUACUAACACUUAGGUAUUUUCACUUCACUCCACACUAUUAAUUUUGGUGUUCAAAAUUUCAUUGCCGAAACAUAAGCACAGCCUUCUUAGCCAAAUAAGAAAUUGGGAAAAAAAAAAGAAAAUAAAUUCGGGCUAGAUCUGCCAACUCUGGUCUUCAACAGAAAUGGCUCUCGGUUCCUAGCAGGAGGUCAUCUCGUGCUAUGGUCCAGAAGAGGGCGUCCUCGUGACCGAGCAGAAGAUUACUACUCGUGGAUACCUGCUACUAGACUUUACUCAUCUACUCGCUUAUAAAGAGGCUGACUCCUCGUCUAGGAUAUGAUUGGUCUCGUCGUUAUAUAUCCUCCAAAUAAAUAGUAUCAUAACAAAAUUAUUAAUUUAACAAAGUUCCAACAUAAUUAAACCCUCCACUUAUUUUUCGAGAUUAAAGAGACACAAAAAUUGUUCUGAUUAAGGGCUUGAAUAUUGAAACGAAUAUGAACGAUGGAAAUAAAUGGUACAAGUCUCAAAUAAAUAUCUCAAGUCCUUAAUCAUUCCUUUUGUGCUGUCGUGUAUCUAUUCAAAAUCAAGAAACAACAAAAUUUUUUUAAAAAUAAAAAUCUCAUUUCAUUUCAAUAGUUAACAUUUUAACAAAUAGGCACGGCGCAGGAUAGAAAAAGAGCCAUCGAGCGUGAUUGGCGAACAGAAAAAGGAGAUGUAGACUGGACUCUUUACGGUGGUGUCGUCUAACGGGGAAUUUGAUCGGUUCGGUAGGCUCUCCCCAAGUGAAAGCCAGUCCUGAGCGGGCUUUAUAUUUAAUUAAUUGCGUACGUUCGAGGAAAUGCAGCACCGGUCGUACUGGUGGCGCACUGGCCUCUUGAAAAACGACAAGGAAUAACAACACUAAGCACCAAUAAAAAGGACACCGAUUAAAAUGAGAGUGAGCCUCAGAGGCUCUCAAAUCACACCUAAUAAGGACACGCACGAAAAAGGGAAUUUUAAAGCAGAGAAAUAUAAUAAAAAAAAAAAGAAAAAAAAAAAGCUUUAAAGGCUAAGCCGUGUUUCGCAGGUUUGACACAAGAAGGGUACAGUCCCCCUCUCUCUAGCUACAUUGUCUGUCGAUAAUCGGUAGGUCCCUCUCUGUCAAUGCCGUGCCCUUUCUUUCUUGCCCUUCUUUUUUGCUUUUGUGGGACCUUCACUUCGCGUCCUCCGAUUUCACCAAUUGGGCAUUUGCUAAGGACAAGCAAGUUGCGUGAGCCCGGUGAGUGAGUGUGUGAUGUGAAUGAAGGUACCAGAGAGUGAGGAAGUGGGGUAUGUUCAGCUGAGCCACGUGUCAUGCGUCAACUUUUCAUUAGGAGAGUUGAGUAAUUGAAAUUGAGCUAUCGGUUUCUGUUCUCUUAUACAAGCUUCUAAUGCAACCAUCAAUACGUUUACAAUGUAAUUUAAUUGAGGAUAGUGUUUCGACGUGAUUAAAGCGGUGUGACAGAGAGAGUUUUAAAGAACAAGAGGGCAAAAUAAACAUUUUCUCCAACAAGUGCUUUCUGUAUUCACUUUUAAAAACUUAUGGAAACAUGAAGUUAAAAUAGGCAACUUCAAAAUUUUAAAUUUCCUGUUAAUUAAAAGAAAUUAGAAGCCUCAUUUUCACAACAUCACCACCGCAAUCUAUUUCUAUCUUAUCGAUAGGAAUUUUAUUCCCCAUGUCAUAAGCGUGUCGUUUGACAUGACAAUUAUAUACAACAUGGAAGAUAAUGUUUCGCCAAAAAUAGUAGAGUAUGUACGAGUAAAAUUACCAGGUAACAAACCCGUGAAUGUGACGCUCAUAAUAAUAAAAAAAAAAAAACAGAAAAAGACGUAAAAAUGCAGCAGCAGAUGGAACGAACGAAUUAUGGUAAUGGUCCAAAAAAUAAGAACAGGAGGAUGUGGAAGAGAAUUGUGAUUAGGUGAGCAUCAUCAAAUGCAAUUGAAUAAUGUUUGAAUGAAACACAACAUUGGAACAGGUGGGAGAGAGAUGCUGGUGGGUGCGCUGCCAGAUUUUUGUUAGGGCUUUUAUCAGAAUCUUCCAGUUCAUCAUUAAUUACCCCAUUCAAUUCAAUUAAAGCAUCGUUGCCACCAGCGCGCCCAAUCUUUGCAGCAAUUGGCCAAGUGAACCACAGUUGUGCGGGCAGGGUUUGAGUUUCCAUUUGAACUUAAUCUCUCUCUCUCUCUCUCUCUCUAAAAAUUAUAUGAAAUUAAUUUUAUUUUAUUUUUCUUGUAAAAUACGAGUGGAACAUACAUCCGUCCGUCGCUUGUAAGAAUUAUUUAUCUAAAUAAAUACUUUAUAUAAUUUAAUAUAAUAUUAUAAUUAUAAUUUAUAUAAUUUAAUAUAAUAUUAUAAUUUUAAUUAUGUUUUUAAUUAUAAAUAUUAAUGUCAAGUAGUUACACAAAUGGGGUAAUUAAUUAAAAGAUAUGAAGUCAACUGCAAAAUACCACUAAAUAAAAUAUACUAGUCCAGCAGCAUACAAAAUUAACUAGGAGAUGAUUAUGAUAAAAGAGGAUUAAUCCAAAAUUUUACUCCUCGAACUUUAUUAUUUACAAAUAUUUCCAUGGUUGAAGUUACCCAUUAAACCUAUCUUGUAAAUAACAUUAUAACCUUUGCUUGCUCCCUAACCAUCAUUCACUACAUAACAACACAGGCAUUCGGGUUCUCAUCGCUGAACAUUUGUGGAGCAGCCGGCUGGUGGUAGUAGCCUCCAACAGGGUACCCAUAUUCAUACCCUCCGUGAAUCUGGUACCCAUGUCCAUAACCCGACCCAGGCACACCCAUUGGGAAAUACUCCAUCCUGCUCUCCUCCAUUUUCCCACCACCGCCACCGCCACCGCCAUCUCCAACCUCUUGACCGCCGCCGCCACCACCACCGCCCUUCUUCUUCUUACUGCCGCCAUUGCCACCGCUGUUGUUAUUAUCCCCACCGUUGGAUUCUUUCUCAUCAUUCUUCUCUUUCUCUUUCUCUUUCUUAGGUGGCACAAUCUCGACCGGUCUCUUCAGCCUCUCCUUCAAAACCUCAGCCAACGCCUUAGCAUCCAUUGUCCCCUUGACCGUCACCGUAUCCUUUUGUUUAUCAAUGGACUUAUCCAUCACCCCUGUUAAAAAAAUAAAAAUAUAUAUAAAAAUAAUAAUAAUGAUAACAACGACACCGUUACAGUAACGCUACAGAACUGAACGCGGCAGUAAUGAAGUUCAUGAGAUAAUCGUCUCUCACUCUCACCUUUGGUCUUAGAGACAAUCUUGAGAAUCUUCUCAAUGCAACCCUGGCAGUGAAGCCCCAGCUUCAGAACCGCCGUCAUCACCGGAGGCUGACGUAUAAUAUAAUAAACCCAUUAAUGAAUUAAUUCCAGAAUUAAAAAAAAAAAAGCAAAAGAAAGAAACAAAAGUAUUUAGCAUUUUAAUUAAUAAACAUUGAUUAAUAGUAAUUUAACAAACAUUAAUUAAUAGUAAACCGUUUGAAAGGGGCUUUUGGUUUGUUAUCUUGUUUGGGUUCUUUAUCUUUGUUGUCUUUCUUGGGCUGAGGAGAGAUGAGGUCAAUUUUCUUCUUGGUCUUUUUGUCCAAUUUCUCUCGGAUCUUGGAUGGAUCCACUGCCCCGACUAUGGUGAUUUUGUUAGCGGCUACCUCUGCUUUCACUGCCUCCACUCCUAUAACAACCAAAACAAAUCACGCCCGCAUUAUUAGUAUUAAUAUUAAUAACUUCGAAUUUUUUUUUCUUCUUCUUUUGGUGAACAAAGGCAAAAUGAAAGAUAGAAAUAUGAACAAAGUGAAACCUUCGAAAGAGCGAGCAUAUCUGACGAUUUUAUUGGCGCAGCCCUCGCAAUGCAUGUCAACUUUCAAGAUCACAGUAACGGAACUUUUCUUAUCGUCCUUCUUCUUCUCUGCGACGGCAUCUCCUUCCUCCUCCUCCUCCUUCUUCUCCGCUUCAUUAUUGCCGUUGUUGUUGUUGUUUUCUUUGUUGUGGUUUUCGUUAUUGCUGUUGUUGUUCUUCUUCUUCUGUAAAAAAAAAAAAAAAAAAAAAAUCAAACAGUAAUUUUCUCACAGAGCAAAUAGAAAAGAAAGCAGAAGGAAGAAGUAUAAAAAAGAAAAAUAAAUAAAAACGACUUGGGGUGACCGAGUUGACUCACCUUGCCCAUUGUUGAGAAUUGGCUGGGUUUGGUUACCGAUGAGUCACUGAAUAACAGGGCGAGACAGAGCGAGAGGGCUUUUAACUGGCAAAAGGGAAAUGUUUGUAUUUAUAUAGCAGAGGGGCGAGACUUGGGAGUUGAGAGAGAGAAUGAGUAGCAGUUAUUGCAUUACACGUGGCUGAUGGAUGAAUGGAUGAUGUAUGGGGAAUAUUGCAUGUAUGAUGUGAUGUAUGGAUGUGGGAAGGGAGGGCGUGGGGUUUCCUAAAAGAAUUGGAAUGGUGGUUACCAGGUGAGAAACGUGUGCGCGCGCGUGACGGGCGUGUUUUACGCGGUGAGUGAUGGAGUAAGCAAGGACUAAGGAUAAGCGUCGAACGGUCGAAGGAUACACUUCCUCCGCCUUGUCGGCAGCUGCGAAUAGGCUGUACGCACAGUACCAACGUUGCAACACCUUUUCGUCUCCGUAAGCGUGACGGACAAUUCACUGACUUAUAGAUUUUUAUGAUGUUUUUCAAGUAAUUUUCCCUUCAAAUGCUAUGGAAUUUCAAAUUUGCCCUUGCUAUUCAUUCCAAGUUUGUUGACUUAUUUUGACCUUUUUUUUUGCCCUUAAAUUCAGAUUCUCGAAAACUGUGGAAAAAUACCUAGCAAAUAAAAGUUUGAAUUUGAAGCUCUGACUCCUGAAAAUCUCUUAUUACUAUUCAUACUCGUAUGAGAUUUUAAGUGCUUAUUUUGUAUCAUUUAUCUAAUGUUUAUAAAUAUUUAUUUAAUCGAGUAUCUAAUUGAUUUUUAAAAUUUUACUACAAGUUAAUAUAAGAGAAAAAGAAAUAUCUAAUUUCUAAAUCAAGAAAAAUUCUACCCAUAAAAUCACAUGCACAUGAAUGGUUCUACUUCGGUUUUUUAUUUGAUUGAUCAAAUAAUUCCAUAACCAUAAGACGAUAAGGAUAUCUCUCUCUCACCUUACAUUAUUAAGUAAUUUACCACUAAGGAUAAAAUAUAAUUUUUUCUGAAAUAAUUAAGUUUAACUCAAAUAAUUUUACUUCCUACACCCAUCUUAUUUGAAACCCUAAUUUAUUAUUUAGUAUCAACUUAAUUCAAUUCUAGAUAAAUAGAAUUCAAUCUAGAAUGUAUGGUGAAUAAAAGAUUUUUUUUUUCAAUUAGUGAAAACGUGUGACACAAGUCUUUGUUUUAAUUUGACUUAGUGCCUGUUUGGUAUGGCUUAUUUAAGAGCCAUAAGUGCUUAUUUAAUCGUAUAAGCACUUUUUAAAAUUUUUUAUGGUGUUUGAUUAUUUUUUUAAUAGAGUUUUUUUAGCUUAAAUAAGCUAAUUUACCUCUACUAGUAAAAGCCCAAAAUUUGAGCUUUUGGGAGUAGAGGCUAUAGAGAUUUUCUAAAAAUAUAUAAUAUAAAAAAUAUCACACAGUUUAAUAGUUCAAAAGUGUUUUUUUUAUUGACUACCAAACACUCAAGGACUUUUUGUCCAAAAGUUCUAUUGGUAUAAGCUCUACUGUUAUAAGCUCUAUUUAAUAAGCUGUACCAAACGGAGCCUUAAUAGUUGGGAUAUUAUAUAUGUACGAGUGUGGUUUCUUCUCCAUAUAUGCAACCUUUAAACUCUCAUAUUUGUUUCUUUAUCGAUGGAUUUUUGUGGAACUUUAUUUUUUUUGAAUAAUUUAAUGGAUAAGAUUUUUUUCCAUAAUGACUACAAGUACGAUUAGGAAUCUUUGAGCGAGAGCACUAAACUACUAUCCCCACUUAAUUAUUGCGACUUGACAUCGAUAUUUAUUUGCUAUAGAAUUGAAAGCUUCAUAGAUUAUCAAUCAACAUGGACGAUGGAAAUGAUUUUGGUGGGUAUUCGUGGACAAAUAACAUUAUUUAAAAUCACAAGUUAUAAUGGGUUAAUUUUGGUAUAAUGACAGGUUUUGAAAGUGAAAUUUUAACUUCUAAAUUUAAGCUCGAGUAAUUAGGUGUAAAAGAGUGUUUUGGGUUCUAAAUAGCUCCACUCUUUAUUUGCUUAGUUUAGUGAUACUAAAAGCACUAGAUUUUUUUUUUUCAAAAAAAUAAAAGAGCACCAGAUUAAUAUCCCUAUUAUACCCUUUUCUUAACAAGUUACAAAAACCCUUUAAUCGGAUAAAAUAUGGUGCAGAGGAAGGAUUAGAAUUCAGUGCUGAAACUUUUUUUUUUUGCUGAGCAUUGAAUCAAUUAUCAAGAUUUAUUUUAAGUUUUUAUUUUUUUUCUUAUAUAACAAUUAUUGAUUCGGAACUUAACAAAAACUCAUAUCAGUACUGAAUUUUUAUCAGUAGAGGAAUGGGUCUGGAGACAGUGUUGGGCCACUCUUUUGAGGCCUAGAGGCUGGGCCUUGUUGACCAACAAAGCAAAGGUGAGAUGAUGGAUCAGAUUAGUUUUAAUUUAAGGCAUGUUUGAAUUUUCAUGAUUUGUUAUUUAUUUUCAUGAUCACAUUUAUGGAUGCUUAUCUUGCAUAAAUUACAGCACUGUGACAGAAGAUAAAAUAAUUGCUGCCAAUUUGACUUUAAGCUCAUGAUAUGAUGAUAAUGGUCGUGCUUGCAUAAGAAUUGUCACAAAAAUAUUCAUUUAGUCGUUUCUAAGAAAUCCAACUUAAUAUCUGCCUUUCGUAAUGCACGUAAUAACAACAAAUGAAUUCAGUGCACUCGGGGUUUAGCUGCCCAAAUCAUGAUUGUUUCUAAAACCGAUAUCAAUUGAUGCAUUAAACUGGAUUUGGUUAAUUGGUAGUGCCUCUGCCUUUUUCGGGCGGCCCCAUCUGCGGAGUAAUGGAACUUCAACGUCAACGUAUCUCAACUUUCCUGAACUUGUGUUGCUUUGUAGGGUUCUUGUGUUUUUGAGCUUUCACCAUCCCUACUCCCCAAAGACUCGGUGCUAUCGUCAAAAUUUUUGAAACAUUGAGGGACGAUUGUCUCUAAUUUUCUUUUUCUGAUUAUUACUAUUAUCAGUACUAUAAUUAUCUCUUCUUUCUUUGCACAGCAACAUGAAACUAUUUUCUGUUGACACCCGUCUUGGUAAUAUCCUGGCACCAUCCUUUUUAAACUGUUGUGUUCAAAUAUAUAAAUUUUUUUUUUAAAAAAAGGCCUAAUGAGUGGAUUUAGGCAUAGCAAAAAUGCUAAAGAAACUAAAAGUUGAUAAAAUGUACUAAAACACUGUGUGGUGUUGAGUUAAUUCAUCAUUCUAUUUUUUUUCUCCCUUUAACACCGUAUGGUAUUAUAGUUUAUUUUAUUAGCAUUUUGUUAGAUUUUUCUGUCCAAAUAUCAGCGCUCUAAGUAUAAAGUGCAGUAAACUGAAAGAGUGAAGGUAUUAAAGGCUCUCUUAAAUGAUGUCAGUGCUAUACUCCUACAUAUAAGUGAUUAAUGAAUUAAAAAAAAUAUUAACAAAUUACGUUACGAUUAACGUAACGUAAGGGCUCCCAUAUAUAAAUUAUGAGAUUUAAGUAGUAAAUGCAGAUUUCAUGCAUAUGGUGUAAUCGUAAAUUCAUAUUGUCGCAUCAUAUGAGAGAAUGACUAAUCCACACAACACUCAUUUAUCUCUAAUUUGAUAAUACUUAAUUAUAAGCUCAUCUUGUUCUAAUCGAUAGUGUUAGUUUGAUGUGAUACUUGUCCACUUUAACCAUGUAUUAAAUGUCUAAUAAUUAAUAAUGGCAGGAUCCUGUCAUUUACGUUUCAAUGUUAUGCAUCAUUUAUUUAUUCAUCGGUUGAUGUAUUUAUUUAUUUAUUUAUCAUUCAAUAAAUAAAUAUCACAUUAGUUAACUAUUUGAUAGAAUCUCCAACACUACUCUAUAAUAAAAAUAUUGUUGUCCCCCCUUUGGGCAGUGGCAGGUGAAGAGUUCGUUCUAAACCUAAGUAUAGAAACAAAUGCAUAAUUAUCACUAUAAUCUUUAUCAAUUCAAGCAAAAGUGACACUAAUGAGCUGUAGAGCUGACAAAAUUUAACACGAUUUGAUUAUCCGACACAAAUACGACACGAAUAAAUAAGUAAUAGAUUGUUAAAUUAAACAUAAUUAUUAAAUGGACUACGUACGGGUUGCCAAUAUUUUUUUCGUGUCGGGUUAGGGUUAAAAUAGUUGAUCUAUUUAUCCAAUUAAUGGUUCAAUUAUAUUUUCUAUUUAAAAUUAAUUUAUAGGUUAUUGUCAUUAAAACUCAAAUAUUAAACAUGAUUUUCCUUUUUUUUAUAAGGACAAACAUAUAAAUAAUAUUUCAUUUAUAAAAUUUUAUACAAUUUUAAUAGUAUAAAUGUAUAAAAAAUUAAUAGAUAUGUAUAUUUUAUAAUAUCAACAUACAAUAUUAUUUAAAUAUAUAUAAUUAAAACUUCAAUAGUGUAAAUAUGUAAUAUUUAGUAGAUAUAAAUAUUUUAUAAUAUCAAAAUAUAUUUUUCACUUGUGUUUUUCCCCUUCAUUAAUUGUUUUUUUUUAACCCUCUCAUAAUUAAAAUCAAAAUUACUCUCAAGAUAGUGGGUGUAAAUAGUGAUGACUAAGCCAUGAGCAAACACAAGAAGCAGCAAGGGAUUUAUUCAAUUUAAGAAAAAUAUUUGCUCUUUCUAUGAAAAAUAUCUACUUUUCCUCCCUGUUGAUUUCUUUGUUCAAUAUUAAAGAAAAUCAUUGAAUUUGAAAGGAAUCAACUACUUGCAAUAAACAUGAUAUAAAAUACGGAUUUAAUGAAAUAAUAAUAUCAAAUCGUGAAUGAUUUGAUGAUGGAUAUGUUCUUGGUGUGCAAUAACAUCUUAUAACUAAGAAGACAUUCUUGGUCGUGGAAAUUUUUAUAAUACAAUCAAUGAUCUUAGCCAUGAGAAGAGAAAAAUCAGAAAAAAUGCAGAGAAAAAUUAGGAGAGAGAAAUUAUGUUUUAUAGGAAACGAGAGAGAAUGUGCAUUAAUUACCAUUAUUAUUAAGCGUUUAUCUUAUUAAUCUCCUAAAAUCUUAGCCGUUGAUAUAAUUUAUAUAAAUUAGUGUAAAAAUAUGCAUAAUUUUAGGAGAUUGCUAAUCCGCUCUGUGUGUGUAAAUAUUUAAUAGAAAUUUUGCUAUAUAUAUAAAUAUCAGAUGGGAUAUUCGAUAACUUAUUUAUUUUUCGUAUCAAAUUAAUAUCUUAAUAUUUUAAAUUAAUAUUAUUUAAAUUUAUUUAAAUUUAACACGAUACGAAACUAACACGACACACACACGGACACAGUCAGUCCGAGAAUCUAUUUUGCCAGCUGUAGUGAGCAAGUUGAGUCUCGAAAAUAAGGCCUAAUUGAUGCGCCAAAUCAAAGCAAACAAAAAUAAUAUUAUAAUAAUGGACAAAACUAUUGCACCACUUCUAACCUUAGACUGGCGCUUUUUCCUCCAGAUAUUCAGGGGCUGCUUCUCAAUCGCGCGAAGGAGAAAACACACAGACACACAUAUUUGUCCCACGGACAGCCUAGCUUCAGAAGUUUUAUUGGAGCAAUUCACCAAUCAAAUUUUGAGCUUUUAGACUAGUGUUUGCCCUACGAGAGAAACUUGUAUUUAUUAUUAUUAUUAUUAUAUGCACUGUUCAAACGUGAGAAUUAUUACAAACAACAAUUAUGAGUUAUUCGAGCCGACCCACGCGGGUUCAACAGUAAAUUCAUAUGGCCGUCUGACGUGGUACCAUACGUGGCAGUAUCUGAUUUGUGGGGUCGUCGAAGUCCACGUGCUUGUGGGCGUCUACAUCACGUGGUCUUGAGACCACACAGUGUUUGUGAUUUGUGAAGCAGACUCUGCAAAAGCUGUAAUAAAGAAAGCUUUGUCACAUCCUUAUCUGUUGAUUUUCUCUACACACUUACUGUAAUUGGAUAUUUGGAUCUCUCUCUCUCUCACUCUCUUGCUCUCUAAAAAUGCCCACCGCACCAGCAACUUAGCUAGCAAUAGGAGCAGAGCUGAGAUGUCGCAUUUAUCUGCAUUUGCACCUGCACCUUGCUGUGCUGUUAUCUGGGUUGACGAGGAUCAUCAUGAUGAUCAGCUUCAAAACUCGAAAGCAUGAAGGUGCAGCUGUAUAUGCAGGUGAAUGCCAUUUUAGCCAUUUUAUGUGCUCAUGACGCGCUUGUUUCUGUUCGUUCUCUGCUUGUGUUCCGCUCUGUAUGGGUUUCCAUAGACUUAAUUAUAGCAGUUUCUAUCUAUCUAUCGAGCUAGCUAUCUAGCUAGUUACCUGAACAACUUUGAAAAACCAAAUUAAAGGUCCAUGACGAGCUUCUUAUCAAGGUAACCUUACUUGUCUGUCCCAAGCGCACAAGUUGGAUUUUGGAUCUCAUAGAUGCAUAUAUAUAAUUACACAGAAAUGUAAUUGGUACCGAUCAUCCCACAUAUAAUUAGGGUUCUUGAAAUAAAUAAGUGUGUACAGAAGUAUUAUUUCAGGUUUUGCUUUCUUGUAAGAAACCCUAGAGGGAACCCAGCGAGAUUUUCGGACUCGGCUACAACGAUUUUGGUGUAGGCUCCUCCUUUUUAGCUGAAUUUAUAUAUUUUCUUUCUCCUUCAGAAGGUUGGCGAAUUUAGACUUUGAUUUCCUCUAUUCAAAAUUAUAUAUAAUAAAAAUGUACCAGAUCCAACCCAUCUUAUUGUGAUUUAGAAUAUAAUUGAAUUAGUAGGUUCGAUGCAGUUAGCUAGAAUUAAAAAAAAGACUUUAUUGAAAAAGAAAGAAAAAUAGGAAUUUAGUCAGUCAACCAAAUUUAGUUAAACAUAUCGAUGAAAUUUGAUACUGCAAAAUUAUCAAAUUAAAUCCAGUGAUAAAGGAUGGAAAAACCUUUGGCCAUUUUUUUCCUUUUAAACAUAAACCUUUGGCUUGAAUCUGAUUCAGCUUUGGUAAUCCUUCUUCAUCGUUCUCCUAAUUAGCUUCAGCCUCUAUGGUUCUCUACAAUCAUUGGCUCUGUAUAUAUUGCACUAUAUAUAUGUAUAUAUAUUGCUUUCUGACUUCUGGGUAACCGUGUAUAAUUACUCACUAGACUUCUUGAAUUCUUUUGAAGGUGCUCGCAGCUCCCAUCUUUAGAAAUUGUCAUUUCCAUUGGAGAACUUAUCUAGCAAAUUAACAAGCUUGUGAAUUUUUUACUGAAAAAAGUUCUUGUAAGUUAUAGGGCAAAGGGAUUUAUGUGGUCUCUUACUCAUUUUAGUUUAGGGAUAAACUUAGAUCAAUUGAGUGCCGACAUUAUCACUAUGCUUUUGUAGAAUUUGAAAUGAAAUUUCUCGAAUAAUAAUCUUUAGUUACUUCUCUUGACUUUCCAGGUUAAUUGAAUAGUAAAUUCUAAACGAUGAUUAUUUAUAUACAUAAUACAUUUAUAUUAAGGAAGUGAUGCUUGGCUCGGCAGUUAAAAAGUUUUCCAAUUGGUCAUGUAAAUAGAAUUCUUUUCAGUGUAAUAUUUAUUGUCUUUGACAUCUAUAAUAUGAGAAAUUUUAGAAUACAUUUGAGGUACCAUGUCACCCAUAUAACAAGUAAUGAUGUCAUGACAUGUGUGUAUUUAUUUUGAACUACUAUCAUGCAAGUGGUGCUUGUAUUAAAUUCAAUUACACAUGUCAUGCAUGCAUCAAUUGGUUGUAGUAAAUCUGAGGUAUUCUAGAAUUUCUCCUAUAAUAUAAUUUGUUAUUGUUGUUUAAAUAUGCUUAGCUCUUGUUUGACAUUAAGAUUAAGCAGUUGUGGUACUAAAGUUUUUGGCAAACAUUAAGGGUUCAAUUGGGACAACUGCGUUGCCUUAGCAUAGCUGUCCUGAACGGAACCUAAAUAAACUUGUGUUAUUUUAAGAUUUGAUUUACUUUCCCUUAAAUAGACUUGUAAUCUCAUACAAUUUUCACUUUUCUCUUAUUUGAUAUAUAUAUUUUUUCUCUAUAUGAUAAUCUAUCUUGACACUCAUGUUUUCAAGCUGUAUGAAUUAAAAUGAUAUCUAGUUUUGUGUGUAUAAUAAUAACUAUCUACAUCGAUUAAAUUAUGUCAAAAAACUUAGAUAUGUUACAGCUGUGACUUUACAUUCUACAAUAUAAUGUAUGUUUUGUCUUAUUUCUUUCCCGCUUCCGCUAACACCCACUAUGUGAAUAUCUACAAUGUCCCAGUUGUUGAUAUAUAGGUUUUUAUGUCAUAAAUUUACAAGGAACUCGCAAAAACGGUAACAACCGAGCUUAAGGACUUUGUUUGAUUCUAAGCAAAUGUUGAUGAUAAGGUAGUGAAAAUAUGUUAGUUUGAUGACUUUGUCAAUCUUCAACGCAUCUUUUCUACAUAUACACAACAAAUUAAUAAAAUUAUAGCAUGCGUGUUUUUCUACAGCAUCAGUCUUGAUCACUCAUAUCCGGAAAUUCUUCUACUUACAUUUUAAAUGUUUUAUAGAAAAGAAAAAUUAUAGAUAAGGCUUUUUAUUUUUAAAAAACAUUUUACGAAAAUAAUAUUUUUCACAAACUUUAAGUUGAUAGAAUCAUGAGACUCUCAUCUCAUGGUCUAAUCUUAUUCUGAGCAAUAAUUAAUGAAUAAAAAAUAAAAAAUAUUAAAUCUUAAUUAUAUAGUAGCACUAAAAAAUAGGUGACACUGGCACAAGAUUAUUAGAAGAUGAGGAGAAGACCCUCAUUAAAUUUUUUAACACUCUCACAUCAGGUACGUGAUAUUGUGUACUCAAUUCUUUUUAAGUUGCUAUGGAAUAUUUACUAAUGUUUUCACAACUUCUCAGGGGAAAAAUAAAAAAGUUUUCACAAACUCUAUUAUAUGCAAAUUAUUCUAUGGAAGUGUGACAUGAAAGCAUGGGGAUACUGAAAACUAGAAAGCCAAUUUUAAUGGAAGAAUCAGAAACGCUGACUCAGCAUGAUCUUUAACGUGCAACAAUAGUUGUGGCGCCGUAUUUAACAAACGUUUAACAUGUUUUCAAAAUAUUCACCUUUUUAACGGGUUAUGGGUAUUGGGCUAAACCCAACAUUUAAUUGGGCUAGAGUUUAGUCUACGAGCUCAAACUGAAGUGCUCAUCAACAACUCUCUAAAGCCCAACUAUUACCCAAUCCAAGAGCAAGAAGAACCCAGCAGAAAAGGCGAAGUUGAAGACCAAGACCGACCUUAACUUUUUACUGUUGUCUGUCCAAACAUUCGCAAUUUCAUUCCAAUACGUAACUGUUAGUCGGACCACAAACCACGUGCCAUAAUAACCUAUCGCACACGUGUCACUCCCACGGUCCAUCUCUCUAUAAAUACUCAAUCACCCCCGGCUGUGUCGAACUCUCUUCGAAAAACGAAACCCUCAUAGCGGGUUUUCAACUUUUUGUUUUUUGGCAGUCGUUGGUCCUCACCUCGCUUCUCAGGUAGCACCAAGGUUUCCAUACCUCUAAACCCUAGAUCUCGGAUCUCGAUUAUCGAUUCUUAACCAAGGUAAUUCCUCAUUCGAUUCACCAAAUUUAUCGUUGCAUUUGUGUUUUUAAUCAGCUAUUAGCAUGAAAUUAGGUCUUUAUUUAUUUAUUUAUUUGUUUUUAUUUUGAUUUAUUGAUUGGUGGCCUGUUGGUUCAGAUGGUGUCGGACGCAAGCAAGAAGAAGGCUUUGCAGAAGAAGGCUGCCGCGGCGGCCAAGAGAGGAGGCAAGGCGGCUGCGGCGGCGGCGUCUUCUAAGGCUGCUGCGUUACAGAAUGGAAGUGCUGCUGAUAAAGCUGCUAGUGAAAUGGCAGCCAUGCAGAUUUCGGAUCGAACUUGUACGGGAGUGCUUUGCUCGCAUCCUCUGUCAAGAGAUAUUCGCGUAAGUUUUGGGAACAUGAUGAUUUUGAUUUUUAAUUUUUUAGGGAAUUGUGGAUUUUGGAAUAUAUAAUUGUUUUAGGUCGUGUGUGCUUUAUAUUGAUCUAUUAUAUUUUUCUUGUGUAUAUGUAAUUGAGUUCAUUAAAAAUAGUUGUAUGUUAAAAAAAAACACACACACACACACACAAAAAGUGAAAGGAAAAGGUUUGCGAGAGAAAGAGGAGCAGGGUCGUAAUUCUUACUUUCUGGAUUACUAGAAAGUAUCUUGAGCACCAAAACAGGAUGAAUUUCAUUGAUUCUCUCAGUGAAAACUGUGACGAUUUGAUUUUGAUUUUUGAUUUUGUGGGGAUUGUAGAAUUUGUUAUUUAUUUAUUUAUUUUAAUAUUUUGAGGUUAAUUUGUUAUGUCUAUCUAUUUAUAUUAUUUGAUAUGUUUUAUUGUAUUUAUGCAAUUCAAAAGGAAGAAAUAGAAUUGAAACUUUUACUCUUUCCAUGACUAGAAAGUAUCUUUAGGGUCAAAACAGGAUGAAUUGCACAGUUUCUUUUCGAUGCAUUUGAGUGGUUUUUCAGUUUGGUAAUGCUGUGGUGGUUCUGUGUUAGAAAAAGUCUAUGUUCAUAUUGCAUGUUAUUUCUUUGAGUUUUUCACUGAAUUAAGAUGGAAAAAUACUGUGAUUAAUGGUCUUUGCUUGAUGCUGCAGAUAGAGUCAUUAUCUGUUACUUUUCAUGGACAUGAUCUCAUAGUGGAUUCUGAACUGGAGCUUAACUAUGGCAGGUUGGUUAUUAUUCCUUCUAUAGUCACGUGUUGUGCUUAAAUGUAAAAAGCAGUUGGUUCAUAAUAUAGGUAACCUUUCAAUAUGGAGUGUAUCUGUAAAUUUUAAACAUUACUUAUGCUUACAGGCGUUAUGGCUUGCUUGGCUUAAAUGGGUGUGGGAAAUCUACGCUCUUGACUGCAAUAGGGUGCCGGGAGCUUCCUAUUCCAGAUCACAUGGAUAUACAUCACCUUACUAGGGAGAUUGAAGCUUCUGACAUGUCUUCAUUGGAAGCGGUCAUAAGUUGUGAUGAGGAGAGGUUAAAAUUGGAGAAAGAAGCUGAAUUCUUGGGAGCACAGGUACGUCUAACUGAAAGUUCUUGUUAUCUUUGACUGUAGUUCCCCCCCCCCCCCCCCCUUUUGUUGUCUAAUCUGCAAUAGGAAGAUGGAGGUGGAGAACAACUUGAACGUGUUUAUGAGCGUUUGGAAGCCUUGGAUGCAUCAACUGCAGAAAAACGUGCUGCUGAAAUCUUAUACGGUCUUGGUUUUAACAAGACUAUGCAAGCUAAGAAAACGCGUGAUUUCUCUGGUGGCUGGAGAAUGAGGAUUGCAUUGGCGCGUGCACUCUUUAUUAACCCAACCAUUCUGUUGCUCGAUGAGCCCACAAAUCAUCUAGGUUAGUUUUGUUGGUGAUAUUGAUUUUAUUGAAACUAGGUAGUUGGAAAAUACAAACAAGAUCUAAUUAUAUUUGAAACAAAAACCUUCAUCUGCAUGCUUGGUUUGAUUUCUGGUGAUGUGUUUGAUUAAUGUUUGUUGCAUGUGAUUGGGGUACGUGUGGUAUGAGGCAGCAAAGCAGAUGCCUUAGUUUGACUUUUUGAAGCCUAUUUUUCGAUUAUCUGGUUAAUCUCAUGCUGCGGGUAUUCGUAGAGACGUAAUACUAAAUGUUAUCUAAGAUUGAAAUGCUUUUGAUACUGAGAUCUAUUCACAUAAUUUGGUAAUUUCAGUUCCAGUAGUGGGGUUUUGAUUGAUGGUUAUUCUGCAGUAAGAUUCAUGGGUUAGCCUAUAUGAACCCUUGCCAAUUAGUUUACAGCUUCCUGAUCUAGUUCUUGACUCACUAUGAAAGAAACAUAGAAAUUGGUCUGAAUACUGUUUCCGUGAAUUGUAGAGAUUGCAAGUUUUUCCUGUUUAGAUAUAUUUAUUAAGAUCCGAUUACUUUUGAUGCUGAAAUGCAAUGAUAUAUUGUCAUUGAAUUCCUAUAUAAGAGAGAAUGGAAGUGAAUUAUUCCCCCCACCCUCUUUCCACGCAGAUCUAGAAGCUUGUGUCUGGCUGGAAGAGACCUUGAAGAAAUUUGACCGCAUCUUGGUGGUGAUUUCACACUCCCAGGAUUUUCUGAAUGGAGUUUGCACAAACAUCAUUCACAUGCAAAACAAGCAAUUGAAGUUCUAUACCGGUAAUUUUGACCAGUAUGUUCAGACUCGUUCUGAAUUGGAAGAGAACCAGAUGAAACAGUACAAGUGGGAGCAGGAGCAGAUUGCUUCAAUGAAAGAGUAUAUAGCCCGAUUUGGUCAUGGGUCAGCGAAGCUAGCUCGCCAAGCACAGAGUAAAGAGAAAACACUGGCUAAGAUGGAGCGAGGUGGGCUUACAGAAAAGGUUGUGAAAGACAAGGUUCUUGUCUUUCGUUUUGUUGAUGUAGGAAAGCUACCCCCACCGGUACUGCAGUUUGUGGAAGUGACAUUUGGCUACACACCCGACAACCUCAUCUACAAGAACCUUGAUUUUGGGGUGGACUUGGACUCGAGAGUAGCUUUGGUUGGACCCAACGGUGCUGGGAAGAGUACGCUUCUGAAGCUGAUGACGGGGGAUUUGGUUCCUCUUGAUGGCAUGGUUCGGCGACAUAAUCACCUUAGAAUUGCACAGUUCCAUCAGCACUUGGCUGAGAAACUUGACAUGGAUAUGUCUGCCCUCCAAUAUAUGAUAAAAGAGUACCCCGGCAAUGAGGAGGAGAAGAUGAGGGCAGCAAUUGGGAGAUUUGGGUUGACUGGUAAAGCCCAGGUGAUGCCAAUGAAGAAUUUAUCUGAUGGGCAAAGGAGUCGGGUGGUUUUUGCAUGGUUAGCAUAUAGGCAACCCCACAUGCUUCUCUUGGAUGAGCCAACUAAUCAUCUGGAUAUUGAGACAAUCGACUCGCUUGCUGAGGCAUUGAAUGAGUGGGAUGGGGGUUUGGUUCUCGUCAGCCACGAUUUCAGGCUCAUAAACCAGGUAGCCCAUGAAAUAUGGGUGUGUGAAAAUCAAGCUGUUACCCGGUGGGAGGGUGACAUUAUGGACUUCAAGCUGCACCUGAAGGCGAAGGCUGGUCUAUCUGAUUGAAAGAAGAUCACUGUAGGAUGAAUUUGAAGACAAUGUAAUAGUGCUGCUAUUUUUAUUACACAUUUGGCUUAAGACUGUAGUAGGCCAAGUGUUCGCCACCACUGGUCGGUGUUUUUCCCAAGGUGGAUUAUGACGAAAGUUUUAUGUAGCAGCAGGAGGGACGACGGCUUAUUUAUUGUAUGCCGCUGGUUCGUUCCAUAAUUAUCUGCGAAGUUGUUAGGUGAUAUUUUUGUUCUUGGUUACAUUUGCCCUUCCUUAUCAUAUUCCUUGGUUCCUUGGCCAAGAAGAUGGCAUAUGGCUAAACAUAUAUUUAGGCUUAGACGCGAAUGUUUAUGUGCUAUUGGACUUUUAUUAUAUGUUGUACUCGAGAGAGAUUAUAAUAUUUUAUGAAAAGCGGAAUAUGCAAUGUUUCUUUGGCCACCCAACUUUUUCGUCAGUAUUACUAUCAGAACUCUGGGUGUCGUUACAUUGAAUGGCUUUUAAAGAUGCUUGGGACGGGGAAGAAGCUCAGGAAGUUCACAAAAGAUAAAAGCCAUACAGCAAGACUACCGCAACCUCUGGGACUUGCUGACAGAUCUCAUGCCUAUCCAGAAGGAAAUAUUGAAGAUGUGUUGGUGAAGAUGGAUAAAUUUAUUUUUUCGGUGGAUUUCAUUGUACUAGAUUUUGAGGCAGACAAAGAAGUGCCAAUUAUUCUAGGAAGACCUUUCUUAACCAUGGGAAAGAUUCUAAUUGAUGUUAAAAAAGGAGAAUUAAGCCAUGAGGGUGAAUAACCAACAAGUUACAUUUAAUGUGCUGUAUGCCAUAAAGAGUCCCGAUGAGAUUUGAAUAUUGUAAUUUUAUCAGUAUUGUGGACUUUAUUGUAGCAGAGAGAUUACGUAGUUGCUGCAGUAAGGAAGAAAUCAAUGCCGUAACAAUUGAAGAACUUGAUUAUGAAGAUCAUGGAGCAGCUAACAUAGCAUGGUCAUGGGAGAAGCAACCAUUCAGAAUUGAUGAGCAAAUCCAGUAAAGGGAACUCAAUCUAGACCAACAAAAAUUCAAGGUUAAUGGGCCAAGAGUGAAGCACUACAAGACCCAUUAAAGGGAAAAAAAGAAAAGAAAUAGUAACUGAAUUUGUAUACUUCUUGAAAUCCAUCUUCUUAAUUCAUCCUCAUCAGCCUUUAAAGUCUAAAUAGUGUUCGUUUCUUCAUUUGUUUCCCUAAUGGGAAGUUGGAUAUCUUAAAUUUUUAAUAAAAAUGGUUAUGGUUAUUUGGUGUUUUGAAUUUUUUUUCUUUUUUAUUAAAAUCUAUAAUUGAAAACCUUUCUCAAUCUUUAUUUAUGUAAUCCACGUUGGCAAUUCAUUCGGUUCAAGUGCACUUCUUGCUAAAGCUUGAGAAGUUAUAUUAUAACAUGUGACUUUGCGAGGGAUCAGUUAAUUUGUUUGGGUUCUUCAACAGUGGUCGGUGGGGCGCCAAUUAUCACUUGCCGGUUAGCACACGUGUCAUGUAGCUACGCGAUAAAACGUUUUUAUCUUUUUUUUUGGGUUAAGGAUAAAAUUAUUAAUUUUUCACUUAUUGUGUAGAUUAAUGCACUCAUUAUUUCUAAAUUAUUUUAAUACUCCCCAAAUAUAUUUUAUGUUAAAUUAAUUCGCAAUAUGUUAAUUUAUAUCUUGUAAAUAUUUUUCAGGAAUAAAGAUAGAAUUGGAGUUGAAAGCAGGAACAAAGAAGGACGGUUGGAGCAAUUUUGAAUUCAUCAAUCAAGGAGAUGUUAUUAAAAAUAAAAAAAUAAAAAAAGAUUGGCAAGCAUGUUGGUGAUGGUCAGGAGGCGUGAUGGCCUCUUGACCAUCACACAAUUCAGUAUGUAUAUAUAAUAUAAAAAUAAAAUAAAAUAUUAAUAUUAAUAAAAGAAAAGAAAAGAAGAUGAUUCCCUUGCCUAUAAAAGGCAAGCUGCUGUACCGUACAUCCGCCUUGGCCGUACAGCAGCAAUUGAAAAUUUUAAAAUCUACGAAGCAUUGAAAAUUUCUCUUCAAUCUUUGCGACUUUAAUUUUUUGUCCCAUACCGUUUGCUCUUUUUUGCAAAUUAAAUACAAUUGGCAAUCGUGGGAAAAUUCGUAAUCUGUGGCAUGUACACAUACAUUAUGGCUACGGAUGCCCCAGGCUGCGUAGCGAGUAGCUUUUGUGCUGUCAGGAGGGACACGAGUAAUCAAAAAGUGAAUAUCUAUUUCAAUAAAAAGAGAAAAAUUGUUACACAUAUAUAUAAGAGAAUGGUAACGUAUUUAAAACGCAUAAAUAAGACUUUCGAACAGAUUUGUUGAAAUUGUACAUAGAUUUAGGGCCAAUUUGAUAAUAUUGUAGUUUUUAAAAUAAUUGAUGUCGUGAUGUAUAAAUAGUCAAUUGUGAAGAAAUUUAAUUAAACGCUUAGAAAAUUUAUUUUUAAAAUUAUGAAUUUCAAAAAGUAGUCAGUCGUAUGUGUUUUGACAAAUCUUAUUGUUAAACUAUUAUAAGAAUGCAAAUGAUUAAAAUGAACAUAAUAUUGAAUAAAACUUAAGUAUUUAUAAACAUAUAAUAUUUUUUAUUGUGUAUAUAUAAUAAUUGAUAACUAAAAUAACUUUAUCAUUUUAUUAUCUCAAAAUAAUUGAUAUUAGUAAUAAUCUCUUUAUAUUUAAUAAUUUUAUUUUCUAAUUAAAUAAGGGUAAUUUAAUUUUUUACCAUAUAUGUGAGGACAUAUAAGACGUGUGAAAUUUUCACUCAUAUGACUAGUAAACAAGGAAUUUUUAGUCUAAAUUUUAAAAUCAAAUUUUUUAAAAGUUACACCUUCCAUACUUUUCAAAAUAUAUGUAAGAUGGGGUAAUUCUGUAUAAAGUAAUUUAAAAAAAAAAAUUCAGACAAUUAAAUUAACUUUUUAACUUUUCAAAAUUACUUCUAAACUUAUGAAAACAAUCCCAAUUGGCCCUUAGAUUCUUAGUAAUCCAUUAUUUUAUUGUCACUAGAUCGUAAUAUACAACUAACAACAAAGAGACUACUUUGACUCCACCGUAAUUGAGGUGAGGUUGAUUGAUGGGGCGAAUAUCAUUUCUCGAUACAUUAAAUUUAGCAUAAGCAAAAGAUUUGUCACGGCUGCGAGUGUUUUCAAGCCGGUUAAAAUUUUUUUAUCUGCAAAGACUAUUUGGGUCGAAUUUAAUGCAUGCAUUGGAAAUGGCAUUAAACAAGUUAACUACUACUUGUAAUCCAGAAACAUCCAAAAUAAAAGAAGGAAAAUCUGACGCCACGUAACAACUAAAACUUGCAGAAGCUACUAGCACUCUGUAAUUGUUCUCUUUAUCAUUUUUCUAUAAAGUUGUGAUAGUAGCUAGUGUUUGUAAUUUGGUAGGAAGCACAAGUUGAGAAAUAUCAGCAGAAAACUAGUUGCAUCUGGUCUUACUGUAGCCAGCAUGCUGUUGCUGCAUAAGCUAUAUAUGAUAUAUGCAUGACAGAAUAUGUUUGCUUAAAGAUUUCUCUUUGUGUAAUUGAUGUGCUGAUAUUCAAGUUCUUCUGUCAUAAUAGAGAUGCAUGCAUGUAUGAAUGCAUGGUGGCCAAUAUGGGAUAAGAAAUGAAUGAAUAUAAUACAAAUAUGAUACUUAGCUGUUGUGAGUGCUAGCAAGAUUAAUAGGCACAAAAUUCUUUGAAGUUGUAAAUGAGGUUUGAACUUUGAGUCUCACUCACAUGAUUGGGAGAUAGGCAUGUAAUUAUCAGUCAAGUUAGGCUUAAAACUCCCUUGUAUAAUAUCUUGCUUUAAAAUGCUGAAUUUUUUCCUACAGGCAGCUUAAUUUGUCUUGAAAAGGUUGGAUUUAGUCUAUCUCAAAGGUGACCACUGUUUAGGCUUUCAACUUUAGUCCGUACAAAAUUAAGGAGUUGUAUUAUAAAGUGGGGUUAUAUGAAUAUAAUACUUGAGGUUGGGCUCUGCUCUUGAAUAUGCGAACCAUAUUGCAUUCCUCUAUGCUUCAAAUCUACGAGCACCAGACUACUUAGGUUGAAGUAUGUACAACCGAAACUCUCUUGAAUGUUCUAGUUAAAUGUGAUAAUCAUUGCAAAAGAGAUAAGCAUCAUUGGUGAUAUAUGAAAAUAAUUAGAAACAAAUUCACAUCGCUACUUAAUUACUGCGUUGAGCUACCCAUGCCUGACUUAAAAGCAUAAGUUGGAAGUGUAAGAGCUCAAAAAACAGUAUUUACGUUUAAUUUCUAACACUUACAUGUGUGAAAUCAAGCUUAUUAAGGAUAUGUCUAUGCUUUGCGAAUUGCGAGUUUUGUAUGUGAAUUUAUUUCUUGAUUGUUACUUUGUGAAUUAAUUAAUUAGCAAAAAUGCUCAAAGGGAAACAAUGAGAGGUUGGAUAGGAAUAGUGAGACACGUCAAAAGAACUGAGCAGCGCAUGACAAUAAUUUAAAGGCAGACAUGACUAACCAAAAGUGACAUUUCAUGGUAAGACGAAGCUCUAGGCAGCACUCACUCACAUGCACUGGUCUCCCAGUUAACUCUAAUGUCAGGCCUUCCAUGUCCUCUAGCUGCAUGUGUCAAUGUAACCACUACAGACCAUGCGCCCAUUCUUAUCUCUGACCCUCUCACUUUACGUACACUCUAUAUAUACACCGAGCUAUCUUGCUAAUUAAAAGCGUGCAAGUCACAUUAAAGAAAAAUUAACUACAAUUAAUUAAUCAUGGCGCCUAAGCUCAGAACAAGUGGCAAAAUAAUCAAGAAGAGCGGCAUUGUGAAGCUCAAGAUCGCUGUAGAAAAGAUACACAAGAGUCUCUUAAUGGGUAGGAAAUCAAAUUCCUACUGCGAUGAUUAUGUGCCUCAAGAUGUUAAGGAAGGGCAUUUUGCUGUGAUAGCUGUAGAUGGUCACCAACAAAAGAGAUUUGUUAUCUCAUUGAGUUAUUUGACUCACCCUAUGUUCUUAAGGCUCUUGGAGCAAGCAGCUGAAGAGUAUGGAUUUGAUCAUGAGGGUGCGUUAACAAUUCCUUGCCGUCCCUCCGAGCUUGAGAGAAUAUUAGCCGAGAGAUGGCGGGAAGGAGAGCCAGCCGGAGCUGGAGGUAUGAAUUGGGGUUCCUGUGAAACAAUGGUUCAAAGUUGUUAGUUUUUCCUUUAGAGAUCCAUUAUUACUUAAUGAGACUAUCUAUUUAUAUAUCUUCACGACAAAAAAAUUCCUAUUUGCUGGGCAUUUUACAGGGAAAAAAAUGCCUGUUUUCCUGUUUAGUUGGGGAUAAAGAAAUUGAUUACAACUACCAUUCAAAAUUUCUCCUACAUAUAGAAAUAACCUAAUUAAUAUAUAAACUUUGCCGAAUGACACUCUUGCGAUCUAAAAGACCACAGAAAUGGUCAAUAUUGAGAGCCGUUGGGUACUAGGAAAUCCACAGAUUUGAAUAAACUGAUUCAAGCGAGUCCCUAAAAAAUUUCACGCGUGAUUUUAUAAUUGUUCUUCUAUUAUCUAAUAAUUUCCAUCUUGCAAUGAUAAGAGGAACAUUUAAGGAGCGUUGUGAUAUCAAGAAGAUAUAUAUCUGAUCAGGAUCNNNNNNNNNNNNNNNNNNNNNNNNNNNNNNNNNNNNNNNNNNNNNNNNNNNNNNNNNNNNNNNNNNNNNNNNNNNNNNNNNNNNNNNNNNNNNNNNNNNNNNNNNNNNNNNNNNNNNNNNNNNNNNNNNNNNNNNNNNNNNNNNNNNNNNNNNNNNNNNNNNNNNNNNNNNNNNNNNNNNNNNNNNNNNNNNNNNNNNNNNNNNNNNNNNNNNNNNNNNNNNNNNNNNNNNNNNNNNNNNNNNNNNNNNNNNNNNNNNNNNNNNNNNNNNNNNNNNNNNNNNNNNNNNNNNNNNNNNNNNNNNNNNNNNNNNNNNNNNNNNNNNNNNNNNNNNNNNNNNNNNNNNNNNNNNNNNNNNNNNNNNNNNNNNNNNNNNNNNNNNNNNNNNNNNNNNNNNNNNNNNNNNNNNNNNNNNNNNNNNNNNNNNNNNNNNNNNNNNNNNNNNNNNNNNNNNNNNNNNNNNNNNNNNNNNNNNNNNNNNNNNNNNNNNNNNNNNNNNNNNNNNNNNNNNNNNNNNNNNNNNNNNNNNNNNNNNNNNNNNNNNNNNNNNNNNNNNNNNNNNNNNNNNNNNNNNNNNNNNNNNNNNNNNNNNNNNNNNNNNNNNNNNNNNNNNNNNNNNNNNNNNNNNNNNNNNNNNNNNNNNNNNNNNNNNNNNNNNNNNNNNNNNNNNNNNNNNNNNNNNNNNNNNNNNNNNNNNNNNNNNNNNNNNNNNNNNNNNNNNNNNNNNNNNNNNNNNNNNNNNNNNNNNNNNNNNNNNNNNNNNNNNNNNNNNNNNNNNNNNNNNNNNNNNNNNNNNNNNNNNNNNNNNNNNNNNNNNNNNNNNNNNNNNNNNNNNNNNNNNNNNNNNNNNNNNNNNNNNNNNNNNNNNNNNNNNNNNNNNNNNNNNNNNNNNNNNNNNNNNNNNNNNNNNNNNNNNNNNNNNNNNNNNNNNNNNNNNNNNNNNNNNNNNNNNNNNNNNNNNNNNNNNNNNNNNNNNNNNNNNNNNNNNNNNNNNNNNNNNNNNNNNNNNNNNNNNNNNNNNNNNNNNNNNNNNNNNNNNNNNNNNNNGGGGGGGGGGGGGGGGGGGGGAAGCAAUAAAAAGCUAAAAGAUCGUGAUCAAAACAUCCGAUGUCGAUUUUUUUUUUUUUCUUUUUCUUUUUGGUGGGUCAAUUCUAAGCUGUCAUCAGAUAUUUUUCUUGGCCACAUGCCCACAUUGUUCGCAAGAAGAUUCUUCUCAUUUAAGUGCCCAAAAAAACCCCAUAUGUAGGACAUCAAGUUGGAUAGGUAGCAAACUAAAUGGCUACCCAAGGGAGAUCAAAUUAAGCUUGACGACAGAGGAGAACAAGGAAAGAAGAGAUAAGGUAGUAGGGUCAUGGAUUUGGAGCCAAGGCUUUUUGUAAACCCUAGCUAACAAUUGCAAUUACAAUCGUGUAUGAAUUUGUUUUUCUAUGUUGUAAAACUUACUUACGCCCUCAAUUUAGGCUAAUUAUUUUGUUGGCAUUUUUUUUAAUGUGAAUAUGUCUGAAUUUGGUUGAAAUUUGAUUGCGUCUAAAUAUAAAUGUUUAAAUGAUAUAUUUGUUUUUUUAUUUUUAAUAUUUAAAUAUAAGUAGUAUCUUAUUUAUUUUUAUAAAUAAAAAAUAACUUAAACAUGAUUAUCUAACAUUUAUCUUCUUAUAAGUCAAUACAAAUAAAGGGAUUAUGUUUUAGAGGUUAGGAAAAAAUAUAUUUAAUAGAAAUAUUUUUGAGAUAUAAGAUUUACUUCCCAUUAAGAUAAAGUCACAAAAAUUUACUUUUUCUAUUCAAAUGUAAAUGUCCAAAAAUCAAACAUAAAUUACAAAAAAAAAAUAAAAAGAUUGAAAUUAAUAAGAAUUUCAGACUUCAAAUACUUAAAAAACAGGCUCUUAACCAUGUAUUUCAAAAAAAUUACUCAAAAUUAACUUUUCAAACAAUGUUUCAAUAGUUGUUCGAUCAGAAAUUUCUAAGAGAAAAUAAUAUAUUUGUCUGAUAUAACCUAGAAUUUAGAUAAAUAUGAUAUGGAACAAGGAAAAAACAGAAAAUAAUUGAAUAGAUUUUAACAGAAAUGUUUACACACCAAUAAUAUUUUAGAUAAUUGUUGAAAAUACAAAUACUUAACUGGGAAAUCUCAAAACCUAGGAUUAAUAAAAGAGCAUUUAUCUCAUAAAAUAUGCUCCAAUUGUUAGUGUGACUAUGAAAAGAGUGCUAUUCCAUAAAUGAUCAUGCAUUUACCCUGGAGUUACAACUAAUUAAUUAAACAGACACACGAUAUCUGUUUAUCUCUUUGUUAAUUGUCAUCGUAUUCCGGAUGAACAACAAGAGACCGACAACAACAUGUAUUACUACGUUUGCCUGAAUCGAAAAUGCUGUCGAAAACAAAUGUAAAUAACCUAGCUUCAUUUUUCUUGCUUAAAUUACGUGAAAUAAUUAGCAACAUAGCAUGCAAUGUUAAUAUCAGAAUGCAUGCACUUAAAAUUAGUUGCAGCCACGUGGUACGUUUUUCCAACACACAGAGGCGAAACCAGGUUCAUGCGUAAGGCUGUCUUGCCCUCAACUUUGUGAAAGUUUGUAAAAUGUAAGGUAAAAUUAAAAAAAAAAUUCAUAGAAAUCCCUAACUUGUGGUAUAUUUAGGCAAAACCCAAAACUAAAAUUCUAGUUGCGCCAUGACCACGAAAGAUGAGAUGAUCAGUACAGGGUACAGUACUUUGGUCGUAAUUUAAUUAAACAAUGGUCGUUUGCCUUGUCGCGUCGACAUGGGACGAGGGACCAUGGGCCUAGUUGCUAGUUGCGAAAUUAUGACACCCUUAUAAUGUAGGAGCCGGCUAAGUUACGCUAAAUGUAACUUACGCUAGGCAAGCAACAGUGACAAGUCUCAUCACUAGCACUGUUGCUGUGUCUGACGUAAGAUACGUUUAACGUAUCUUAGCCAAAGCCUAUAAUGUACUAUCAAUGUGCUGGCAUCUCAAGUCAAAGUCAAAAAUUUUUGUAUUUAUAUACGCAUCGUUUUAUAUAUUUAUUUUUUGGUAAAUACAUGAGGCAUUAAAAAAAAAAUUGAAACCGAGAUGGAAAAUUGGAAAUAAUUUGUAACGAAAAUGAAGUGAUGAAACAAAACAACAGUUAUGGCACUUUUUCGUUUUUGGAAAAUAAAAAUUAUGGCCCCCUUUUAUAAGGAGAUCCUGGAAAUCAUCUAUUAUCAACAAAAUCACUGAAGACAAAUUUUGCUGAGUGCAUUAUCUAAAGAACUACUGCCAAAUUGCUAUAACAUUUUUCACUUUAUUUAUAAUUACACUGGUUUUUUCAUUAGAUUAUGAAGGUGAGGAGGAGGAGGAGGGGAGAGAGAGAGAGAGAGAGGUUUUUACCUCAAUCCUAAACUGACUCCUUUAAUAUUAAUUAGCACCUUAAAUUUUUAGAUCAGUGGUUUCUUAAUAUGGUAAGCAACUUGACCUAAAGUUUUUGAGACAGAAAAAGUAAAAUAGAUCUAUUAUAAUGGAUCCACAUGACAAAUUCAAAUGAGCAUUGCAUAUUAUUUAAGAAUUGAACUAUUUGCAGUCCUCGAAAAAUCAUUUCAUAACUGCCUUUUAAUUAUAUUCUAUUUAAUGUCAAAAAUAUCUUAUAUAUAUAUAUAUAUAAACCCAUUUUUCAAUCCUUCUCUCUCUAAAAAACUCAAAACACUAAUUUUUUAAAAAAUAAAAAUAACCAAUACGAAAAAGCAAGAGAAAGAAGAAUAAUUAAUGUUUUAAAAUUUUGCAAAUCAAUUGUAUAGAUGAGAUAAAAGAGAAGAGAGAGAGAAGCGAAUGCUAUUCAAUUGGUUUUGGGUCACAAGAAAGUAGAAUUGAAUUUUAUUAUUUGAUUCUUGAGUUGCAACAAAUUAUUCAACUUGAUCAUAAACUUUAAGUUCUUUAAUUAUAUGAGGGUUUGGUCACCUGGUAGUUCCUUAAUUAUACGUACGAAGGUUAAAUCAUUUGAUGAAAGAAAUUCUAAGCAUUACAAUAUACAGAAUUCAUCAGCUUCCUUGUUGUAUCUUUGAGCUUUGGUAAUACAUGCAGAUUAAAUAUUGAAGAGAGUGAAAAAAAAAUGAAUGGAGUUAAAUUUAUUUGUAUCUGUCCUUAAAUAAAAUUGUAUCACAAUAGCUGUUCUAGGAGGACUUUGGAGGGAUAAGUUACAUUUCUUUAUUUACCAUGCUUUCUGUCAAGUCCCACUUCAAAGUAAAUCUAUAUCUCCAUCAUUAUGAUUAGGAUUAUUUUGUAUUCUCAUAUUAAGUGCACUGCAAAAACAGAAUUCUACCAUUCCAUUUUGUUAUACAAUAUUUAUUAUUUAAUUUAUAGCAUGCAUUAUUGCAUUUGAAUACAAAUAUUGAAAAAGUAACAUAUGGCCCCAGCCAAUCAUAAUAAACUGAUGCAAUUAAUAAACAGCAUGGUCGUCAAACAGGACGCGAUCAUGCGUGGUCCCACAAAAAAACAAGAGGUGAUUGCUUACACGGAACUUGUGCAUGACCUACUUAACUUCUCUUGUGUUUUGGACCUGUAAUAAAAUUUAAGGGAAGCAAGCGGAAGAAGAAGAAAGAAGAAAGAAGAAAGAAGAAUAUAUUAAUUAAACAAGAAUUAAGAGAAAUAUUAAUCUUGAAUAAUUCAACAGCUCUGCAUAAUGGGGUUGCAAGAACGCCAUUUAACAUUAACACUAGAGCCAUCAUCAUCUCCUUGCUCUGCCAAUAUUUUCUCAAGCUCACUCGGCUGGCACGGGACUGUUAGGGCACCUCCACGAUCAAACCCAUACUCUUCAGCCGCUUGUUC